rnacentral:lncRNA from 1 species
AACAUAACAUCCUUAUUAAACCACUAGCUAGAAUAAGAACUCAGCGUACGUACUCGCUAGACAUGCAAGAUUCUACUUACACACAAGUACCCACUAGAGAGACUGAAAACCUUUUUCCCAUAACCUCAUUACUCAGUCUUUUCUACUGGGGUUUCUGUUUCAACCUCCUCCACUGCUUCAACAGGUUUCUCUUCUCCCUUGACUUCUUCUUCUUCCUUUGGAGCUUCGACUGCAACUUCUGGUUCUGGUGCCUGUGUCUCACCAGACUCGGUAGCCUCUUUAGCUUCUUCAACAACCUGCUCUGCAGGUACUUCCUCUGGAGACUCCUCUUUUGUCUCCUCAACAACCGGCUCUGGUGUUUCCUUAGGUGUCUCCUCCUCUGUUUUCUCUACCACUGUUGGCUCUUCUGCAAGAAUCUUGGUCUCUUCUACCACCUCUUUAGUCUCAACUUCAGCUGGGGCCUCGGGGACUGGUGCCACGGCCUCUUCAGAUGCUGCAGGUGUCUCUACUUCUUCUUUUGGCUCUUCAGCUACUGCCUCUGGUGCUGCAGCGACUGCUUCUUCUGUGGCGGUCUCAAUCUUGAUUGGUUGUUCAGUUUUUUCCUCUGCAAGUGCACUCUGCGCUGACACAACCUGCAGGAUAACCAGAUGAUCAAAGAAUGUUCACCAAAAUGCCGAUGCUAUCUAUUUUUCAAGAACUGUUACUUGAAGUGUCACAGUGAUAAGGAAAAAUGUUCACCAAAAUGCUGACGGGGUUUUACCUUUUGUUAUAUAUAUAUAUAUAUAUAUAUAUAUAUAUAUAGAGAGAGAGAGAGAGAGAGAGAGAGAGAUGAGGAUUAUGAGUUUUCAAAUAUGAUUAUCCAAGAAGUAAAGAUCAUAAAAUUGAUCAAGAUUUUUCAAAUUUUAACACUUGAUAUGUAUCAAAUGACUAAGAAGAAGCAUCUGUUAAAUAAGUUUCUCAACAGGGACAUUAAUUGAUUAAUAGUGAAUGAGUUACCUCGACAGUGGCCAUUGGAACUGAAAGGAAAAUAAAGCAAAUGGGAUACAAAGAAAACUGUAAGAAGCAAAAUAGAAAGGAGUGAUUAUCACACAAGAAGACGAGGAAAGAUUGCUUUGAGUGUUUGAUGCAAAGUGAUCAAUGAGAGUGGGUUUAUAUAGAGAUGUAAGGGUUAGUAUAAUAUGUUUUGUAGGCCAUCAAUCCAUGAUAUUAUUAUAUUCAUGUAAAUAUAUAUUUAUUAUUAAUAAAGACUUAAUUUUUUUAAUAUUUAUAUAAUAUUAUAUUAAUGAAUCUAAUAUUUAAUUUAUGAAUUUAGAGUAAAAAUAAAGUUCAUGAGAUAAAAAUAUUUUCCAAAAAAAAUUAUAAAGUUGUUAUAAUUCUAGGAUUUAUAUUGCAUCAAAGCAUUGUUCUUAAAAUGUUCUUGGUCGAUACUUUUUUAAAUACUGAAUAAUAUUAGAGUUGUAGAAACUCAUACGUAUUAUGUUCUUUCCUUUAUGAAAUGAAGAAGUUGAUCUCAAAAGUUUAGGUAUAAGGAAUACCUAGAACUAAUAUGUAGGUGUUUGUCAUAAGAUAUGUACAUUGAACUGACCCGCAUGAGAAUUCCAAAUGAAGAGAUCAUAUAUGUCUAUUGAAAGGCUCACGUAACGGUUAUGUAAGUGAUCCUUAGACUUGAGAUCACUAGGUUAUCUUAUAUAGAGAAUAUUAUGCUUUAAUCAUGUUGUAUGUUAUCUUAAUUGAGGUAACGAAGGAGCGAACAUUGGGUAUAUCAUGAACUAUAUAAAGGUAUUUGAGUGAUCAAAAGAGGAUGCAUCACUCUAUGUGAAUUAAGAAAAAUAUUUCAUCUGUUCCCAAAUAGUAUUGACUGAGAAAUCUUUGGUCAGAAUGGAAUGAGAUUUGAAAAGAGUUUCAAAUCUUAUUCAAACGAUCAAUAACUAUUAUAUGGAGAACAAACAUUAUUUAAGAAGGCAAACAUACUCCAUGCUUUAAUGUUAAAUCGAGAUAUUAUUGAUGAAAUGAUAUUGAUUACACUAAGAAACCAGUCACUAAAAGUUUAAGUCAAACCACUAAUAUCUUUUUCAAUAUUUGAGGGAUCAUGAUAUGUUGCUAGACGAUGCACCUAAUCUUCAAAUACAAUUUAAUCAAUUGUUCAAUUGAUAAUAAAUUAAAUUGUUUAAUUUCUUUAAUUCUAUUUAAUUAUAAUUAUAAUUUAUAUUUGGGCCAACAAAUAUAAGGACUAGAAUGUAAUUUACACAUGGAUUACAUUUAUAGACCUAGAAAAAUCAAAUAAGAACUUGAUUGAGUUAAUUUAUAAAAUUAUCAUGAAUUAAUAUAUGUAUAUUAUUCAAGGGGCAAAUUGGUAUUUUUUUAAUUUAUAGGGUUUUUCAGAUUUUCCUAUAAAUAUUAAUUUACGUCUCUUAUUUUUUAUUGGUUGUUUGUUAGACAGAAAAAUUACAUAAGUCACAUAAUAGAAAACUAGCACUAUAGGCAUAACAAUCUCUCUCUUUUAACUAGGGAUUUAAGAGAUUUUUUAUUGGUGGUUCGUAUAGAUUAUUAUUGGAGCCCGAAUAAUUGGAUGACUUGUAGUUUGCAACAACUCAAUCUUUAAAGAAUUAUUUAAAGUAAAAAAAUCAAACUUUCAAGUAAUAUAUCCCUGUAUAAUUUUAUUUUAUAAUUUUCAAUACGUAUAUAAUACUCGGAACCAAAAGUAACCGACCUCACGCUCAAUCAAUUGAGUGAGGGAGCUACUUUGAGGAAUCGUGGGAUAUGACACCUCAGCCUCACUGAAUUCAACGGGGAUUAGCAUGUUUGGUAAUGAUGUUUAGGAAAUUUUCUGGAGAUGGGGUUUAAGUAUUUUUAAUGGCUAGUUGUUUGUAUGCUUUUGAUCGGGAAAAAGGGUAAAAUAAUGGAGGUCAGGUCAUCUUCAUGAAAGCCAUCAUCUUCUUUUGGUUUUGUGUGCUUGUGUGCUUAGCGCAGUCGGCCCCGUACGUGACCUGUUUUCCAUCCUCCACCUGCCAUUCGUCCUUAAGACUAUUUUAUUUUUAUUUCUUGGCAUCGACCUUGCCAAGCUGUUUACCCUAUGGUAAAUAUUGUCGCACCGCCCUCUCAACUUCAUGAUUGUAUGAAUUUUGUCUUCCUAACAUGGAGUUAAUUAGUCCCAUUAAACCUUCAUAAUUAUAAUAUAUGAUGAUGCAUCUCACAAUAAUUUCUUGACAUUUUUGUUUCCUGUGGAGGCUGGUAAUUCACCCGUGAACGUACAAUGUAUUUGGGAAGCACCAUUGAUUUAUAUGUAGACUUGAGAAAAUAGAUGUUUAAUUUAUAAGAUUAUAUAAAGAUAUUUAGUUUAUAUUUUAUAGUAUUAUCCAUAAUAAUAUAAACCAAGGUGAAAUGUAUCAUAUGCUCUUUGUGUUAAUGUCUCACAUCAACCCGAGUUCGUCCUAUUUAAUUAUGCUAAAUCAAUUUUAUAAAAUCACCAUUUUGAUCAUUUUUUUUUAAUCUUUAUCCUCCAGGAUUUUUUUUUCUUCAAAAAAUAAAAUCAUUUUAAACAAGUUUUAUCCAAUCAAUCAUUUAUAUUCUGAUUUUUUUUUGGAUUUUUAUCAUGUAGAAUGACUUUUAUUUUUUAUUUUUUUUAUAUGUAUUAUAUCUUGCGCUAACUAGUUUACGCACAUUAAAUUAGAUCUCUACACUCCAAACAAGGCUUAUAAAAUAAGACUUACACCAGUAAUAGCAAGCAUAGGGAGUUAAAAUGAAGCCUAUAUAAAAAGCAUGUAUUUUAGCCCAUAUCAAUUUUACCAAUUCAAUCAUUUAAAACCAACAUGGAUGGAAUUCUAAGAGUAUAAUUUCCUCAAAACACUUAAUUAUAUUGAAUGUGUUUGAAAUUAUUUUUAAAAAUGAAUUUGAAUUUUUUAAAAAAAUCCCUUAUAUAUUAAUAAAAAAAAUACUUGAAAUUCAAGGAUAUUUUUAUAAAAUCACACUAGCAGACUCUCAAAAUCAAAAAACCACCACCAUCACCGCCUCAAGUGAUGAAUUGACGUCAAAAGAAAUAUUUUUUUUAUUUUAACCUAUAAAAUUCUCAAUAAGCUAUAGACGUCAUUGUCUUUAUAUUAUGUCUAUAUUAUUAUUGUUGUUGUUUUGUUUUUUUUAGCCUUUUCUAGAAAAAGAAGUUCGGCCUAUGGGCCUGUGUCUUGUGGGAGUUGAAGGGUCGCCCAAAACCAAUGGUUAUAAUUUACGUAAAAGAAACGAAUAAAACUCUGACGUGGCACUUUAAAGUUGAUCUACUCUCUCUAGCGUUUCUAAAGCUUGUGGAUCCCACGAGAUGGAAAGCUGAGACAGAUUUUGACAUUAGUGAAGGAAGACUCGAUUAGCUGAGUUGGAGGAGCUCCUAGCUCUUGAUUACGUGUCAACAGUCUUUCUUUUCCUCUCUUUUUUUUUUUUUUUCCAAACUUGCUUGAAAACUUUUAUAAGCAAUACAAUAUUCAAAAUUAAAAUAUAGACAGACUUAGAAAUGAAGUAAAUUAUAUUAAAAUAAUAUUUUUUAUAAAAAAAUUUCAAAACUCAAUAAAAAACUAGUUAAAUCACCGUUCUAAACUUAUCUUAAAAGUGAAAGUUCAAAUUAUACCUGGAAUAAAGAUUCUGUUUGGAAGGUGGUUGCGGUUAUUUUUUAAAUAACUUUUCGUAUUAAAAUGUAUUAAAAUAAUAUUUUUUUAUUUUAAAAAAAUUAUUUUUUAAAUCAGCAUAUCAAAACGAUGAAAAAAAUAUAAAAAAAAUUAAUUUUUUUAAUAAUUUCGAAACUCAUUGUUAUUUAUUUAUUUAUUUAUUUAUCAAAAUUAAUGUUAACACCGUAAAAUCAUGAUGAUGAUGCUGCUGCUGCGAUGAAUAUAGAACAGUUAUCUCGUAGAUCCCCGAGUCAAUAAUAGUCCUAAUUGAAAACUUCGUACGGUGGCGGGCACCAAGUUAGAUGCAUUUGCAGCAGGGGAUGGCUGGUAUCCACCGUGUCGUUUCAUCCCCCGAAAAGGAUUGCCAGAACGGCAAAGAGUUCAACAAUUCUGUAAAGGUCUGCCUUUUAGGUCUAGGUUCAGGUUUUGGGCGGUGGGCUGGCCUACCAGACGUGGAGCCCACAUGGGUUCCGUGGUCCAGCCUGCCAAUCAGGCCGUGCCACGUGAAAUGCACGUCACCCACCACGUGGGAUGAUGCUGUUGCCAUGUCAUUAUUGGAUGGGACAGGGUCAUUUGGAUGCAAAAAGAGGUGGGCCCACUGGACGAAAUUAGGGAGCUGUUGGUAGACGAUGGACGGAGGAAGCUAGGCUUUUCGGAGGCAACAUCCAGAUUGUGGUAAUCUUUUGUAACUUUAGUUAAGAGAAAGUUUUGUGUUUUUUUUUUUUUUUUAAUAUAUUAAAAUAAUAUUUAAGCAAAGCUCAAUGUUCAUUACCAAUCGGUUAGGUCGAGUGGCAAUGACCUUUGUUGGCUCAUCUAGAAGGUAACUGAGUUCAACUCAGUCCAAUUUUACCUCAUGUAUUUCGCUUGUUGUUUUGGAGGUGAAAAUAGCAUACGCUGUUCACUGAGGUUUGCGUCUUCUAGUCUUUUGAUUGGCUUCCGUUAACAUUAUAGUUUUGAAACUCGGUCUAGCCUGGUAGGUCGAUUCGGGACCUGGCCGAUCCAGAGCUGAAAUCGGGCCGGGUUGAAGAAAAAACGGGGAAAGAAAAAACCCAGUGUGACUUGGCGGGUUAACCCGGCAAGACGCGGUUGCAAACCCGUUGACUUUUGUUUUUUUUUUUGUUUUUUUACUAAAACGACGUCAUUUUGAUUUUUUAAAAAAGAAAUGACCCGGCCGACCCGGUGACCCGGUCAAAACCCGGAACCUGGACCUUGGACCGGGCCGAGUCUUAAAACUAUGGUUAACAUAUUAUAAAUCAAAAAGCUAUGCUUUUGUAUAUAUAUAUAUAUAUAUAAUUAAUGUUUAGGUGUCAUAACGUAUUUUUUGACAUCGUGUAAAAAAUAUAAUUGUUAAUAAAAAAAUCAAUACUUAUAUAUAAUAAAAUAUAAUGAAGAUCAUAUACGUUAAUAAAAACAUGUGAGAUCUCAAGCUAAUUUUUAACGUGAUAGAAAAAUAAGACAAUGUUGAAUUGCAACAUUAAAACACCAUUUUCUUAAUCUUUGUAUAAUAAGUUUUCUAAGGAAAAGUGCAAAGAAAAAAAACUAAAAAACAAUUAUAAAAGAAUGAAGAUAAAAAUAAAAAAAAUGGUAUAAAUAAAUCAAUUGUAGAGUGAUAAAUAUUCCAAGUAUAAAGAAUAAAAAAUAAUAUUUUUUAUCCAAAAAACAUAUACAAAAAAAAUUACAAGAAAAUAAAGAUAAAAAGAUUGUGAUAGAAAUGCCAAGUAUAAAGAAGAAAGAACAUAAGAAAAACUUAUUUCUAGAAAAAUAAAAAAUUACAGAUUUGUCACCGACAUAGUAAAACAAUUGAUAAAAUUUAUAAUUAUGUCAUUUUUACAAUAAAAUAUUAUUUCCUUUUAGUAUAUGUAUAAUUAAGUUAUCAUUAAAUAUUCUUCGAAGAUAAUUAAAAAAACAGUAUAUAUCAUUAUACAACUAGAAGUAUUGAUGACCAUAUUAAAGUCAUUUCUAGCCAAUCAAACAAUAAAGAAAAAAAAAAUCAGUUUAAGUCCUGAUUAGGUGAUUCCUAAUUAUAGAGGAUGAAAUCAUAAAGAUGCUACGAGGAGUUAUGAUUUCUAAAAGAUUAUUACUAAAGAUCAAUCUACUUGUUUUUAGUGGGAUAAUCUAAAGAGUUAGAUAAGAAAAUGUAAAAAGUUUUUUAAUAUGCAUUUUACUCUAAUGCAUUAAUGGGUGGAGAUAGAUUUUUUAUACCUAGAAGGAAGGAUAAAAAUAUGAUAUGAAGGGUUUUUAAUAGGUGGAGAUGAUUUGAAAAAUUAAAAAGAAAUUAACAGAGUUAUUUGUAUCAGAUUUAAUAGGAUAAUGUAUAAUAAUUCAAUAUAUUAGUACAAGAUUCAGGAGUCGAGGAGUAUGUUGAAUUAUUUAAAGAACUUAAAUCUUUGAUGAAUGUUUUAAAUUCAUCACUAUCAAAAUCCUACUAUAUUUCUAAUUUUAUAAAUGGACUCAAAGAUGCCUAUGCUUAAGAUUCUUAAACCCAUAACUUGAUAUAGACUUUUGAUCAAGCUAAAUAGAAAGAAAAAUCCAACAAUGCUUUGGCCAAUAAUAAUAAAUUCAUACCAAGAACCAACUAUUCAUAUGGUUUGGGAAAAAUAACAAGUGAUUCCUACUCUAAACCUCUUAAUCAUUAAAAAAAAAACAAAGGUGUUAUAUAGCUCAAAACAAUAGCCUAAAACCUUACAUGAGCAAAGAAAAAGGUUGAGACAGUGUUUUAAAUAUAAGGAUAAGUAUAUACUGAGACAUCGAUGUAACAUGAGAGAUUGCAUAUGAUAAAAAGAUGAGAAAAAAAAAAUGAGGAAUUUGUAAAUGUAGCUGGAGGAUACAAUAAUAGAAUAAUAGUCGAGGAUGAUAAAAUCAAAGAAUAUGGAUUGUCCUUGAAUGCAUUGGUAGAUAGCUAUACAAAUAACACAAUCAUGAUCAAAUAUUCUUGUCAAGGAAGGAACAUUACCAUUCUAAUUGAUAAUAGUAGUACACAUGGUUUUAUUGAUACAUAAGUGAUUGAAGAAAUCAAGAAAAUCAUCUAAAGGACCACUAUAUUGGCAAUGAUAGUAGCUAAUUAAGGUAUUAUGAGAUGUGAUGCUUAUAGUUGUGAGUUCAAAUGGUCCAUGCAAAGUUAUGAAUUUCAAGCUGAUUCGAGGAUAUUGAAACUUGAUAAAUAUGGUAUGGUGCUUAGAGUAUAUUGAUUAAAGAUUUAUUCACAAAUUAUAUUUUAUUUUAUUAAAAGAAUCAUUAAAAAAAAUGGCAAAAUAAUUGGGCUAAAAAGAACUGUGGAAUAAGCAAGGUUGCAAGUAAUCACAACAACUAAUGCACAUAAGAGUUUAAAAGAAGACUUGUAGAUUUUGUUAGAUAUUGUUUUUUCCAUUUAAGCUUUUGAAGCACAAAAAAAGGAGUGUAGAAUAUAAUAAUAAAGUUAUUAUUAAAAGAAUACCAAUUUAUGUUUACAGAAUCAAAACAUCUUCCAACUGCCAUGAGCUUGGAUCAUAAAAUACUCAUGAUACUAGAAGCUAAAUCAGUCAAUAUUAGACCAUACAAAAUAUAUUUUAUGUAAAAAAAAAAGAUAGAGAAAUUGGUAAAGAAGAUGUUGCAUAAUGAAAUUAUUUAACACAACUACAACCUAUUUUCUUUUUUAAUAUUAUUGGUUAAGAAGAAAUGCUAUACUAGGAGAAGAGAACCUUUAAGACUCAUUAUAGGCACUAUGAGUUGAAGGUAAUUUUAUUUGGUUUCACUAAUAUAAUAACCAUGUUCAAGAUUUAUUAUUUGUAUUUUGGAUUUUGAUUUUAAUUUCUUUUAUCUUUCGUACUUUAGGUUGUUGUUUUAGUAAAUAUAGGGUUUUCUAAUCUAUUUAAAGAUUUUAUAAAUUUCUUGAAGAGACAACCAUUCUAUACUUAUUUUUAGAUAAUAAAAUUAUAAAUAUAAGGUUCACAAUUGCAUUCUUUUUAACUCAUUAAACUUGUAUGUUUUCUGUGUUAUUUUUGUCCUAAGAUGAACCUCUUAUAUAAACUGAUUUAAUAAAACCUCUUGGAAAAAAAUUGAGAGAAAUUGACAAGAACAUUGUACAUUUGUACCUUCAGGCUUCAAAGUUACACACAUAUACAAGAAUCUGUACUAUUCAACGUUCACUGGAAUUUUUGGAUUGAAGAGUUCAGUGGGUUCCUCUCACAAGCCCAUAACCUGACAGAUUGAAGUAUUGAAACAUUGGGUUCAUCACAUUACAUUUUUUUUUAAAAAAAGAAGAAGAUUGAAACAAUAUAAAUGGCCCAUGCAGGUUUCGAACCUGCGACCUUCGCGUUAUUAGCACGACGCUCUAACCAACUGAGCUAAUAGGCCAAUCCGAUGGGUAUCUUCUAAUUAACUGUACUGAAAAUAAGUGAAUAGGUUGGAUCUAAUCCAAUUCUGCAAGCAUAUCAUUUUAAAAAUCCAUCAACUCUGUGUCCCCAUUCUGUUUCUUCUUCUUCAUCUUUAGUUCAUACCUAAUUCAGAUAACAUGGCUAGAAAUUUGAUAUUCAGUAAGCAUCCCUCUUUUUAAAGAAAGUUAAAUGCCCUAACAGCAUCAGUGGUGAGUGCAGGCCAGUUCUUUGAAUGUUCUGCUUCGUCUACCUUGCUAAGAUGUCACAAUUAUAUAUCCAGCAGCUCCUAUACUGGAACAAGUGAUAGAUACGGCCAUGCUAGGCUAUCCUUCUAGCUUUUUGCCAAACCCUUGAAAUUAUUUGUUGUGGUUGGCAUAAUGGGUGGUCCAUAUAACGAUUGAUGAGUAUGUUGGCUCCAUUCGUUAACAUUAUGCCAUUAGAAAAGGGAACCCACUGGAAUCUUAAAUACUCCAAUAAAGAUCACAACUGUUGACGGGAUGUAUAUAAUGAUUCAAAUCCAAUAACAAUAAAGGGGUGAAGAAGAUUCAGGCAUCAUGUUUUUGACAAUGUUUAUAAAUUUGAAGCCUUUAAUCUUUGCCAGUUUUAAAGCCAGCGGUGUUUCUGUUGACGGUCAGUGCCUUGGAAAUUAAUUGUUCGUAGAUGGGUUUUAAUAUCAAACAAAGAACUCAAGAUCAGGCAUUCAACACAACGAAUAGACUGGUAUCUGCUAAGAAGGUGGAUAGAACACAAGUUUUUUCUGCUUUCUAUCCAUUAAUAACUGGAUCAGUGUCACCUAUUAAGGGUUUUUUUCGCCUUGGAUUCGAGGUAAAGUAGUGAUGAUAACUGGAAAAGCAGCGUUAAUUAAAGAUAUAGAACUGGUUAGGUGAAAAGCACAUGAAGAAAUCAAGAUUUUCGACAUUUACAGGCAAGCAAUUGUUUUCCACAUCACAAUUACAAUGCCAUAAAUUUCUCAACAUCAUUUUUACAAGCAUUUGGGGUCAUAAAGUUCCAAAUAUCAUAAAACAAAAUAAUUGCUUCCAUAUACAGCUAUGAGAACCAAGAAAAUGACAAGAGUACUCUAGUUGAAUAGAAAUAAAACUCUCAAGUUCACAUACAUAAAUCAAAUGACAUGUAUAAUCAAAAAAAUGGUUUUAAAUCAAAACAAAUGACAUAAUCCAGAUAUACCCUCUUCUCAUAAAUUAAUACACAACAAUGAAAUCCUGCCUUACAAAAACAGGACCAGCACACCUGCAAUAGCUAGAACCAAUUGACUCCAAAUACCUACACCAUUGAUCCUAUAAGAAGAAUUUGGGGGGGACUUUCCUGGGGCGCUCCCUGCUCCUGCUGAGUCGUCAGAUGUUGGGGAAUCUGCAGUAGGGCUAGUGUCAGGAGCUGGUGCUGGAGCUGGGGUUGGAGGUAUAUUAGUACCAAAGAUUGCCUCAGGAAGGAGGACUUUGUCAACUUGAUAGAUUGCAACAGGAUCAGUUGAAUGCACACUACUACUAACUUUAGUUUUAGACCAUCCUGAAUCAAGGUGCACGGUCCCAGAUGUAUCGGUGAAAUUCAAAGCAUAUCCUCCUGCACCAGCAAAUGUGCUGACAGGGCUCACUUGGCUAAGGUUCUUGAAAUCAGACAACGAGUAAUAAUGUGGCAAGGCAUGAAAAAGAAUGAGUUGCUUGAGCUGGUCUUGAGUUAGGUUUGACAAAGAAGCCUUCUUGAGAUUUUUGAAGGCAUCAUCUUUUGGUACGAAGAUGGUAAUGCCUUCAUCAGUGUUGUUGGCUUGGUUUUGAAAGGUGUCAAUGACUUUAGUGGACUCAAGGUAGUUAAGGAAGUUGUGGAAUGGGCCAGCAACAGAGAGUAAAUCAGUGAGGUUAACGUAAGGAGGUGAUGGUGCUGGUGCUGGGGAUGGAGUUGGGGUUGGUGCUGGAGGACUAGCUACUUUUUGAGCAUAUGCUAGUGGAGUGCACGAAAACAGCAGUGUGCUGCUAAGCACAAUAAUCAUAGAAAACUUCAUGGUUUAUCUUCUCUAAAUCCCUGCAAGAACCAAAUCCCAUCAUUGAUUAUAUCUCAAUUUAUGAGCACAAAUCUAUCGAUGGCAAACCAAUGCGAAUCCACAGCAUGAACAGAAAAACUAGCUAAUAAUUGGAGAAAUCAAACCCAGCAUUUCAGAAUCCAGGUGAGAUUCCCAAAUCCACAAAAUCCGACUAACCAAAUCUUUGUAAUGACCAUGGAAAGCCAUGGCUAUCACUACUUCAACAACAACAACAACAAAAAAAAAACAAGAUCCUUUUCAACUCAUCUAUAGAUAGUUUUAAAACAAUUACUAUAGCAAAACCAACCCUCUCUUCUAGGCACAAAUAAGAUAUUAAAUUAAUUGAGAAAGGUUGGAAGAGGAUCUAAUCUAAUGACAGAGAAAUGAAGCAAUGACUGAUGACAUAAAAAAUGCAAAUGCCAAUGCCGUAGAAAAGAAACAUCAUGCACAAAUCACAAGGAUGAAAUACCAUACCCAACUUGCUAAAUCCCCAGAAGAUCAAGUAUUCUUGCAAAAACCAAGAUCAAAACCCCAUUAAAAGUACAAUACAUCUUGUCCUUUUUAAGGUAAAAGAGAGAGAGAAACAGUGCAAUCUAUGUUGCUUUCCUUUCUCUUUCGUGACUGGAAGCUAGUAAAAGCAAGUCAAAACAAAUUCUGUUGGACAAAAAAGAAAACCACAGCCACCACACAAUGUAGUUCAACAUAAAGCAAAGAAACAGAUCUAGAUCAGCUCAUCCCAAUAGAAACAGACCCUUUAGCAUAUUUAACCCCCCCCAAAAAAAAAGGUUAAGAAGUACUGACCUGAGCAAGAAUUCAGAGAGAAAUUGUUUUGGUUUUGGCCAGGGAAUGCCAAAGUGCCAACGCUAAUGCUGCAACGCAAAAUGUAAUGUGUUGCACUAUAUAAAGAUGGAUUUUAACUAGAAAAGAGAUUAAAAAAAAAAAGGGGGUGGGGGCGGUAGCAGCUGGUGAUGGUUCAAGAGAUGAAUGUAAAGGUACAAAUCAGAAUACAUUUAAGUAAUUGUAGAAUGUACAUGGGCGUGAGGAGAGGAGGUGAGGCUGUCUAUUAUUCUUUAUUAGAUGUUGUUUUCACUUUCCAGACUUGGAUGGUUCUUUCUUACCGGGCAAAACAAAGCAUGCUUUCUUGGAAAUCUUUUCAAGGUAAGAAGAAAUAAAAAUGGGUGGCAUUUCUUAAUCAUGUAUCUGCUCAUUAUAUAUAUAUAUAUAUAUAUAUAUAUAUAUAAUUCUUGAGACACCCACCUUGCACUCUACCCUAACAUUAUCAUAAUCUCUCUCAAUUUAUCAUCUCAUGAUAAAUCAGCCUCCUAAAGGAUUUUGAUUUCAUAGAUGGGUUUGGUAAUGCACUGAUACUAAUUUUUCUUUAUUUCGGGAUGUAGUCAGAAAUAGUUUAUUGGCCGUCGUGAUUUUUUCUAAGCAUAAAAAAAAUUAAUAAAACAUGAGAUUAGAAAAAAUAUAUAUAUGAAUUUUUUAGCCAACACACAUUGUAAACCCUCGUGUAAACAUAAGAUCAAAAGUAAUAAAACUAGAAAAAAUAAAUAAAUAAAAAUAAAUAAAUAAAUAGUACAUGUGAUGUGUAAAGGGAAGGUAUGACAUCUAUAAAUAAAUUUAAAGGUAUUGAUGAAAUUAAAAUGAGGACUAGAAAAUUUAGUUUCAAAUUCAUAACGAUAGUAUAAACAGUAAUAGGUUUCAAUAGAUAGAAGAAUUAGAAAAAAUUAAAAUAAAUGUGUUUUGAAAGUGAUAAAAUAAUUCCAAAGAGUUAUAAUGAAAAUGAGGAAUUAAAUUUAAGAAAUAAUUACAUGAAAAAGUGUUGGUGUAAACCCCGGUUAAAAAUCAGUAAACUUACCGUGAAACAAUAAAAAAUCUGUAAACAAAAUAAAUUGUGAGAAGAAAAAAUAAAUAUAUUUUGAAAUAAUGAAAUGGUCCCAAGGAUUUAGUAAAAUGGUUAAUAUGACCUAUGUAAGGGUGGAAUAAGAGAAUUCAGAUUUUUGAUAAAAAAAUCAUAAACUAACUAGUUUUACGCUAUCAAGCAUAACUCUUCAUUUGACAGUCAGAUUAGACUGAAAUUUUACUUAAAGUCUCCUAACAUGUUUUUCUAUCCUGGGUUAAAUUUCAUGCCAAUCAAAGUUUGGUAAGGCCAUACAAAAUUAUCAGUGGCUGAGAGAAAAUCCAGAAAAAUAGCAUGUUAAUAAUAAAUAAGGGCAAAAAUGCAAUUGGCCAGACAAUUCCAGCUUCUUCUUCUUUUUAAAUGGUUAGUCAUUUUUGGAGGGGAGAGAGAGAGAUCUUUUUCUUCAUUUUUGUUCAAAUCAUCCUUGAAAAAUCACCAUAAAUGAGAGUUUUAGGGAGAAAAUGGAAGAAAAGAGGGAAAAGAAUGGAUCAUUGACAGAAAUUUAUGAGAAAAAGAGAGAAAUUUUUUGAUAGAGAGAGAAAGUAGAAGAUUAAAGAAGAAAAAAGGUAAUAGAAGCUUUGGACCAUGGAAAUUGUCAUUAAAUUGAAUUUGAAAGGGUAAAAAAGCUUUCCCUUACAUUUAUAUUCAAGUUUUAGUUGAUUUUGAUUAUGUGUUAAAUAAGUUUGAAAAAAGGGUUGGGGUUUGUUGAAUUAUGGAUGAAGAAAUGAUAUUUGUAUGAGAAAUAAGUUGUUAGAUUAUGCAAUAUAGUUGUUUAAGUGGAAAUCUUAAGAAAAAAAUUGAAAUAAACCAAUAGGUGUUUUGACCAUAAUUGGUUGGCCAUGGUAGAAGAAUUUAGAGAGGGAUUGUUGAUGUAAUUUUAGUGAAUUGGUGUGUGUUAAUGUGAUUGUAUAAGUUUAUGAGAUUAUAAUUAGGUAGAAAUCUUAAUGAUAAUUGUAAAUUUAAUGUUGUGUGAAUGUUUAGAAUGUGUAAAAUGAAAUUAUUGAAAAUUUAGUAUGGUGAAUUGUUACUUAAAUGAUGGUAUAAUACAUUUGGUGUUAAAAAGAUUAACAUGAUGAAGUAAUAAUUUGAGAGGAUGGGAAGAGUUAUACGUUUUGGGUUAAAUUGUUAAUAAAAGUUUUCUUUAUGAAACUUGAGAAAUAUUGGUUCCUUGAUUAAAUCAAAAUGUUGUGAUGUUGUGUAAUGGUAGGAUUUUGAAUAAGAUAAGUUUGAGAUUAUUAUAUAAAUUAAAGGGUUCAAGCAAUUAAAGGUAUGUUGCAAUAUGAUGAGAUAUAUUAGAAUGAGAUUGAAUAAAUGUUAAGGAAUUGUGAGUGGAUGAGGUAUCAUUAAAAUAAUAUGUAUGAAUAUUAAGAAUAUUCAUGAGUGUAAGUUAAAAUAAACUUAUUGAGAAGGUUGAACUAUUGUAAAUACGUUAUGAAUGAUUGAGAAAUUGUGUAAUAGAAAUUGUAUUGAAGAAAUUGAAAUCACUUGUAAAGGUUCAACCAUUAGUGAUCAACCAUGUGAGAUUUAGUUGGAAGUCGUGUGUUUGAUUUGGACUAUAAAUGCUAUGAUUAUAAAUUGUAUAUUAGGAUUUAGUUAUGAUCAUUUGAGUUAAGAUAUGAGGAAUAAAUUUUUAUCGGUGUGUAGAAGGGAGAAUAAUAACAUUGCAUAUAAGGUGUUUGAUAAAAUGUAUGAAAGAGAUGAAUAAGCUAGUGCUUAAGGUGUGGAUAAAACGACAUCAAGGGUGUUAAAAUUAAAUAAAUGGAUAGUUAUGUAUGUGUUUGGCCAAGCAGAAUGCCGAAAUUGUAUAGUUGAAUUUUAAGUAAAUGGAUGUUAAUAGGUGUGUAAAGUAGAUAUAAAUAAAAGUAGUGUAUCUAAUAAAUCAUUUUUUAGAAUGAUACGAUGAAUUAUUUUGUACCGACUUAGGAGAGACUCUAGAAAACUUACCAUGGAUCGGAAAAACAGGACCUACGUGUGAAUCAGGUAAGUGUCUUACAUCUUGACAAUUUCAUUUGUAUCAUUUAGAUAUUUUUUUAAACUACAGUUUCUUUAAAGAUGUAACUCAUGAAUAUUCAAUGAAAUAUUAAAAAGAAGGAAAAAAAUGUUAAUUUAAUUUAGUUACCUAAGGUAAUUCAGAAGCUAAUGAUAUCAAUGUGAUACAUUGAUACUAGUAUUUACUUAGAUGAAAGCAUAUUGGUUAAGGAUUUGAUUAGUCAUUUCUAUAAUGAAGACUAAUAAUGCCAAUGAAGUUUCAUUGACGUUGGCAUUAACGUGAUGACAUUAAAGUGUUGAAAAUGAACUUGAUUAGCUUUCCUGAUUCAGAAAGCUAAUGAUAUCAAUGAAUUGUAUUGGUAUCAACAUCUCUUAAACUUGAUUAGUCAUUCUCAGUUUGGGAGACUAAUGAUACCAAUAGAUUGUAUUGGUAUCGACAUCUCUUAAAUUUGAUUUGUCGUUCUUGGUUUAGAAUACUAAUGAUACCAAUGGAUUGUAUUGGUAUCAGCGUCUUUUAAAUUUAAUUAGUCAUUUCUGGUUUGGAAGGCUAAUGAUAUCAAUAGAUUAUAUUGGUAUCGACAUCUCUUAAACUUGAUUAGUCGUUCCCGUUUUGAGAGACUAAUGAUACCAAUGAUUGUAUUGGUAUCAAAAACUCUUAAACCUGAUUAGUCGUUCCUGAUUUGAGAGACUGAUGAUAUUAAUGAAUUGUAUUGGUAUCGAUAUCUCUUAAAUUUGAUUAGUUGUUCCUGAUUUGGGGAGCUAAUGAUACCAAUAAAGUUCAUUGGUAUCAGUAUAAACAUGAAAGGAAUAUAUAAAAAAAGGAUUUAAUUAGCUAUUCCUGAAAAAGAAAAUUAGAAGGAUAAUAAUGUCAAUAGGUUUGUUGGCACCGACAUGUACUAGAAAAUUUGAUUAGAUAUCUGAUGGAAUAGAAGCGAAUGAUACUAAAGGAAUUGGUGUCAGCAUACCAUUAAUUAGCCACACUUGAGGUGAUGGCUAAUGAUAUCAAUUUAGGAAUUGAUGUCGACAUCGAUCAAUUGACCAAGUUUAUAGGUGACAGAUGAUAAUAUUAUGUUAGAUGUUGAAAAUUCAUAUAAAAGACAAAGGAAUAAUAAGUAAAUGAGAUAAAAAGAUUUUACUUAUCAGCACGAGAUAAAGGAAAGAGAACUUAGCUAUAUUUAUCUGAUGUAAUAUUUUUAGUGAAAUUAUUUCAUUUGUUUAUCAACACUUUAUAAUGUGUUAUAUAAUUAUUUGUAUUUGAUAUUGGAUGGUUUGAAGUUAUUGAAAUAUAGUUGAUGUAGAGCAUGAUCUAGGAUCACUGGAUUAAGGGAUUGAGACUAUGAGUACAAGUAAAACAGGUUUAAGUCGAUAAUUUAAGAAUGAUCCACUUUAAAGAGAAACUUUGUGGAAAUCUCUGUAGAGAUAAUAAUGACCUUAAAAGAUUUUGUUUAUGGUAUCAUGAAUUGAGGUUGUUAUGUCUGAACUAGAUUUAAAGGUUGGGGUUGUUGUUGCAAUUAUGGCUAAUAGACCUUGGAUAUCAUAAGAUACCAUUUAUAUGAAAUUUAUUGUGUAUAAAGGAUAUUAAGACAAGUGUUAUUAAGAAAGGAGAUAAACUGAUGAAGACUUACAAAUGUAUUUUUGACUAUCAAUUUUAAAAAAGAGAUAAAAGGUGAAAAAGAAUGUGCUAAUUCAUAAUAUGAUUAUUGUUAGUACAUUAUUGAAAAUCUUAAAUUUGAAUGAAUUCUUAGGAUCAUAAUAUCCUCGAUCAUUAACAUGUUUGUGGAGCGUUUAAAUAAAGAAAGAGAAGAGAUAUGCAAAUGUGUGUGAGAAGAUCACGAGUGUACAUAGAGAUAAUAUGGUAGUGAGUUGAAUAAGUAUUCCUUGUUAAGUGAAAGGAAAUGUUAGAGGUAUUGGUUAUGAAUACAAGUGGUUUAUAAUUCAUAUUAUUUAUGUGUUACAAGCAUGGUUGUGAAAGGUUGAAAUAACAAUGUGUAAUUCAGAGUAAUUGGACUAUGAAAAAAAAUUAAUGCUAUAGUUAGAAAAAGAAAAAGAAAUAAAGAUGUCAUUAUCCAAAGUAUUUGUUUUACAAAAAAGACAAAAAGGAUAUUGCGUAUUGUUUUAGAUAAAUGUAUGUUUCAUGAAUAAAAUGCAUAAUUUUUUAUAUUAAAAUGAUUAAUUUUAUAUAUGUAUAUUUCAGGUCCAUCACAUUUGUCAUUACAGUAAAAGUAUGGUAGUUAGGUUUUUAUAGCCAUCUUAAGUAGAGUUUUGUUGUUUUUAUGUUAUGUAAUUAAUUGAAAUGUAUGUGUAUUUUUUUGGAGUUUUUAUCUAGUGAAAUAUUAAAUUACUAGUUAAGUUGGAUUUUCUUUAUACAUGUAUGUUAUAAUGAUAUAAGGACCUCAUAGAAACAUAUAUAUAUAUAUAUAUAUAUAUAUAUAUAUAUAUAUAUAUAUAUAUAUAUAUGACAAUUAAUGAUGGAUUAAGAGUAUGCCUGGGGCUAUUUAGGUACCGGUUGUUAAAUGUGAUAUUUAUGAGGGAUUAUAUAGGAAUUUGACAGGCUAAAGUUAUGGAUAAGAGUUCUGUGUGUGUGUGUAAAGGACAUUAUAGUGAUGUAGACAAUGAAUGAUGGAUUAAGGGUAUGUCUGGGGCUACCUAGGUACUAGUUGUUGAAUGUGAUAUUUAUGUGAGAUUAUACAGUAAUUUGACAUGAUGAGGUUAUGGAUAAGAGUUUUGUAUAAAUAAAACACUGCUAAAAUUUUAUAAAAAUGAACUAAGUAGAGACAUAUAAAUACUAUGUUAAUGUAAUGUAGGAGAUAUGAGUAUUUUGAUUUUUUUAAAAAAAUUACUCAAAUUCUUACGUGAUUAUUUAAAAUGAGAAUAAAUGCAGCCAAAAGUUCAGCAUGUUAUAUAUAUAUAUAUAUAUAUAUAUAUAUAUAUAUAUAUAUCAUUAAUGAAUUGGAAUAAAUAUCAUUUACAGAUCAUUAAUAAGAAACAAAUAUCCCUUACAGAUCAUUAAUGAACAUUAAUGAGACCUUGAGAGAUAUUCUAUACAACUACAGGUUUGAGAGAUGAUUAUUCCUGACAUGAAUAGAUCAUAUUAAUAAUUUAAAGAUAGAACCAUAUAAUCAUAACAUAGAUCUACAAGACUUAUUGGGUCUGACGUAUAGACUAACUUAAAAGAGAUAAGUCUGGCAAUUCAUCAGACCUAUGAUACCCUGGGCUCAACUCAUGAUUGAACCCAAAUAUACUGGGUCUGACAACUUACCAGACCUAUAGUACCUUGGGCUUAGCUCAUGGUUGAUCCCAAGUAUGUUGAGUCUAGCAUCUUGCUAGACCCACGGUGCCUUAAGCUCAAUACAUGGCCGAAUCCAAGUAUAUUAUGUUUAGUAACUCGUUAGGCCCAUGGUGACUUAAGUUCAGCUCAUGGAUGAACUCAAGUAUACUAGAUUUGACAACUCACCGAACCCAUGAAGACUUGAGCUCAGCUCACAGCCAAACUCAAGUAUAUUAGGUCUGAUAAUUUACUAGACCCAUAACACCUUAGGCCCAUCUUAUGACUAAAAUCAAAUACAUCGGGGUUGAUAGAUUGUUAAACUAACAUUUAAUUAGGUUAUCAUCCUAUAAUAGAUUUGGAUUAUUUCAAAGCAUAAAAUAAUAUUGGAUAAAAAUAUAUUUACUCAUUAUAAAGCCAAGAUGAAAUUAAUAGAUUCAUCUAACUUUUGGAAAAAAAAAAGAAAAGGGAAUCCAUUAUUUUAAUUUUCUAUGUUAUUGUGAUUAAAAUUUAGUUAUUUUUUCUUCUUAAAAACACAUUUUAAAGCCACAAUCUCCCAAAACCAAUCAAAGUAUAAUUACUGUAUUUUUCAAUGCUUAGAAUAAAUCCUUCAAUUUCAUUUGACUACAAGACUCGGGUCCCACUUAAAUUGUUGAUUCUCAUGAGUCAUGACCAUGUUGAAUUUUGGUUUCAAGUAACACAAUAAAAAAAUUAAAGAAUCAUUUUAUUUCUAUUUAUAAAAUUAUCAGUUUUGGUUUGGUUUAAAAAUCAAUUUAAGUGUAGAUUCUCGAAGAAAAGAACAUUGAAUUACAUCUCAUCAAAUUGGUCAAAAAUAAGAACAAAGCAAAUUAGGAAAACCCAAGAUAUGGAAACGAAAGUGAGAGAGUUUUUUGGAAUCAAAAUAUCGUAGGGCAUGGCUUUGGUGUGAAAUAAUGGAGGGUGAGGGUGGUGCCGUGGUGGUCAAGAGUGAGGGCCCGCCAUGAUUUUUGGGCCAACCAGCAUUUCGCUGUCCCAGCCCCUAAAUUCCACCCUUGACCCUCAAAAUUCAAGGAUCUCAUUUUUUACGAGGGAAACGUCAUCGUUUCUUCGAUAUUUUCCACCGACACUUAUUUGUGCUUAGUGUACAAGUUGACCAAAAUGAAACGAAGGAAUUAACUCAAAUAUUAUUAAUAUGUUCAUCACAUGAAAUUCAUCUUUCAUAUAACCAAACCUCACAUUGUUUUUCUUUAGAGAUUUUCUUUUCCAUUUCGUAAAUAAUAAUUCCGUAAUAUAAAAAAAAAUGUUAUUUAUAGAAGAACAUAAAUAUAACUAUCAAAAUAAAUAAUAACAGUUAGUUGAUUAACAGAUUUAAAAUUUUGGGUCUCAAAAGCGUUUUAAAAAAAGAUUAAUUUUUUUUUUAUUUUUUCUUUGCUUCAAAUUAAUAUUUUUUAAUAUUUUUAGAUUAUUUUAAUGUACUAAUAUCAAAAAUAAUUUUUUUAAAAAUAAAAAAUAUAUUAUUUUGAUAUUUUUAUGAGUGAAAAACCCUUUGAAAAACAAACGCAACCAUACUUCCAAACAUGCCAGCAAGUUCCAACUAUGAGUUGGGUUUUUAUUCUUAAAUGGUUUUUUUUUUUUUUUUGCAAUUCAAACUUGAGAAAUUAAACAAAUUAAUGAAGCAUCUCAAGUGAUGAUUUAUUAUGACCUGUAUCCUUAUUAAUAUUUAUUAAAGCACGAGGCAUGUGAAGUCAUGGGGAUUUGAGGACAUAUCGGGCAAGUUUAAUCUCCUAAUCAUAACUUAAUCAACAUUGACUUCGGGUUAGGAAGGUGGGAUUUGUCUUGUGAACGUAGAAGGAAAAAAAACCCAUAAAGAAGAUUAUUCUGUCUUGUGCUUGGUGAAGGUCUUGUGGCAAUAUCAAGACCGAUCGACCAAAUUAGUUGGUUAGACCUUGAUUUUCGCACAUGGGUUUUUUUUUUUUUUGUUUUUAAGAAAUCAUGGCAUUACAAUUAAACUAAUCAAUAUCAUUAUCAAGAGGGUUAGCGAGCUAAAUAUACAUUAUUCGGUGGAGGGUCUCUUCAUGUGUUCAUCAACUAAUCACGACCUUACAUAAUCUGAUUCCACCCAUCUAUACAGUUAAAUUCAAUUUCUCAGUUAACAACUUGUUUAAGAACUAAAUCUAACACUCGAAAGAGUAGCUUAAAAGUUACUUGCCAUUCCCAACAAGCUCUCUCUUUCUCCUGUGAGAAUAAUUAUUGCUAGCAAGAAGAAUGUUGGGGAAAAAGAAAAGAAAAGUCCAGGGCCAAGUUGGAUUCUUGACAAGCAGGGAAAGGCUAAUAUCAACCUGGAGCCAGGGUGGAGGUAGAGGUCAGAUGGGAGGUUACUUUCAACUGUGUAUAGCAGUUACGGUGGCCCUUUCAAGCUCAUAUGCUCCAUAUUUUGUUGUUGUUGACGAGUCUGGUGGCCCUUCUAGAGGUCGGUUUUGAUUCUGAAACUUGCAUGGUGAAAAAUAGUGUUAAUUUCAUUUCGUGAGGGAGUCAUAGAGUAUUAUUAUAUGUUGAUGUCGCCGAGGAAAGGAAAGAAAACAAUAUUGUAUAUUGAAUUGGGUUGGGUAGAUUCUACUUAUCAAAGAGCUCACUGAAGUCUCACAGCCCAAGACUGAUAGACCCAAAUAAGAGAUUACCAACCCCUAAAACAAAAUACCAGCCCACCUAAAAUCAUUACAUUUUGAAAUAUUAAUGUCUUAUUCCUUAAAUCGAGGAUUUUAAUGUCUUUUCAAGAAAACUCUUUUUUUUUUUUUGAAAAAUUAAUGUCAUUUAUUUCUUAAGCAUUUUAAGAAUAUUUUUCUUAAUCGAGGAUUCUAAUAAAUAAAGAAAAAGAAAAGAAUUGAGGAGGUUUACAAAAAUUAAAGCAAGUACAAUAUUCUAGCCAUGCCUGAAAGGAAUUUAAAUAGACACGUACAAUCAAAGCCAUCAUCUCCAUGACUAUAAAAUAUUCUCGUGACUCCUAAUUCAUAUAUAUAAACAUCGAGUAACCUGAGUUACACAACCUACUGCAGAAAUGGAGAAAAGGCAAGUACCUUAAAGACAUGCCAAGCUUUCAUUUAUUAAAAAGAAAAUUACCAUUUGCACUUUCUUCGUCUCUAUUGCUGUGAGAUAUCUGGCCACAGACAUGAUUGCAAGAGGUUAAUGGAACUAGAGACAACAAUUAAACAUGGCGUGAAGAUCAGGGAAGACAUGGAACUAGUAGUUUAAGAAUUAUAACUGGGUGAGACAGAUGUGUGAAAAGGUUGUUGGAAGAAUGAUCGAUCAUUCAAGUAGCAGCCCAUUCUUUUCGAAUGCCAAAGGUGUAGUUGAUCUCCAAGUAGCACUUGUUAUCAUCAUCAAAAAACUGAAAGAAACAGAGAUGGUUAGGACAAAUUAAAGGGAGAUGCCAUAUUGUGAUUUUGCAUCAGAGUACUGUUUACUAGCAGAUUAUUAAAAUGAAGAUCUCUUUCUUCUUUUUGAGAUUAUAUUCAAAGAAAAACCUCAAAAAGUUUAAAACUAACCUUCGACCUUGCAGAGUAUGAUCCUCUAGCAAACAUGCCCGAGGGUGUGGUCUCCUCUGGAUUAACAUGCGUGUAAGCCUCUGGCUGAGGACUGUAGGUUCCAAGCAUUUCUUUUGUGCUGUCCACUGAGUCAACAAAGACUGAUUAUAAGGGGGGAAACGUUCAAGUGUUUGGAGCACAGGUUUUGGCACGAGUCAGGAUGUAGAUAGCUCACCCUUGACGCCAGUUUUCCAAACAGUAUUGGUGUACUUGAGGCCAGACACAAUGUUAUUACUGACUUGGAAGGAGAAUUUCAAGCUAUGGGGACUGCCUUCUUUCAAUGUAAACCACAAGCCUUUGGGCUUCCCAUUCUCAGGAAUAGAAAGUACGAUGUCUGGUCUUCCAGGAGAGAGGAUCGAAAGAUUAAGAAAUUUCACAUCUGGUUCAAGCGUUUCUGCAAUAAUGAAAAGAAAAACAAGAUUAUUUAGAGGAUUAAAUAAAAAAAGAAAAGGAAAAGAAUUCUGUUCAAAAUUCUUCAUUAUCUUUGUUGGAACAUGAGCAACUCUAGCUAACAGAAUAUGGCACAAGAAUUCGAUCGGCAUACGCACAAGGAAAGGGAUUCAAAAUUCUCUGCAUGAACAUGUAACAUUAAUUAUAGAAAUGAAAGAAUUAACAGAAACCAAGAUAUAUUUAAAGAAUUUCAGAAGUUAGAAUCCAACAAACUCGCAUAAUUUUAGAUAAGGAAAAAGAAAAUAUGACGACAUGCAUGCACCUCCAAUGUUGUUCAAAUCCACACUCCCAAGAAGCUGCUCCUUCCAUUUCCUCAAGCUCUCAUCAUCCUGAACUUCCAAAAUCCAUGCACCAAUAUAUGAAAAAUGAAUUAACAAAUGCAUUUUCAUAACUAAAAAUGGAACAUGAAAUAAUAACAACAACAAAAGAACAAACCUUGUCUUUUUCAAGCUGUUCUUUGAGGGUGUACUGAGGACCCAGCUGAAGUUUGUUGGUUCCGUUCUCGUCAUCUUCCUCUUCGUGAUCAGUCGCAUACAUAGAGGUCUCACUCUCACUCAUCUGCCUUCCUAUCCUCACUCCACCAUCAUGAUCCUCGUCACGUGUUUCCAGAACUCCACUUUUCUCUCCUCCUUCCUUCUUCUUCUUCUUCUUGUCGUCAUCAAACCCCAUAUUUCUCAAACUUGAUGUAGCUCCAAUAGCCAAAGACAUCAACUUUAAGAUCUAUAACAAUGCACUACAAAUUUAUAAACUUUGAACCCAAAAAAGAAGAAGAAACGACGAUAGAAAGAUUACUGGUAAGAAUUUGUUAUAUCGAAGGAAGAAAGAAAAAAGACUGAAGAGAAUCCAAAAUGGGAGCAAAGUUAAUUUAUCACUUGACUUUUGCCGCGUCGAAGAAAAAGAGGCAAGAAAAGGCCAAAAGAUAUUUUUGUGCAGACUCCACCUAACGAGAGACAAAUAAAAGACCCACAAUCCACAAACAAAAGCUCAGCAAAGACAAAAAGAAAAAGAAAAGGAAUAACUAGGUUUGUCUUGUCUCCUGGCUUUUCUUGUCCUUCUUUUUUCUUUCGGUUCGGGUGGAUUGUUGUUGAAUCUCAAAACAAUUUGAGAUAGCUCGAGAGAGAGAGAGAGGCAAAAAAGAUUGGGAAUUCGAUUUGAGGUAGCUGAGAAAAGGUCAUGGGGUGAUCCGAAAUAUCAGAAAGAAGGUGAAAGUCACUAUAUUCUGUAAAGGGACAUGGUAGGUCGACGGAUUUUAAUGAAGCACAGUCUCAGCCUAGGAUUGAGGGUGAUCUUAACUGUCACUUUUGACUCUUUCUUUAAAUAUCUAUGCAAAUAAUCUAACAAGAAAAGAAAAACUUACUAGCAGUCAAUGGACCGUGAUUGGUGUCUUCUAGUUGUUUUCGUUAAUUAAUGAUGCCAUGCAUGCAUUUAUUAACUUCCAAUCCUCUUUUUUUUUUUUUUUCAAUGAUUCAAGAAAUUCUCAUGUCACUUUUACAUAUCAAAAUUAAGUUAAUCUUUCUAGUACAAUUAAAAAAAAACUCAUGACCUUCUCUCGCAUAGACUACCACAAAAUCAUAGUUAUCAAAUCCGGUUUGAGGUUGACACAACCAAGAAGCUGGGUCCCGGGUCACAAGGGUUGACCAGGGUCAACCUGAAAAUUUUUUUAAAAAAAAUUUAAGAUUUUAAUAUUUCAUAUGAAGAAAUUAAGAAACAAUCCAUGUGGAUAUAUACUAAAAAAUUAUUUCAAAAGGUUUUUUAUCCCACAUUAAAAAAAUAUUAUCUUAUCCUUUUAAGUUGAAAUAUUUAAAUCAAAAUUUUUUUUUAUUUCACGUUAAAAAAACACAAUGUUUUUCUUGUGAACAUAAAGUAAAUAUAUUAAUGGACUUCAAAUUUCACAUUGAAAAAAUAAAACUUCUUCUAGUAUUUAUAUAGUGAACUUUGAUAUGAGUUAGUAAACCCGGCCAGGCCCUGGGUUAUCCGGGUCCCGGGUCAACCUACCGGGCUAGGCCGGGUCUGAUAACUAUGCACAAAACAACAAACAAAUACAACAACAACAAAAAAACAAGCAUUGAAAAUCAAAAUAGAUUCAAGGGAAAAUUUACAUUUGUGGUCGAAACGCCACCAUUUUCUCUCUAAAUAAUCUUUCCUAUAAGUUUCUCUCUCUCCCUUCUUGCACUUUAUCUCUCUGCUCCUUUCUCUCUCCUCUCUUGCAUCAUAUGACCUUUCUCUGUCCUCACACCUCGGGGAGGAAUAUGAUUAGUGAUUGUGAGAUCUCUCUCGCCUAUCUACCUUCUUUUCUCUUUUUUAAGAUCUUUCGCGCUUAGUAUCAUCGUGCCUAGAUGAUUUAUGAUGGUUACGAUGGUGAGAUUCUUUGUCCAAUUGGUUUUUGUGGUGGUCACAAGUGAGUUUGAAGGAGCAAUCUAUUGUAAUCAAGGGUUUUAAAUUGUUAAUACUCUCUUAUCUCAUUCACUCUAUUUCUCAAUUUACAAAAAAGAAGACAAUGCAAAGAACUAAAAGAUUUUGUUACUCUCUUAAUCCCACUCACUUUAUUUCUCGAUUAGUAAAAAAGGUAAGCAAAAAUGGUGCAAGAAUUGAAGAGCAACUUCAGUGUUUAUAUGAAUAGUGAUUACCACCCUAGUUCUUUUAGUUGUUUAGCAAGAGACAGUGCAAAGAUAGUAUAAGAAUUGAGAAGUAGCUUCAUUGUUUAUAUGAGCAGUGAUUGUUACCAAAUUCUUUUAAUUGUUUAGUUAACUAGAGAUGAGGCUUUGUCACACGUUAAACUUGAAUAGAGAGGUUCACCAAAUAAUGAAAACAGGUUAGGUUUCUCAAUUGAACACUAUUAUGAUACUUAAAGUAAAUUCAUACUAGUAAAAGAUAAUCAUGAUUAUAUUUGAUGAUUAUUCAUCAUCAAUAAAUAAGCAGCAAAUCACCAUUCCAACUGUAGUUAAAAAUAAAUAAAAAACCCUUUUUAGUAAAAUCAUACAUAUUUGUUGUAUUUUCAAGAUAGUACUUUUAUAUUUUUCCUUUCAUGAAUCAUGGCUAGAAUUAUGUAAAGGUUUUCCUUAACAAAGCAAUGUAUAGAUUGAAAAAAAGAGUAUAAAAUAAAAAAAAAAAGAAAAAAGAGAUUGAGAAAAUGUAUUAUAGAAACUAAAUUUUUUAUUGUCUGCCUUUCACGUUUCUAUUACACUAUACAACGAAUUCCUUUCCUUUAACUGUUAUCCAACUAACUAACAUGUUAACUAACUAUAAACAGCUAAUUAACUUGACAUGUGUUAAUUCUUUACUAGCUAACUCUAACUGUUGUUGUUAAAAUGCAAUUACCAUUGCUACCAUAUCUGUUAUAUUGCUUGUUGUUAUUGCCUUCAUUCUUAUACUAAAAGCUUACUAUUGAUUUCUUCCAAAGCUAUUCAACAAGCUUUUGUAACAAUACACCUCCCUAUAAGAAUCUUGUUCUAAAAAAUAGUCAUAACAGAUUUUAACUCCACAUUUAAAAAAAGAUAAAAAAAAAUAAUACGGAGUAAAAUGACAAUCAGGUGAAGAAAUAGGGCCCAAAAUAAAAUAAAAACAAAUAGUUUGGGUCUCUCCUAAACAACUUAAAAAAGGAUCAAGAGAUAAAGGGAUAAAAUGAUUGGCAAGUAAAGAUACGAGAUCAAUAGAUAAAAGAUCAGGAUGAAAAUAAAAUAUUUGAUGAAUAGUCUAUAUAUAGAUACACAGUUUAGAAAUUUUUUUUCAUAAAAGCAUACAUAAAAAAAUUCAUGAGAGAUUAAAGUGCAAAGCAUAGGAAAAUUCAAGAGAAAACACAGUGCAAAAAAAAAAAACAGAGAAAAAAACACUUUUCAUCUUCUUCCCUAGAUAACAAACCAAACCUUAGCCACCCUCUCUCUCAUUAACUUUCAACCAAUCAUGACAGACCAGCCAUAACCUUCUCUUACUGGUUAGCCCCUCUCUUCAACCACCCUACUACCAAACACUUGAUCAUCAUCGACAAAUAAGCCCUAAUUCCUUUGAAAAAGGAAAGAAAACCACUCCAACAACCCUUAAAAUUCUUAGCCUCUACAACUAUCCAGUUGGAUUUUUCUUCUAUUUUUAUUCAGCUAAAUACUAAAGAUCAACCUCAAUCUCUCUUGUUAAGAAUGAUAAAGAAAAUCCUUUAUUUACAAACCAAAACCAAGCCACAACUGUCCUAAAUUUUAACCUAAAAUCACACCAAAAUCUAUCAUUUUCCUAAUAAAUUAUCCAUAAACAUGACUAAAAACUCAUCUAAUUUAUCUUAAAAAAGAAUCCCAAAAGUCACAACCUUAAUUUUCUUUUAAAAUCCCAACAUUUUUAUGGGUUUUUUGAAAGUCAAUAGUAGUGUGUGAGGAGCAUUCGCUAACACCAAACCUACAACUCAAACUAUAAGUGCAUGAGACGCACAUGUUGAUAUUGUUUAGCCUUAUUCUAGGUAGGUCAUUUUUUAUGGUUUUAGAAAGUCAAUUUUGAAUCCAAAAAUUAUUUUUUACUUUGUAUAAUUUUAAAAGUAGAACCUUGUAGCCAAACCUAGGUCUUAAACCACUUCUUUAAGAUUAAUAGCCUUUACCAAAUAUGCAUAUACUAGUUUAAACAAAUUUCAGCAUGAGCACAAUAGGUAUUUUUAUCAUUAUAAAACAAGAACAAUGUAGCUUGUAUUAGGUAGAAUGCUUUAGAGUGAUGUUUAUCUUACCUUUAGCAUAAUUAACUCCUUACCUAGAACUUUGAAGACUAGUUAAAGUUUCCUAGUUACCAUAAACUAGGUGGCGACUCCUAUCAUCUCAGCAAAAACAACAUUCAAACAUUUUAUAAACAUCCAUAUAACAUUAACAACCAACUCAAAACAACAUUAAAUAAAGAAAAACAAUAUUUUUAUGCAUUAAUCAAGAUACAAGCUUAACUCCACAAGACACCAAAACAAGUAUAAAAUGUCAUUAAAACAUUUAAGAAAGAGCUAGAGUUGUACCUCAUGGACAUCACCUAAUAGGUUAGAUGAGGUUUUUAUACCUUCAAAGAUUCAAAUAAUGACUGUUACCUUUUUUUGCUCUCUUUUGCAAAACUUUACCUUUAAAAAUUUCAAACCUUUCAAAGUUAAAAAAAAAACUCUUGUGCUAGGCUCAUGAACCUUCAUAACUAAGUUUCUUUCUUCUAAUUUUCUCUUCUGCUUUUUUCCCUUGUUUUUUCUAUUUUUCUCUCUCCUAAUUCUCCUAGGUAUUUAUAAGUUUUUACUAGGUUUUUUUAUGGAUUCAAUCAAAGAUUGAUCAUUAUUAAUCAAUACUUGUCCCUCUAAUCAAAAUGGGAGGGUUUUGGACAAAUCUUCAUAGCUAAAAGCUCUGUACUUGGCUAGUUUUGUAAUGGUGGUUUUGGUUUUUAAGAUUCUUAGUGGUUUUGCUAGAAUUAGAGGGCAAUGAGCUAUUUCUAGCAUUUUGAUCUUGAGAGAAAGGUUUUAAGCUCUUAAUAAGAACCUUAUAAAAAGCUUUGAAGUGUGAACACAUGAAAAAAAAGAGUGGUCUUUGCAUAAUGGGUAUCACAGUCAUCGAUGACUGGGUUACCCACUUUCGAAGCCUUGUCGGAGCAACCCUGAUGUCAUUAUUGUUUACUACCACUUGAAGUUGGUAGAGGGGGUGUACACCUUUUAUUUGGAUCUAACCUUGCUUGAUUUAACGGUUUGUAGCUUCACAUUCACUCAUUUGAAAGUGCCAACUCGAUCAACCUAGAAUAUAUCAAUGCAGUGAUGAUUGAUCAGGGAUAAGAUGUUGUUGAGUUCAUUGAAGAAAAUGGGAUGUAAAUGUUUGAUGGGAGUAGUUUUUCUUUAUAAAAAGGAUGUUUCUCAAUUAAAUGGUGGUAGCUGCAACUCCUGAGGUGGUCAAAGACGUCAUAUUCAUUCGUUUGAAGAUGCUUACUCGAUCAGUCAAAGCUGUAAAAAAAAAGAUACAUAAUGGUUGAACGACGCGUCAUUCAAUACCUUUAAUUAAAAAAACAGAUAGACAAUGGUUGAUCUAAGUGAUGCAUCGUCUAGGUUAAACUAUGAAAACUAGGGUUUUUAAUUUUGGAUUGGGCAAACUUCAAUUUAGUCCCUGUUUUUUCAAUUGCUUUAAAUUAUGCCUGUAAUUGCCUCCUAACUUUUAAUUUCAUGCAAUUCCACCCCUAUAAAACUCAAUUGUCAUUCCCAAAGUUCAACAUCUUUUCUGAUUUGGUCCUUUAUUCCUGAUUUAUACAAAUUGACCAUCAAACUUUCAAUUGUCUUCAAUUUAGCCCAUGAUUUUGCCGAUUUAAGUCUCUGAAGUCCCGCGCCUUUUAUGGUUUGGUCAUUGAUUUUGAAUUUAUUUGAUCAAUCCCUAAUUGCCUAUUAAACUUCAAUAUUUGUGCAAUUAAACUCAUGAUUCAACCAAAUUAGAAACCAACUUAUCAGACAAAACAAUGAAAGGUUCUGAAAGUCAUGAUAAAACUUCUUGGACUAAAAAAAUAUUGCAUAAUUUUUGUGACAUUUAUAUCAAAGCUAUUAAUAUUAGAAUAAGAUCAAAUAAUCAUUUUGAUAAAGUUGGUUGAAAAUUUGUUAUGACUACCUUCAAGGAAAAGACUGGUCAUGCUUUCACCAAUACAUAAUUGAAGAACAAAUAGGAUGGUAGAAAAAACAAUUAGAGGAUAUGGAAAAAAUUGAUUGUUGAAAUUGGUGUUGGUUGGAGUAGUGAAUUAGAAAUUAUUUCUAUAAGUGAUGAGUGGUGUAAAGCAAUCAACCAUUGUCCAUUAUUGCUAGCUUUUCUAGUAGCACCAAAACCCAUCUUCUUCUCCUCAUAGAUUAACCACUAAUCAAUUAAAAAGUCAUACCUGCCCACUAUCUUGUUUUCCCUCUUCUUUAACUCCAUAGCUCGCACCACCAAUAGUGGACAAUGAUCCCAUGUAGGCAUAUUUGUUAGUCUGGAUGCACACCAAUAAUCUAAAUGUUUUGAUGAUAAUAAAAUAUGUGAUUAAUGUUGUAUAACUCUAAUGAUAGCAUAAUAUGUGAUUGAUGUUGUUUAAUAUAUGUUUAUGUAAGAUUUUGAUGAUAAGAUAAUACAUGAAUGAUAUUGUUUAAUGUAUGUUCAUGUCUAUGUUUUAUAUCGAUGUCUUAAAUUAGCAUAAAAAAUGAUGUUUUGAUAAAUGACUUUAUUUGUUGCAUUGAUAUGUUGAAAAAAAUAUUAGUUAAGUAAUGUUUUGAUUUGAAUAAUGUUUUUAUAUGAAUAAGUGAAUAAUGAAAUAAUGGAUAUAUUGGUUGGUAUUAUUGAUUUCAUAUUGUGAAAUUUUUUUAAUAUAUGCAUAAGUUCUUGAAAUUAGCAUUAUAAAUUAUCUCAAGCACGGUGAAGCAGUCAAAUCAAAAGAGAAACAAUGAAAGAGCACAUAACGACUUAUCAUUUAUCAAAGAGUCAUGGUAUAAAUUUAUUAUCCUCUGAAUUAUUUGUGAUAUGUGCUUAUUGAAAAGAGGUAUAUAAUAUUUGACUCCGUAUUUUCUCAUGAUUAUCUUAAUUAUACUUUUAUGGAAUAAAUUAUUUGAAUUGGUUGAUCUUUUAUGUAAACCCUGGUGUGUGUGUGUGUGUGUGUGUGUGAGAUAAAAAAAAAAAAGGUCUCGAAAAUUGAGUAAAUUAAUUGAUAUGAUUUGUACAAGUAUGAAAUAUGAAAAUUUGAAUUUUUGACGAAAAAUCACAAACCGGCUAAUUUUACGUUGUAGCACGUAACUUUCAAUUUGGUCAUCAGAUUAAGUUGAAAUUUUGCUUGGAGUCUUAUAAAAUAUUAUUUUAACUUAGGUUAAAGUUUUAGAAUUUUUGGAGUAUGAUAAGAUUUUUUUUUCAGAUAAAAGAACAAAUAGCACAAAUGAGUCUAGAAAUUUCUUUAGGGACCAAAUUGAAAACUUGCCCAAAACAACCCUCUUUAUAAGCUGCCAACAAAGAAAAAAAAGGAAAAAGAGGGAGUGUGCAGCCAGCCAAGAGAAGAAAAUAUGAAAAAAGGGCUUUUGUCAUUUUUCAUGGAAAUUGCUUGGAAAAAAAAAGUGCAAGUUAGAAAGAGUGUUAAGUAAUUAAAGAGAGGGUUUAAUACAUUAAGGAGCAUACAAGGAGUUUAAAGAUUUUAAAUGUGCUUUUAGAGAAGAAAAAAUUGAGCUUAGAGGAAAGUGUGAAGGAGAAGUUGAUUCAACUUGUUUUGGUUUUGAUUCUUCAUUCCUUAAGGGUAAGAAAACUCUCUAUGAUGAUCCAUUGUGUUGUUUUUCAUGUUUGUUCUUGGAUUGAGUAGAAUUGAUAUUAUGUGAAUGUGGGUUCUUGAUGUUAGGGUGGUUUGAAUGCAUGAAUUUAUGUUGAUUAUAUGUUUGUUGAGUGAAUAAAUGUUUGGGCUUGUUAUUAAUUAGGUUAAUUUGUUAAAAAAAAAUAAGGAAGCAAAAGAAGAAGAGAAAAGAAGAUGGAGGGGGAUAAAGAGUGGUUUCCACCUUGGAUUUGCUAUUGAUCCCUUAUUAUGUUAUGAGUAAAUAUGAUCUUAUUAUGUUGAUUAGUGAAAUUUUAUAUAUUGAUGCUUAGUUAUUAUUAUGUAUGAUUAUGGAACUCUUAGAUAAAUAGAAAUUGUGGAUGUAAUUUGUGAAGUUGUGCUAGAGUAUUGUAUGUUGGCAUGAAAAAAUAAAAUAAAAUAAAUUAAAUAAAUGAGUUAAAGAUAAUUAAGUAAAAAGUUGAAGAAUUAUCAUGUCACCAUUUAUGCUUGAAGUUCCGGCAAGGGUAAAGAAUUUUGAGGGGUGGGUUGAAUUGAUGUAAUUGAAAAUUUUUCAUGACUUAAAUGGAUGAAUUGAGUUUGGAUGAUGGAUUAAAAUUUAGAGUAAAAGGGAAUUUAUCCUCCUCUUAGAAAUAUGAAUUUGGCCAUGGAAAAUAUAAGAAAUAAAAUUUCAAGCUUGAAGAAAUUAAUGAAUUGCAUUUAAAUAGUGAAAAUAAUAAUAAUGAAAUAAUGUGUUGAAUUAGGUGUAAAUGAAUUAAAUGUCCUAUAGUUAUUGGGAAAUUUUUAUAAUAAUAUAAGAUUCCCUUAUAAUUAUGAUGAAUUAAAAGUUUAAGUGGAUGUAACAUUGUAAAAAUUAUUUGUGGAAUUAUUAAAGAACAUGAAAAAAAAUAAUGAUAAUAAUUUCAGGUAUUAAAAUUGUAUUGAUCGAAAAUUUUACUAUGUGGAGAAGUUUUAAGUAAAUUAUUGGAUGAUGAAGUAUUAAAAUCAUGUGAUCUUUUAAAUAAAACAGGAGAGGUUAGAGGCUCCAAACAGCAACAAGGAGCUACUAGUCGAGCAUCACUAGUAGGUAGGUGUCCGACAUCUUGAAUUUUUGUUGAGUGAUUAAUUGAAAAACAUGUGUUAAUUUUAAUUAGAAAUUCUGUAAUUUAUGUUUUGAUGUUAACGGAUGAAUUAGCGCCCGGUAAUUAAGUAGGUGAACUAGCGCCUUGUAAUUGGGCGGGUGAACAUAUUUGGGUAGAUGAACUAAUACCCGGUAAUUAGGCAAAUGAACAUAUUUGGGCGGAUGAACUAGUGCGGUAUUUGGGCAGGUGAACUAAUGCCCGGUAUUUGAGCGGAUGAACUAAUGCCCAAUAUUUGAGCGGAUGAAUUAGUGCCCGAUAAUUGGACAAAUGAACUAGUGCAUGAUAUUUGAGCGAAUGGAUUAUUGUCCCUAGUGAGAGAGUAGUACCCUCGUGAAAUGGCUAAGAUUGGAGUUAAUUGGAUGAAUAUGGAGGUGUAAGAUAUUAAGAUUCAUAAUAAAGUAUAUAGGAGAAAUAUUUGUAUAUGGGUGUAGUGAAAUGAUACAUUGCAUUUAUUGAUAAUUAUGUUGAUAAAAUGUUAAUUUUAUUUUCAGGACCCUCAGUAGAAUAGAUCAUGCUUGAAUAUAUGAUACUUUUUUGUAUUUAUAUUGAUCAACAUGUAUUUUGAGAUUAAUGAAUGAUGUAAAAGAGGUUGAAUGAACCUUUUUAUUUGUGGAACAAAAUUGUUAUAUGUAAUUAAUGUAAAUGUCAUACUUAAAAAUAUUUUUGUAUUAUAUUAAGUAUUUGCAUUUUAUCAUAGUUGCUUAUAGGAUUAGAAAUGUUAGAAUGAUAAAAAGAAGAAGAAGAAGAAUUUACCUCAAUGUUUUAUAUUUAACUAAGAAAGUGUCCCAGAUAAAAUAAUAGGAGCGUUACAUUCAUAAUCUAAGUUUUUAUUGUUUUUCUUAGAAUCAAUUAAUUUUGCAAGUUAUGUAAACCUUAGAAUUAUUUAUGUAUUUUAUUUUUAUUGAUUGCAUUUUUAUUAUCGGACAACACAUGUCUAUUAUUUUUGUGAUGUAUUGAUUGGAAAAAAAGUUCAAGAUGAUAGGACCAUAAUUAUGAUAUGAAUUGUGUCAGGAAUAAAGAUGUUGAUAACUUGGUAUGGUCUCGUUACAGGAAAAAUUCUGUCAAAUUUUUGGAGAAAAAAAUUGCACCGAAUAAAUAAAUAUGUUUUUUUUUGUCGUCACAUUUUAUCUCUAAGAUAUCUUUUAAUAAUGAUAUAUACUUGAUAUAUGUUUUGUAGCAUUAUAUUUAUAUCAUGAUUGCAUUCAGUAGAAGGAGAAAUACAUAUGUUGUCAUGAUUAAGGUUAUUCAUGUGCAAGUUGAUAUAAUUAAUGAGUUGCAACUAAGUGAUUUAACAAUACUCUUGAAGAGUUGUACUUAAUUGAUUUUACACUCAAAAGUUAAGUUGUUUUAAACUUAAUGUUUAAAUUGCUUUAUACUUAAAAGUUAAGUUUUUUUAAAAGUCGAUAUUUAACUUGUUUUAUAUUCAAGAAUCAAAUUGUCUUAAACUAAAAAUUUAACUUGAUUUAUCCUAUAUGCUUAAAGUUUAUGAUAUCAUACUUGAAUCUUUAUGUUACUUAAUGAUUAGAUAAUCAUUUAUUUAUUUGAAUGCCUUUAUGCUUAAAUUUAUAUAUAAUAUACUUGUGUGAAACAUUUAUUAUUGCUUAAGUUAAACUAUAAUUAAAUAUGAAGUUAAGGAAUGCGUAAAAGCUAGAGUGUGUGUGUGUGUGUGUGUGUCCUUGUAUUUAUAUGUUGCACAAGCUUUGUGAUGAUAUAGACAGGCUUUAAAAGAAUGAAAUCAUUCAAGGAAAUCAUCAAAGAAGCAAGGCAUGGAUACAUGAAGUGUCAUGAUAACAAUUUUUUACUUCAAACAAAAAUCUUGAGACAAUAAUGACCUUCCAACUUCAAAGAUCAAGAUCUUGUAAAGAGGGUUUUGCCAAAUAACUUUUAAUUUAUUUAGAAAUUGGUUUCCAUACCAACAAACCUAACCAAACCCAAAAGAACACAAAAUAAGAACGAAAUUCUCAAAACAUGAGAAUUUUUCAAGUACCUAAAUCGGUCUAGCCAAUUUAAAAAAUAAGUUUUUAAGUUUGUCUCUAUUGAUAUUUGAGUUGAUCAUUAGGUUAUAUUUUGCUUUAAGUUGAGAAUAAUUUUUUAAUUGACAACCUAAUUUACCCUCCUCUUAAAUUCACCUAGACUUCCAAUAUUAAGUACGAGUAGUGGCUUUUGGGACUAUUUUAGAACAUAACCAGUAAAAGAUGGACCGAAACUCAAUUUAUCAUCUUGAUGUAAACUCGAAGGGUAGGAAUCCUAAAACCCAUAAUCAAGAUUGAUCACAGCCCAAAAAAGUUAAAAUCAAGUUGAAAAGAAUUUGAAUUCAACACAAGAUAACUCAAUAAAUUCAAUUUAUAUAUGAAAUUUUUCUAAGGCUCCUAAUUUCAACAAAACUGAUUUUAAUCAAUCUAAUUUUGUGAUUUGAUGUUCUUUUUUAUAUAUAAAUUUUAGCAGAAACUUAAUAACAUAUAACUUUUCUUAUAUAUAUAUAUAUAUUCAAAGAAAAUGCAACACUAAGCUAAACUAGAGAACAAACUGAAAUUCAAAACACAUAAAACUUGAUUUUGGUGUUAAGCUCUGAUACCAACUAAUGUAAACCCGGAGUGUAAGAACCCUAAAAUGUAUAAUCAAGAUUGAACACAACCUGAGAAAGCUAAAAUUAGAUUGGAAAAAAAAACAUGAUCUAAUGAUCAAUUGAACCAAUGAACCAUAGUUAUUGGAUGAAAACUCUAACUCAUUGAUUAUAACAAACCACGAACUGAAGUUAUAAGGAUGAACAUCAUAAAGAAGUAAUCUUUGAUAAGUUUUGAAGAAUUCAAUGGAAAACUAACAAUAUGAGUAACCUUACACACACAAUAUUAGUUUUGAAAUCAAAAUUACCCCAAAACCUAAAUACAAGUUAAAUAACCUUAUUUAUACUAGGUUAAACUUCCUAAACAAUACUGAAAAAAUAACAAAAGAGUUGUAAAUAAAAUAGAAAAAAAAAAACCUAAAUCAACUAGGAAAUACUGCAAAUCUUGAAUAUUAACUUCUGGGCUUAAUAGAAAAGCUUUUUGGAUGUCUAAUCCCUAUGAAAUUUUAAUUUUAUAGGAAACAAGAUCUUUAAAAUCUUCUAAAAAACUUUAAACUCGAUCCAAUUGUUAGAUAAAAGGUUAUGCCCAUUAACAUAAAAUUGCAUAUUAGAAAAAUAAGCCUAAUCUGCAUGCCUCAAGCCCAAGAACCAGCUUAUUUCUUUGCAUGAACUACAUUAAUUAAAGCAUGAUCAUCCAUUGUUUUAAUUUUGAUGUUUAAUUUGGCCUAAAUAUCUUGAAUUAGUCCAUUUAAUGCUUCUUUAAUCUUCUUAGCCCUUAACCAUGUAAUUUGCCCAAUUGACAUCUCUAAUAAAUUAUUUGGUAAUGUUUGUUGAUUCUCAUCACAUUUACCAUCAUUUUGAGUCCAACACUCGUACUUUAAAAGUGAGAACUGAGCAGUGUUGUUAGGCUUAAAUCCCAAAUCACUAUUUUAAGCCUUAGUAGUCCUUUACAUUUAACAAUAUAUAUCAAUUUAGAUAUAUUCUUAGCAUGUACCUACUUUUAUUGUUAAAAAUAAACACGAAAUAGCUUGCUUUAGGUAGGAUAUUUUAUGAUGACUUUAAUCUUUUCUUUAACAUAAUCAGAUCCUUAUCUGGAAUCUCUAGAGACUAGUCAUGGUUUUUAAUUAUUAUAAAACUAGGUGGCGACUCAUUUAUUUUAAUUUUACCCUUUUUACAUCUAGUUUGUUGAGAUGUCCCCUACAACACCAGCUAUAUAGGUGUGAUCAAAUGAUUUUUAUAUUAAUAUUAUCCUUAAACCUUAAAAAACAAAAGCUCUCAAUCAAGUAUUUUCAUUUAUUUUAAGGUUAUCCAUCCAAAUUAUGCUAUUUUUGUGGGGGAAGAGUUAUUUUAUAAGAAACUUAAUAUUUUUCAUUAAGUGCCCGUUUGGGAAUGCGGUGCAAAUCGCAUUCCUAAAAAUUUUGAAUUUGUUUUGUUAAAAAUAAUUUUUUAUGUUUUUAGAUCGUUUUGAUGUGUUCAUAUUAAAAAUAAUUUUUAAAAAAUAAAAAAUAUAUUUUUUUAAUGCAUUUUUAAGGAAAAAGCACUUUGAAUCGCAACCGCUACUACAAUUUCAAACACACUAACAUAAAUUCUUAAUUGGAAAAUCAAAAUAGUGUAGUGAAAUUAAUAUAAAAAAUAGUCAAAGUAUAAAAUUGAUAAUACCCGAUAAUUUGAUGUUAUAUUUAAUAUUUUCCUGGAAAAAUAAAACAUAAGAACGCCUUUAAGAAAAGUAGUUGCUUGUCUUGUAAUUAUGGUUUGAUUUUCCGUGACGAUGCUCCUAAUAAUAAUAGGAGGCAGCAGUAACCUGAACCAUACGGUUGGCCGGGCCAGCAACCGGCAAUAUCCUCCGUUUCUUCUCCGCCUCUCUUUAUUAAGCCCUUGAAAAGAACUAUUUGAUCAUGAACCGACCUCUACUAAGUCUUACGAUGGCACCUACACAGUUGAAUUGGUAUUGCGGGUUUCAUAUGAUGUUUUUUUAAAGUGUUUCAAUUAAAAUUUACAGACACUAACUUGAAUGUAUCAAAGAGAAAGAAAAGGUGAGGGAAGUUUUAGAAGUGUAAACUAAACUAGAAAAGCUGGCUGGUUCGAUGUGUUUCUUGUAGCCCAGCAUUUUUGGGUCCUCUCUCUCUCGCUCUAUAAAAAAUAAUUUCAUACUACAAUUAGGCCCUGCGUCUUCGCGGGUCUUUACAGGCAACACGCUUUUCUCUCCUUCUCAUUCCAUCGUCAAAUCAUAUAUCCUUUUUCUUUUCCAAAACAUCACUUGACUCUCUCUUUCUCCAUUAUCUUUCAAGUACAAAUUGCCCCAAAAGAAGGACGUUAUGAUCAAUCUCUGAGUUUUUCAGGUCAUUGGCUCUUGCUUUUUUUCUUCUUCAUUGGAUUUGACCCUCAUAUGCUGCAAUAGAUUUUACAUACAUUCGCGAUUCAAUGACGUUUGAUCAGAUAUCCUAUUCAUGCAUAUCAUCAUUAUUGUUUCUCUUCUUUUUCUUCCUCUUUCUUAUGAAUCCCUUGACAAAUUUUAAUGUUUUUAUUGUUUAUUGUUUAAAUGAAUCAGUUUUGUUGUUACAUAAUUAAUCAAGGAAUGCAUGCAUGCAGGGAGUGGGGGAUCAGUUUUAGCUUGAUUAGCUGAUUAAUGAAUUUGUGCAGCACAAGAAGCAAAGAUGUCGGGUUUUGUGGGUGUACUUGUUUCUGAUCCAUGGCUUCAAAGCCAGUUCACUCAAGUCGAGUUACGCUCCCUCAAAUCUAAGGUAACUCACUCACUCUCUCUUCUUUUCAUUACAUUCUCGUUAUUGUUAAUAUUCUAAUGUCUGUUUUUUUUUUUGGAUUGGUUUUAGUUUGUGUCGACGAGGACUCAGUGCGGUAGUGUCACGGUGGGGGAUUUGCCACCUAUUUUUGCUAAAUUGAGGGCCUUCACUGAGAUGUUUAAUGAGGAUGGUAUUAAGGCUAUGUUGGGGGAGGCAGGUUUCAACAUGGAAGAAGAACUCGACUUCGAAUCCUUCCUAAAGGUUAAUUAAAGCUUAUUUGGCUUAGCUUUUAAUUCUUUGAUUAUUUUCUCGUUUGAGGACUGCUUAAAAUGCUUUUCUUGUUAUCUUGGUGUUUAAAUUUUAAGCAUUGACCUUGCUAAACUUCAAUUGGCAGGCAUACAUAAAUUUGCAAAGCCGAGCAACUAAAAAAUCAGGUGGGAAGAAACUGAAAAGCUCUGUUUCCUUUCUCAAGGCAGCCACAACUACAUUUCACCAUAACAUCAACGAGUCAGAGAAGGCUUCCUAUGUGUCCCACAUUAACAGCUACUUGGCGGAAGAUCGCUUCUUGAAGAAAUAUCUCCCAUUAGAUGCAGCAACAAAUGACUUAUUUGAUCUUGUAAAAGAUGGAGUUCUUCUUUGGUAGAUGAGUCGCAUCCGCUUGACAGCAAUUUUAUUGUUGAAGGAUGUUUUGAAUAUAUGUUGAUGCUUUUUAAUGCUUAAUGCAGUAAGCUUAUAAAUGUGGCUGUUCCUGGGACCAUAGAUGAGCGAGCUAUUAACACAAAAGGGACCCUUAAUCCAUGGGAAAGGAAUGAGAACCACACCCUUUGCCUUAAUUCUGCAAAGGCUAUUGGCUGUACAGUUGUUAAUAUCGGCACACAGGACCUUGUUGAAGCAAGAGUAAGUUGGGCUGCUUAGCUCUCCCUUGCAAUCUUGUUAUAUUUUUCUUUGUGGUUUCAGUUAUUCUCAAUAUUUCCAGUUUCUCUUUUGCAGCCCCAUCUGGUACUUGGAUUGAUUUCUCAAAUUAUUAAGGUAUUCAACUUAAGAUUUCGUCCACUACAUGUGUAAAAUUCAUUUUGUGAAGCAGGAUAUAUAUAGAAACAAUGAUGAUGGUGAUAGUCUUGUUUAAAUUAAAAGACUUGAAGAUUAGGUGUCUAUGCUUUUAACAUGUCGUCUUCCAAUAUGGUGGCAACUUUCAGAUUCAGCUAUUAGCCGACCUUAAUCUUAAGAAAACUCCUCAACUUGUGGAAUUGGUGGAUGACAGCAAGGUCAGAAGUUGUCGUUUUCAUUUACCUUCUUUCCAUGCUUCGAUUGUAUGAGGGAUGUUGGGUAAAUCUGUUUGUGCUAUCCCAUAUGUUUUGCUUAUUACUUACAGAAAUUUGCAGGAUGUGGAGGAGCUCUUGGGUUUGGGACCUGAAAAGGUUCUAUUGAAAUGGAUGAAUUUUCAUCUGAAGAAAGCUGGCUACAGUAAACAGGUUACAAACUUCUCUUCUGAUGUGAAGGUAAGCAAAUUCAGCAAUUUAUUAUUUAUCGAUACUUCAUGUUCAUAUCUUAUGCAAUUGGUGGCAUUUUAAUUUGGGAUAAAAACCUUGGCUGAGUGGAUUUCCCAUGCACUUUUUAAUCAAUUGAGCAUUUGAAGCAGAUAUUUGCAUUAACAAAAUCAGUUUUUGUUGUAGAUUUUCUUCCAUUAAAUAAACUUCAUAUGGGAUUUUGUAAACUAAUACUUUCUGGUAUUCUUGUUUUAUCUCUUAUUCUCUUCAUAAUUUUAACCCUUGAAUUUGCAGGAUGGAGAGGCCUAUGCUUACCUUCUCAAUGCUCUUGCCCCAGAACACAGUAGCCCUGCUUCCUUGGAUACCAAGGAUCCGACAGAGAGGGCAAACAUGGUUCUUGUGCAGGCAGAGAAGCUGGAUUGUAAAGGAUAUCUCACUUCUAAAGACAUUGUUGAGGGAUCACCAAAUCUUAAUCUUGCAUUUGUGGCUCAAAUAUUUCAGCACAGGUACUGAGAAAAGAUGAACAUUUUUAAGUGACAUUUUUGCUUGCAUUUCCUCUACCUUUUGAUGCUCUUUGUCCCGUUGCGUAUCCAUAUUUGCUUCUGGAAGUUUAGUUUGUCAUUAAAAUAUUUAAAAUAGGUUAUUGAUAUCCCUGCUUCUUCUAUCAACAUUUCUAGGUUGCGAAAUAAGAUUUAUCUAGUCAACUAUUUUAUCAAUUUCUUUCACUCCAGUCUGACCGUCGUCUGCUUCUUACCAAUUACCAUCAAUAUAUUGUGGCUAAUGGAAUUUUCAUUCUGCCAGCCAGCUUCUUGUUCAUUCACAAUGAUUUUUCCAUAUUGCUAAAAGCUUCCUAUUUAGUGCCCUCCAUGCAACUUGAUUGUACUGAAUUAGAAAGUCUUUUUUGUGCAAAUGCUGGCUUUUUCUGUAAGCAUUAUUCUUGAAAUUUGUGUCACCAGUACAUGAAUUUCUCUUGCAGAAAUGGGCUGUCUGCUGAUACCAGUAAGAUGUCCUUUGCUGAGAUGAUGACAGAUGAUGCACAAACUUCUCGAGAAGAGAGGUGCUUCCGACUGUGGAUUAACAGUCUUGGAACUGCUACAUAUGUCAAUAAUGUUUUUGAGGAUAUCAGGAACGGGUGAGAUUUUCGUUUCCUCCUCAAUACGAAGCCUCAUUGAACCUUCAUUGAUGUUUAUGAUUUGCACUGCAGAUGGGUUCUUCUAGAAGUUCUUGACAAAGUUUCUCCGGGAUCAGUUAAUUGGAAGCUGGCAUCCAAGCCUCCUAUAAAGAUGCCAUUUAGAAAAGUUGAGAAUUGCAACCAAGUAAUACAGAUAGGGAAGGACUUGUGCUUCUCCCUUGUGAAUGUAGCUGGAAAUGACAUUGUCCAAGGAAAUAAGAAGCUCAUAUUAGGUUAUCUUAUUCAACUCAACCCCCUGACUUCUUCCUUCUUGAUUGGUUAUAGCUGAUUAGGCAUCGGUGGUGGUGGUUGACGUUCUUCUCUAAUCAGCUUAUGUGUAAUCAACUUGUUUGUUCUAAAAUAGCUUCGGCAACAACCUCUUUAACAAUUUUCUUUUCCCUUCCCUUUUAAUUUGACAACGUUUCUGUCCCAAUUUAGUUGUUUGUGACUGCUUUUCAGUUUAUAUUGCGAAGAACUGACUCUUCCCUCUCUUUUCCCCGCAGCCUAUUUAUGGCAACUGAUGAGGUUUACGAUGCUUCAACUCCUGAAAAACUUAAGAUCUCACUCCUCCCACUCCCAGGGUAAAGAGAUUACAGAUGCUGACAUUCUAAAAUGGGCAAACAACAAAGUGAAGAAAGCAGGUAGAACGUCUCAAAUGGAGAGCUUCAAGGUAAUGAAUGAAUUUGACCUUGUUAGACAAUUUUAUUCCAAGUUCUACCUUAGGAUUUACCUUUCUCUGUUUUGAUGUCUUGCUUCUAGGAUAAGAACCUUUCAAAUGGAAUUUUCUUCCUUGAGCUUCUUAGCGCGGUGGAGCCUAGAGUGGUCAACUGGAGUGUGGUUACGAAAGGAGAAACUGGUACAUUAUAAUCCUUUAUCUCUCUAAUCUCAACAUAUUUCUUAUUUGCUUGCGGAUGUUGGAGUUGUAUGGCAAUCGCCGAACAAAUGGGGAACAUGCCGAGCUCAAACCAUUUUGGCUUCCUAAGCAGCACUACGCUGGAACCUGUGUGCCUAGUUUAGUUUGACACAAUCGACACGAAGACCAUGUCUCACUUUAUUUCUUUCUGACGCUGCAGACGAGGAUAAGAAGUUGAAUGCUACCUACAUAAUCAGUGUUGCCCGAAAGCUUGGGUGCUCCAUCUUCUUGUUACCCGAGGAUAUUAUAGAGGUGGGCUCACUGUUCUGAACAUAGAACGAACAUAUUUUGAAUAUUAAAUGAAGUGCCGUGUCUUCUUUCCAUUUGUCUCUGGUAGGUUACUUGUUCAGGUCUAGCUAAAAAGUUUAAUAAAAAUAGCCACCAUGAAUCAUCAAGGCUGGUUCGGCCCCCGAGUCCUCUUCAUGCACCAGAAGUGUUAUUUGCCAGAUUCUUUAGCUUUCUCUUUUGACGACCUUACUUGAGGUCUUUAAUGAACUCUUUGAGAGAAAUGCAAAGAAGUCUGUCAACAGAUGGUACCGUAUUGACCCCAACUGAUUUCAGCAGAACUGGAUUUAACCAGAGUACAGUAUAUUAGUUUGGCAGAUCGUAACGAUCAACUUUGCUUUCGUGUUUAUGAUUAUGACAGGUAAACCAGAAGAUGAUCCUUACAUUGACUGCAAGCAUAAUGUACUGGAGCCUGCAGCAACAGGGUUACUCAGAGUCUUCUGCUGCUGAAGACAGUGAUGUUCCUGAUGCAUCCCCUCCCCCGUCUGUAAAUGGCGAGAAAGAGGAAGUUCUGGUUGGUGAGGUUUCCAAUUUGACGGUGGACGAUGCAGUUUCAGAUGCUACUAAGUCCUACUGAGUCGACACAUGUGGAGGAAAAAGAUCCUUACAUGAAAUGACCUGAAAAUGCUGCAGCACUUUUUUCAUUACUGAUUCAUUUCCAAAGAUGAGAAUCGAAGGAAAAUACAGCAGCCGUUGGCAGAUACACACUGUCUCUGUGUGCAGAACAGACGGGGGUCUUCAGAAUCAAUGUGCUCCUGAAGCACACAAGGAAAAAGAGAAGGAAGGGGGGGAAUCCGGUAAAUUGCAUUCUUUAAUUAGAGCCUGAUGUUCUUAGGCAUAUUCUUUUAACACUGUUGCAUUCAUCAUGCUGAAAUAAUUGGGCUAAUGAUACGUUUUGCCCAUGUAUUUUUAUUUUUUUUUAAUGUAUUUCGUCGUGUAAUUUUAUAUAUAUAGAUUCUACCUUUAUAUUUGUUUGGUAGGAACACAGGGGGAGGGAGAAAAGAGGGUGGCCAGUUUUUUUUUUUCCUCAAGUUUCAUUAAAAAAUAAUUUUCAUUUGUCAAUUUAAUGUAAGGGCACAAAUCUUAAUAAAACAAUAGUAUAAGGACAGAACCCAUAAAAAGAAUUAUACAAUGACAAGAUUUAUAUGUCGGGAAAAAAUGUCUAAACGUUACCUUCUCUAUUGCCAACUUUGUGCGAGGGUGUGCAAAGGAAAUUAUGUAAAACAAAAUUCACAUAAGAGGAAAGUUCAUGCAGGGGAAUCCUGAAUAUCAUCAACUACUGUUUCAGAUUCUUUCUUUGCCACAAGCAUAAGCAUCUCCAGGCGCUUGUCAAAAAGUAAUGCACUCUCAUCUCUCUUGUCAAGAUCAGCCGCUUCAGCUUCAAGCCAUUUCUCUCGCAAGUCAUCAAGGAGAUUUCCCUGGUCUGUAUUCAGGGCAGCUCCAGGAGCGCUUGGGGCAGUUGUGCGGAGCGAGGAAUCUCCAGAUGGUGGAGGCACCGUUAAAAGCAUUGCUCGGAAAUCACGAGUAUCAGCAAAUGUCUCAAAGUUACAGGCUAUUGUAUCCAGACAGUACUCCCUGAUCUUGAUGACACCAUACCUACGCACGUAAAUUCACCAAUUAACAACUCGGUAGACACCACUUGGCUCUAACUAGUAAGAUACAUUUAGGUUCAACCAAAGGUCAAUUUUAUGGCCAUCAGCUAAAACUGAAUCCUGGUUCCCUCAGAAAAAUCAGAAAAGCAGGACUUCAAAUUAGGAGCUUAACCACUAAAUUCCUGAAUGAUAGCAUGACACAAUCUGUUCAUUGAGAAAGGUGGCUGAUAUUUAGAUUCCUAAACCUGUUUUCAAUGUGUCUCAACUCAACACACCCUGACACAUGAUUGAAACAACACAAAUAUAUACUCCUUCUCAACACCUGAAUAAAUUGAACUUCAAGCCCAUCCCAAAUACAUUCAAACCAGGAAAUCAAUUAAAUUUUAAGAAAUAAGAAGGUCAAUAAACAUGCAUCUUACAUGUCUGACAGUAUCAGCCAAUGGCACAGUUCUGCUGGUGAGACCAUUUCCAGUUGUGGCAACAGUACAUCAGCAACUGCACGCUUAAGGGGAAAUAAUAGAUAUCUUGAAGCAGCAUCAAACAUUUCCUCUGCCUGCUCAAACAAUAGAGUCAGUAUUUGAUAAUAUCAAGUCAGGCACAUGCCAUUUUGACACAUAACGUACCUGCCCUGGAUUUAUAUCCUUUAAACCAUCAGUAUACCUGAACCAAAGAAGUAAAAAUAAGUCCCAUGACAGUUGUGCUUAGCAUUGCCAAUAACAAAGUGAAUUUCAUUGUUGCAUAUAAUGAUUCCAAGAAUUAAAACGGUUGAUUAUACAACACACAUUGCAAGGAGAUGCUGAUUUUAAGCAACACAUUUCAGACUACACCCAAGACUAUUUCUAAAUCUACAGAGCCCUGGGACCACUACUACAGGGAAUAAUUGGCACUGGCCAAUGGACCAAGCCUGGAAAUGAAUACUACCCUCUAGACAAUUUUAAUUAGGAUUAGCCUUCUACAAGAAAAGAAAGCACUUACAUAUACUCCACCAUUUUCUCAAAUGCCUCCAUGCUUAAAUCAUGUUCUUCAAAACAAGGAACAGCACCACUAGGUAACCCCACUUUCCCUUCAUGAAAGUCCUUCAUAUGGGACAGUCUUGCUCUAAAGUAUUCUGACCUUGAUGCCAAAACCACUUGAUGGCAACGAAAAAUCUUAUUAUCAACUCUUACACAAAUAUCAGCAAGAUCAUCUACACAAUCAUUCAUUUGCACUACAUUAAAAGAAGAUACUAGCCUAUCAACAUCAUUUUCUAGGUUUUGUUGCAUAGUGGACCUUGCCAAAGAGCUCUGAAGGACCCGGUGCAGGGCAGCAGAAAGCCUGUCUUCCUCAGGAAGUGAUAGGCCCUGUAAGAUAUAACGUUUCUGAGAGUUGUCUAGAUCUCUCAGUGCUUUGUACUCUGCAUAUUUUUGGUGAAUCAAUUCCUUCUCAAGAACCCUUUGUAAAGAUUCACAUUUGCAUACUUUGCAGAUUCUUACCAGAUCUUCCAUGUCAUCUACAGCAAUCUCCAGUCUGUCAGAAUAAAAGAAGUGAACGAGACUGUAAAGAGCAGGAUAUGACAACUUUUCCCUUGCUAAUCUCACUUCACUGCGGCCUCUCCAAUCAGUUUUGAACUUUCUCUUAAAAAAAGGUGACCGAGCACUUAAUAUGACUCUGUGAGCUUCAAUAGGCCUACCUUGCACAAAAAAUACGACAUCUGGAGGGAAGUGAUUGGCAUUGGAUACCCCACUGGAUGAAAGACCUACUCAACAAUAUCACAUGUCGAGUGUCAAAUCCAUAUUGUUCUCAGGAGAAAAAAUGCACAACCACGAUAAUCUGACCAACAAUCAAAAACUCAUGAAGCUGCAAUAUGCACAAAUUCAAGAUUAUGGAAGUAGAAUAGAGUUACUUUGAAAUAUCCAUUGUUUGUAACAUAUAUGCAUAAGAAACAAAACCUUUACAAAAAGGUGAAAGACGAUUCUGAACAAUUCAUGUGGGUCUUAGGAAGCUCAUGCUCAUCAGAUCUUCUACUCUCAAAAAGUUAACCCCAAGGAAGGCAGGUUUCAUGAUUGUUGAUGAAAAAGGAAAGGACACAGAAAACACAUCAUCCAUGUUUAAAUAAACCUUUACACGCUACACAAAUUCAUCACAAACUGAAAUAUCAAAAUACCCAGCCCCAUUUCUAACACAUAAGCUCACCAUGUCCUCUCCAAUUCUCAGCACAAGUCUCUUCAAUUGAUUCAGAUUUUAUAGCAUCAUAUCAUUUGUGGAAUUGCUUUCUCAGUCUCACCAAAAUAUCCAAACGUUUUUUGACUUUCAAUUCUCUAACCCAUUUACUCACGCUUAUGAUUCCAUGGAAGUUAAGGCUGUACUUUGUCUAAAUCCGCCAUAACCCUCCCUAAACAGGAUAAAUCUAAUUAAAUCUCAAGUGAGAUAGAUAGCUCCAAACAACUUAAGUGCUGCCACAGAUUAUGCAAAGAUUGGUUGAGAACAUAAUAGAAUGAAAGAAAAUGAUAGAAUUAACUAAAAAUGCUAUUGAUGAAGCACAAACACGAGGUCAAGGCAUCCACCCGAGAAAUAAUGCAGCUCUAUUAACUAGCGGGAUAAAGUUUCCAUUCUGACCGAACAUGUAAGAUCCCACAUCGGAAGCGAGCGUCCAGAGCCAGGGCCUUAUAAGUGCAUGCUCAUCUUGACUAGUAAGACACGUUUUGGGGCCAUGCGUGGCUGCCAAGAACAAACCCGUGAGGGGGACCUGGGUGGAAGCCCUGGACAUGGGUGGACUGGGAGGCCCAAAGCGGACAAUAUCUUGCUAGUGAGGUGGGGUGUUACAUUUGUAAAAUCCCACAUCGGAAGCGAGCAUCCAGAGCCAGGGCCUUAUAAGUGCAUGCUCACCUUGACUAGUAAGACGAGUUUUGGGGCCAUGCAUGGCUGCCAAGAACAAACCCGUGAGGGGGACCUGGGUGGAAGCCCUGGACAUGGGUGGACUGGGAGGCCCAAAGCGGACAAUAUCUUGCUAGUGAGGUGGGGUGUUACAUUUGGUAUCAGAGCCGAGGACGGCUCGUCUUAAGGUGGGGGGAUUGUAAGAUCCCACAUCGGAAGCGAGCGUCCAGAGCCAGGGCCUUAUAAGUGCAUGCUCACCUUGACUAGUAAGACGCGUUUUGGGGCCAUGCGUGGCUGCCAAGAACAAACCCGUGAGGGGGACCUAGGUGGAAGCCCUGGACAUGGGUGGACUAGGAGGCCCAGAGCGGACAAUAUCUUGCUAGUGAGGUGGAGUGUUACAGAACAUCUGCCAGAGAAACACCACUAAAGACGCUUGCAGUGGAACGAAGUCUGAUAAAGCAAAAAAAAAGGCUAGUCCCAGUGACACCAUAACGAUGCUCAAACGACUGUUUUAUCCAAAAUCAAAUGGAAAGAUAUAAGCUUAGGCCAUGUUUGGAUCACUCGAAAAUGGGACUUGAAUUCCAAUUCUACUUCCAAUUAAAACAUGUGAUAUAAAUUUCCCACGAACAAUAUUUCAUUUCUUGCGGAAUCUUCAUCCACGCUAUUAGCAAACGAAACAACAUUGCAUAAGGAAAGGAAUAGAACAAGAGGUCCCUCUCCAUUUCCAUUUCCAAUCCUGAUGCAAACCAAACACGACUCUAACUAUUUGAAUACAGAAUAUUACUUGACAAGUUUACCAAACAAUGAGCAAAUACAGUCAUUUUCAAAAUGAAAAGGGAAAAAAACGAAAUUAAGGCACCAACCUGAAACACGAUAAAUAGCCUCGCUCUGUUCCAAAUAAACCCUAUUAGCCUCGCAGCUCAAAAAAGUAUCUCUCAAGGCAGCCUGCAACGGUGCCAAAGGCGGCGGCCUAGCCUCAAAAGCCUUCAAUAACUUCCUGACCUUCAAAUUCAAAGCGGCAUAGUGACACCUGUCGCCGUCGAAAGUGUGCUCGGAGCAAAUAGCCCCACUCUCCAGCAACAUGCGGGCGGCAUCAAGGUGUCCGGCGAGGCAAGCGUAGUACAAAGCAACGGAAUCCCACUUGUCCCGCGCGUUGACAUUGACGCCUGAUUCUAGCAAGUAUUUGAGGCGUUCGACGUCACCGGCACGGGAGGCUUGGAAAACAUCGCCGUUGGGGACUUUUUUAAGUGGGAGAGAGGAAGUGAAAUCGGAGGGGUCAAGGUCUAUUUCGUCCAGGUCCGAGUCGAUUAUCCAUCCGGAUGAUGGGCGAUUUGGGGGCAUUAAUUGGAUGGAUGGGCGUUUGAUUGGAUUGAGCGUGCGAGGUGAGGUGAGGUGGGAAAGAAUGAACUGGAGGGAAAUGUUUCUUGGGUUUUAAAGGUAGGGAUAGGGGUGAGAAAAAAACCGAUAAACCGAUUAAACUGAGAAAACCGGAAAAAAAAUAACCGAAAAAACCAAACUGAAAAAAAAACCGAAUUAACCGAUUAAAAAAUCACAAAAAAAUUCCGGUUCGGUUCGGUUUCGGUUUCUAAAGUCUGAAACCGAUUGAACCGAACCGAACCGGUUCAACCAGCAACCACUUAAAAAAAAAAGACAAGUAUAAAUAUCAUGCUUUCUAACCCUAGAAUAACAUUAAACUAUCAACUGCCACCCCACCCCCCCUCCCCUCACUUCUCUGCAUCUCUCCACUUUUACUUUUACUUUCACUUUCACUUUACUUUUUGGUUGGCCCCCCUCCCCUCCCCUCCCUUCUCUGCAUCUCUCUCUUUACUCUCUGGCUGGUGAAAAAUCAAAGCAGAACAAGUUGGUCGUCGUUGGCUCUACUGAGACACAGAGUGACGAAGAAGAUUACUUGGCUGAGUUAACUCACCAAACGGCUCACUCCGCCCUUGAAGAUGAUUUCAAGAGAAACGACCCCCCUUGCAGCACCGAAAAGACUAAGGUAUUGCUUCCUUUAUGUUUCUUUUUAAAGUAGGACGACCUGCUCUGGUUUCUGUGAUUAUGUUUUCUGGGUCUGAUGUUCGGGUCUUGGGUUUUUUGCCUGAUUUGCAAGGUUGGGUUUUGUCUGGAUCGUCUCCAUCAAUGCUAUGUGUAGUUGGAUGCAAGUGCAGUUGUAGACAAGGAUCUAGCCGUGGAAGUCUGAAUGUCAAUGGGUCUUCAUCUCUAGCAACUUAGGAUCUACUGUAUGAGGUUGCAGGAGAAGUAGAGAGGACCAUUGGGUUUGAACCGGUUUGAAAGGAAAAAAAACCGAACCGAACCGAACCGAAAUUAAUCGGUUUGAACCGGUUUUCGGUUCGGUUCACAAAAUUAAAAAAAAAAUUCGGUUUAGUUGUUUAUUUUGGUUCAAAACCGGACCGAACCGGAAAUGCUCAGCCCUAGGUAGGGAACUCCCAAGGCCCCACAAAAAAAAAAAAAAAAAAAACACACACACACACACACAUAUAUAUAUAUAUAUUAAAAUGAUAUUUUUUAAUUGUUUUAAUUUACUGAUCUCAAAAUUAAAAAAAAUUAAAAAAAUUAAAUAUAUUUUUAAAUGAAAAACAAGUUUUUCCUGCUUUUAAUUUCUUUUUAAUGUGCAUUUUUUAUUUUAUAUUUUAACAUUUAGUUUAUUAAAAAUUAAGUUUUAUAAUUUGUUAUAAUUUGUUUUCUAUGUGGUUGUCCAAGUCUUAUAACCCAUGUUGCAAGUUUAACAGGUUAAUCCGAUUGAUUCGGAUUUUUUUUUUAAUUUUAUUCUUCAAUAUUAUAUUAAUUGAGAAUUAAGCUUUGUUAUUCUUUUCAGUUUAUUUUCUAUUAAAUUAUAUCGGUUUCAUGACAUAGAUCUCGAGUUUUGCGAGUUAAUUAGGGUUGACUCAAGUUAUUUUAUUGUGUUUUUUUAGAUUGAUUUUUUUUUUCAAUUUCAUUCUUCAACAAUGGAUUGAUCGAUAAUUGACUAAUUGUGCUUCAUAAUUAGUUUUGAUUUGCCUUAUAUGAUAUUAUCUCAAUCUUAUGACCCGAGCCGCGAGUUUGGAGGGUAACUCGGGUUAACCUGUGUCAUUUUUUUUUGUUGCUUUCUACGAGAUUAUCUAGGUCUCAUGAUCUAGAUCACGAGUUUUGCAGGUUAACCUAGAUUAACUCGGGUUAUUUUUUCACGUUCUUUUUCUUAAAUUGAAUUUUUUUCAAUUUCACCUUUCAACAUUUAAAUUGAUUGGGAAUUGAGUUUCAUAAUUUAUUUUGAUUUAUCUUUUAUAAGGUUAUCAUGAUCUUAUGACUCGGGUCAUGGAUUUGGCAGGUUAAUUCAAGUUAACUCAAAUCGUUUUUUAUCCUUUUUUAAUUGAUUUUUUUUAAUUUUAUUUUUUAAUAUUAAAUUGAUUAAGAAUUAAAUUUCAUAACUAGUUUUUUAUUUACUUUAUAUAUAAUUAUUAUGAUCUCAUAAUACAAAUUAUGAAUCUAAUAAUUUAAUUAAAAUUAUCUCAAUUCAAUCUAGUAUAUUUUCGUCUCAUAACACUUUCACCUCGAUUUGUCAAAUAAUUAUCGAACAUAUGUCAUAAUCAUCACCCUUUUUUUUCACUAAAGGUUAUUUUAUGCUCAUACUUCUCCAUGUCAUGUGCAAACACCGCAACCAAUGAUAGCGCAAAUGUUUCCAUGAUUAUAGUUUAUAAAUAUCUUGAUCAUCAUUUAAGAAAUCCAAGUCAAUUUAAGCAAUUCAAGUCAAAUAACUCUAAUAAAAUCUAAGCUUCGUUACUUCACAUCAUAAGUCAAACUUAUUGCAUCACACUAGUAUAUUUUAUUUCUUUUUUAUACACGCUAUUUUCUACUCCUAUAUUUAUUAAUUUAAUUAUUAAGAGUCUUUUGUUCUAUAAUUUUUUUUAUUAUUAUUCAAAGAUAUUGUAUAUUACAUUUUAGCUCAGGACAGGAGGAAGCCUAAUUCAAUAUGAAGUUUUUACAACUUCAUCAGUCUCAAUGCCUCGUAACCCAUUGUGGAUUCUUGCUGCACUGUAAUCGAUCUAUGUAUUAAGUGGGUCUGUUAGCUUUGUAUGUGCUUCAUUGAAAUCUAUAUUGACCGAUUUAUAUGAACUGCUGGGAGCAGGACGAUCUCCAAAUGCUCCCUUGUAAGACUUCAUCCCAGUGGGAACCACAUCAUGUCAUUUCCUGUUUUUUUGGGCAAGAAUUUAUGUAAUCUUUACUAAUGAAACAUACAGUUCGAUGCAUGUCUCACAGCGAAAAAUGAGGAUUGUGUUCUAUUUCCUUUAACUUUCAUCGAGAUUGGCAAACUUCAUGAACAGAGAGUUAUUCUACAAGUUUGCUUUAUCAUUUGCUUUGGGUGUAAUUUGCAUUAGGCAGAACAGAAGGGUUGUGGUGUAAUUGAUAGUUACAGUCCUUGAUCUUUACGUGGUUUCUGGUAAUGUUAAAGAUCGCUGUCAUGCGUUAUCCCAACCAAUGAAAUGGAAAUAGAAAACCCGUCACUUAACAUAUUUCAUACUGAUUUUGUUGCUUUUUUCCUGCUUGCUGGUGAAUGUCAGCUUUUUAAGGUGCUUAGAAGUGUCUUUUUUGCAGAACGAUUUCUGUUUUGAGAAGAGAAUGGAUGAACCUUGGAGGAAUUGCUAGACAGUUCACAGCUGGUACGAAAAGAGUAAAGAUUUGGCUUUUUGAUUAGCAGGGUGUUCAGAUUUGUUAACUCAGAUGCAUAAGCCUGAUUCUUUAAUUUUCUAUUUUUCUUUAUAUUUCCAUUUAUCAGAUCAUAGGGCUGAAUCCCUCAUUUGGAUUGAUGCACAACUUGCUAAUCAAUUUAUUAGCAAGGCUCUAGAGUUUAGACUAAAGCUCAUUGCUCUUAUUACCUCCAUCUGAAUCCUUUAAUAUGGGAGGAUGAUAGACUACUCUCAGGCAAGGGUAUAAAACGCGGGGAGGCCGCUCAUUGCAAUUCCUGAGUGGAAUUAUAUGAAAUAUAAGCUUCUAACGUAGCAAAUUUUAUUUAUUUUCUUGGUUUUACAGUCAUUUUAUCUGUCUGGAUCAGCUGUUGCGAAUGGCAAGCAGAUAGAAGAUUGGACUGUGAACACACCUCCGAUAUAUAUUUGGAGUCGUGCUGAUUGGACUGCCUGGCGCAUUCCAAUAGCACGAGAGCAUGGUCACGUAUCUAAAGAACAAGAUGAUUAUUUAUCCGGAGAUGAAUAUUAUGUGAUGGUUUCCCUAAUCCACUUGGCGUUCCUCGGGGUGAUUGCAGACGUGUAGGGAAUCAGAGCACUUGUCACUGGUGAGCAGAGCAAGGGCUGUUUUGGUUAUGUCGACAUUGAAGGCUGGGAGAGCGACCAUACAAAGAAACAUUCCCAUGGGAAUCUGAAUGGGAUGCAAAAUGAGGGAAGACGCAGUACUGCUUCAGUCUUACCGGGAGAAAAUGAUAUUGCAAUACCAUUUGAAGCUGAUGAUAUGUACAUCGACAUGGAUAUAUCUCCAAUCAAUUUCCCUAACAGCUCCGCUGACAUCCAUAGCAAUUUGGAAAGCAAACCACCAGAAUCCCACGGCGCUAGUGGAAUAAUGGCAGGUGACUAGGGCUCUCCAGAUUUGCCAUCAGAUCGAGUUGAAAACUGAAUAUGCGAAAGUUCAAACAGCUGUUUUUAGUUUUUACUAUCAUAUCUGCAAGAAUGGAUUACUUGUUUAAUCAUUAAUGGGCACAUCAAUGACUUUUACAGUGGCAACUCCCACCAAUCCAGAGCUGGCUACUGGCUAGGAUAUAACCUACCUUGCUGUUGUCUUCUCUCUGUUUUUUCUUUUACAGAAAAGAGGCUCGAACUCGGGUUUUAUGAAAGGCACUAGCGAGUCACAAGAACAGUUCUUCACUUGUUAACACGGAUGAGACCCUCAUUUGGGCCAUUUCAUUUGAGGGCUUCCAUAGCUUAAUUAUGGUGAUUUUCCAACAAACCGCAAUGGACUGUUUAUUGCAAGGCUCAACAUGGCUUAUAGACCACACACCAGGGGGUCCUUUAAUCACUUGCUUCUAAUGUGACAGAAUUCAUUCCAAUUUCAAGAGCAGUUUGAUAUCAAACUGGUAAACUUACCUUGCGCCGGACACGAGUCUGUGAUUUCGGGGAAUAAAACAAUUCCAGAGUAGUUUUAGAAUGCUUCGGAUCAGAUAUGAAAAUUGCAGGGCGGUAAAAGGUCAGCAAUGUCUGACUUGCAUUUUAAUUUAAAUGCUAGCGUCAAAACAAGCUCAAAUUUACAUUCAGCCACCUACAACAUCCUUCAAAACAACAAAACGCACACUUUACUGUCCUUCCCUUUCAGAGAUAAGGGGGGAUCAAUAAAUAUUCUCCUCAGGGGAAACAAGCCACUUCUAAGAUGUGUUAUAUAACAAUUUUGAUCAAGGUGCUAAAAGUGCUGCUAUUUCUCGUCAUCCAUUUUGAUUGAGUUUAGCCUUCUCAAUCUUUGAUCAAGCUCUGCCAUUACUGCUGGCUCCUGCUUUUUCCUUUCCUUUGAUAUAGUGUUAGUUGUCAUGGAACCUAUCUUAUCAAAUGCCACCUGAAAGAUUUAGAUAAGGUGAAGUUUCAGUGUACAUUUUCUUUAUGAAUUGAGGGAAGUUGCACUCAAAACAAGAAAAUGCAGAUGCCUCACUAACUUGCUAGUCGUCAUUAUAAUGAAUUAGGUGAUUGCCAUUACAGAACAGGACAGGACAAGAAGAUGGGAGCAGUUCCUUGCAAAAGGGGUUUAGGGACACCAAAUGGAGGGGAAAAUAAUCUAUAAUCAGCUUUUUAACCAAUAUCAUGCUCAUAGCUUGAGAAACUAACGACUAAUCCAUUGGGUUGUUUGACAAGUCAAGUUAGUACUAAAUCAAGAGAAGCCCCAUCAUUCUUUGACUAUCAAUUAAAAAUUAAAUUAUGGUUUGUCCUGCACCAAAGAUUACAUUCUCUAACAUGUUCUCACUCAUCCUAAUUCUCCUCCUUUUCCUCACAAAAAAAAACAUAGAAAAUGUGCUAUGCAAUAAUCAAUAGAAAACUAUUUUAUGUAGGGGGUGAGGCAGCAAGUAAACUGUCUUACCGUCAAUAAUUCAUCAGGAUCAAAGAGGUGAUGCGUUGUUUUCUGUAAUAUAUUAAUUACAUCACCAACAUGGUGAGUUUGAAGCAGCUCCUCUUCCUUCAUCUGCAAUCAUAAAUCUCAAUUUAUUGUUUGUUUUGCUUAAUAAUGAUGUUCAAGAAACUUCUAAGCUUGUUUAUAGAAAUUCAAACAGCUUAAAUAAAAAGCCCAGUGCAAAAGCAAAGCACUAGCACCUUGAAUAUAGCCAAAGCUACAUGAAACAGAACCUUUGCUCCCUCAUAGAAAAGGACAUCCCACACCCGCAGAGUUGUCUGGAAUGUAGCAAGGCAAAGGAAAAAAUGUUAUUCAUCAAUGAAAACAUUACGAUCUUUCUACUCAGGAGAAAGCGUGUGUCUAAGAGAGAGAGAGAGAGCGCAUGAGAGGGAGAGCGGCAAUCCAACCUCCGAAGGCAAGCUCUUAGAGAAGAGGCAUAGGAACCAUUCAGUGGCAACAAGGGAGACAUCAAACUCUAGUUCUUCCAAAUGAGUAGCUAUUCUGCAUUGUUUUUUUAUUCCCAAUUUCUUAGCAAAUUGACAACCAUUAAAAAGCCAACUAGCUAGGCCAUCAAAAGGAAAAUACCUUGGGCACUUUUUAACAAGCAAAUCCUGGAAAACUCUUUGCUCAACGUGGCAUCCUGACAAAUUAUUUGUGUAGCAGUCACUAACUAAGACAUUCUCCAGAAGAACUGCUAGCAUCCAGAAAGCAUCUUCCUCUGUUUUCAUCACAAGCAACAACAGUGCUGCAACAUAAUUUAAGCCCUGCUCCAAAGAUAAUUAGAACACGUUUUAUGAAAUUAGAAUUUAUUUAUUUAAGAACUUAAUAAUGGAAAUCUAUGAAAUUAAACCAUGGCCAAUUCAAAAACAAAAUCAGUAGCUGCCUAGCUGGUACACACCUACUAGCAUAUCAUUUUUUGGUUCCUUAGAUGAAUAGUCUGGGAAGAUAAAUAUGCUAUGCCAGAUAUGCAUGUUGAAGCAGUAAUUCCAGCAUGGGAAAACAAAUGGAGAUUCUUCCUAGAUGACAAGGAAGCCAUUAAUGAUUUACAAAGUGGUAAUGAAGAAGAUUUGGGGCAAGAUCAGACAAUGUGAUGAUUAGGAAAUAAUACGAACACAGAUGAACAUGAUAUUACACAUAAAAGUACAUCAAGAAAAUAUGGAGUAAAUAGUAAAUCUCAGGGUGAUUGAUCUAGAAGCUAUGCUCAUAGGAAAACAGAAAGAAACGGAGACUAAGCAUUUAGUACAUCUAGAGGCUAUCAGCUCGGUACAGCUAAAAUACUUGAGCAAGGUGCAGCAAGAAUUUGACUAGGGGUGAGCAAAAAAACCGAUAAACCGAUUAAACCGAGAAAACCGGACAAAAAAUAACCGAAAAAACCGAACCGAAAAAAAAAACCGAAUUAACCGAUUAAAAAAUCACAAAAAAAUUCCGGUUCGGUUCGGUUUCGGUUUCUGAAGUCUGAAACCGAUUGAACCGAACCGAACCGAACCGGUUCAACCAGUCAGCACUUCAAAAAAAAGGCAAGUAUAAAUACAAUCUUUUCUAACCCUAGAAUAAGGCAUUAAGCCAUCAGCUGCCGCCCCCCCCUCUGCAUCUCUCUCAUUUCACUCUCACUUUACUCUCCCCCCUGCCCUCCCUUCUCUGCAUCUCUCUCAUUUCACUCUUUGGCUGGUGGGCCGCCCCCCUCCCCUCCCUUCUCUGCAUCUCUUUCCCUUCACUCUCUGGCUGGUGAAAAAUCAAAGCAAAACAAGUUGGUCAUCGUUGGCUCUACUAAGACAAAGAGUGAUGAAGAAGAGUACUUGGCUGAGUUAACUCAUCAAAUGACUCACUCCACCCUUGAAGAUGAUUUCAAGAGAAACGACCUCCCUUGCAGCACCGAAAAGACUAAGGUAUUGCUUCCUUUAUGUUUCUUUUUAAAAUAGGACAAUCUGCUCUGGUUUCUGUGAUUAUGUUUUCUGGGGCUAAUGUUCGGGUCUUGGGUUUUUUGCCUGAUUUGCAAGGUUGGGUGCAGUUGUAGACAAGGAUCUAGCCGUGGAAGCCCGAAUGGGUCUUCACCUCCAGCAACUUGGGAUCUGUUGUAUGAGAUUGCAGGAGAAGUAGAGAGAACCAUUGGGUUUGAACCGGUUUGGAAGGGAAAAAAACCGAACCGAACCGAACCGAAAUUAAUCGGUUUGAACCGGUUUUCGGUUCGGUUCGGUUCAAAAAAUUAAAAAAAAAAUAAUUCGGUCUGGUUGUUUAUUUUGGUUCAAAACCGGACCGAACCGGAAAUGCUCAGCCCUAAAUUUGACUACGAUACAAGAAUUCUGAAUAUAACUCUGCAUUCAUCUUGCUCUGCUGCCAAAUAUAUACAGAAUAAUUCCAGGCCAAGCUCAUGCUGAUGAGCUUCUAAGAGUACAAAAAUUAAUGUAAGGGCAUUAUUAUCAACCAAACAAAGUGUGCAAGAUGAAACAUGGAACUUUUGAAUUACUUCAUUUGACACUGAGUAAUCGCAUAACUGUACAUUUUUUAAUUAAACAAUGUCAGCCCCAUAAAUAACCUACCUGACAAUAGCCAACAUCUGAAUCACGGAAAGAAUAUCCGACAAGAACUCGUCGGAGUGCAGCAUGGCCCUCUGGAGUGUCCAACCAUGGAUGACCAGGAAAGGUCCGUGGCAGGUCCUGCAAGCAAGAGCAAAUUAACACAGUGAAAAAAAGAAAUUGAUAGCAAAAUGAACAGCACCUGUAAUGUAAGGGAUACUAUUGGGAAACAGUACAAUAAUUUUUCUGCCAAGCAGACCAAGUAACAUAAGCUUGAAAAAAAAAGUUAAAUAAACGAAGCGAUGACUAAAUUCCUUUCUAUGGAAAAUUUACCCAAUCAUUAAUAAAUGUACAAGAGAACCAGCACUGUAUAAGUUGUUUGUCUCCAAGGCAUACAGCAAUGAGGUACUCUAAUAAACACUCAUCAAAAGUACUUUUUCAUUCGUCUGAAUGAUUCUUACUUCCCCCAUUCAAUGUGUUCAGACAGCAGAACAACAUGUCUCCACAAGAGACAUCAAAGAAGCAAAUAAAGAAAGACUGUUAGACUUUGAUGAACAUGGUAAGAAUUCAGCCACAAUAUAUCUUGACCUGUCACGAUAUAUCUUGAUCAGUAAUCGGUAGGAACAACGGAUUCUGACAAUUUGAGUUUGAAAAUGGCAACAAAAAAUAAUGCUGAAACGAAAGAAGGGGGGUAUAGGUUUGUAAUUUGUGAUACUCAUGGUCAUUUGAUUUUUGUUAAAGCAGUCUAUUGUUCCUCUGUUGCUAGUUCAAAAGGGAUGAAGGCUUUAAGCUGGAUGCGAUUGCUUAGAAGUGGUGAAUGAGAUUGUGCAAGGCUCUUGAUCCUGGGAAAUUGAAGCCAUUUAUAAUGGUAUUUUGCAGCUGAGUAACUGCACAAAUUCCUCUUCUUUAAGCAUGUGAGACCAAGUAAUAAUCACACCCCACAUGCUAUUGCUAAACUGGUUUCUAGGAGCACUCCUGUGUUUAUUUGUACUAGUAAUGUUCCACCUUGCUUAUUAAGCGUCAUUUUGGAGGAACAUCAGAAUUACAUGUACUCUUGAUAGGUUUUGUCGUGAAUGAUAUGUUCUUAUUGGUUUUGACAUUACGAAAAAAAAAAGGACAAAUUAAUAAUGCUGAAUCACAAAAUUGGAUUUGCUUUAGGCAAAAAAAGGAAAAAAUAAUCACCAGAUUCUAUCAGAAAAUGAAUCUAAAACAAAAUCCUUUAUCUUCUCAUGCAUCAACACUCUAAACAAAAACUUUCAACAUUUGAAGAAUUAGGAUGCAAACACCUAUCUUUUCGAAAGAAAUCUGGUAUCCCAGCAGAGCACAUCGCAAGUAAAUCUAAAACAUCAGGCUUUAAGCAAGACAACAAAACAAUUUCACAUCAUGGCCACAACCAUCAUUGCAAUUCAAAAUAAGCAAACGGAUUCACGCAUGAUAGUAAAGCCAGCAUAACCACCAAAUCUAAUAUCAUAACUUGACAAUCAAAGCCAACAGAAAAUUGUCCAAGCCCAUCAUCAAGGCAGCACAAAAACACCAAAGUACCAAACAACAUAAUUCAUCAAUCAGAAUAAACGAAGAAAACCAAUCCAAAUUAUAUCAAAACCAGCAUUGGCAUGUUGCAACAUAACAGAAAUUAAGACUCACAUGAUCAAUCUGCUUUGUAGCUGCUGUGACCUUCCCUUCAACGGCCUUGGUCAAAUCACUGUAAUAACUCUCAGGCACUGUAGACUUCUUCUUUGCAGCACCGGAGAGAGAAAACCAAACCUUAGGCCUCAGCACAGGGGGUAUCCCCUUCCUUAUUAACCUCUUCAAAGUAAUUGCAUUCGUCAGAUUAGACAAUUUGAGAGAAGAUUUGAGUGCAAUCCCUUCAGUUAAUGAAGAAACCUGUGGCUGCAGAUACCAAUUAGCACCUUUGCUUGCCUCCAACGCCCACCAAACCCUCCCCUGUUGCCUCACCUUCUCUCUAACCUCAUUCAAUAUAUUAACAUCAUCCACAUUGCCCUCUACAGUGAACCCAUAAAGGUCUUGGAAUUUUACCACUAUAUUUGCCCUUCUUGAAUGGAUGCUUGGCCUCAAUAUGUGUAUUUGAGGUUGGAAUUCUAUGGCAAAUUCUCUUUGGCUAUGUGUUUGAUACAUUUUUUUUUUUAUUUCUCUGUUAGAUCAGCAAGGCAAAGAUGAGAAAAGAAGUGGUGGUAAAAGGAGAAGGCUUCUUUUUUUAUGAUUUUAUUAGUCAAAUGUGAAAAGGCCACAAAUGGCUUGGAAACAUAAGAAACGGUCAAUUUUGUAGCUUAAAUUGAACUGGCUUGGGAUGAGUAGAGAAAUGGAAGACCGUCUUAUCCUAUAAGCUUGCAAUUGAUAUAGAAAAAAAAAAAGCUUUAAACUUUCCAAUUACUAGUUGAAAGGAAAUAAAUAUUAAAACCGCAAGAGGGACCAAGAAAAGCACAGGUUUUAUUCAAACAGAUUGAUCAGACAAGACUCGCAAAACAGAUCUUCCUGGUAAGGAAUAUGCAGAGAGAAAGAUAGGGAUGAUGGUUGAAGAGCUUGUCAAGUUUUCUUCCUGUCUUUCUAGUUAAAAAAAAAAAAAAGGAAGGAUUUUUAAAACAAAUGGGUGACAAAGAAAAUAAAAAAGACCCGAUUUUUCAGGGUAAGCAAAGCUUUGAGGAAAAAGAGAGAAAACAUGAAAAUAAGAAGGGACUUAACGGGAAAAAAAAGGUGAACUCUGUCACUGAGGUGUGAGGUUGGGAAGAAGAUAUGGAAGGGUGAUGAUUUGAUAAAGUGGAAGAGAGGAGGAGCUGGAUUUGGAAAUUAUGGAAGGGACGAAACUGCAACUGUUCACUUUUUUUGGGGGUCUGAUCUGUCAUUUUGGACGAAACUUUGUUUUUUUUUUUUUUGCUAGAGCGUUACAAGAGCGGAUAAUAAAGGGCGUACAGAAGUUAGGGUAAGAUUUGCACGGAGAGGCUGAUGAUUUGCUUCAAUUACAAAACUACCCUCUCUAAAGAUGCGGUUGCCUUGCCUCACAAAUCACGAUAAUUUCUUUUUCUAUUUUCCUUUUCUUUUCUUUUUUUGUGCGAAUUACUGAGUGAAGGCAGCUCAAGCAGACUAUAUAUAUAUAUACAGAACAAUAAGAACUUGAGAUCGCAUUUACUUGUGUUGUGUAAUUAUUUUUAAAACAAAUCCUUAGAAAUAAAAAAAAAAAACUAUUGAAAAUAGGUUUAAUUACUAUUAAUAUCUUUUUAGAAACGUGUGUUUGCCAUCAAUUUUUUUGUAAUUUUCUAAGAGUUUGAAAGAAAUUAAUAAAUUAUUUUCAAAAUCUCUUUUUAGAAAACAAAAUCUAUAUUUGGCUUACAUAUUAUUUAAUUUAUUUGAUAUUACAAAUCCCUUGCUAUUUAAAAAUUAUUUUCUAGUAAAGUAUUUUCAUAGACAAAUUAGUUUAGAACAGGGAUGAAAAGAGAAAAUGAAUACUGGAAUUUUUUGUUGAAAAUAUUUGACAGAAUUAUUUCCUAGUAACAUAUUUAUAUAAAAAAAAAUCUGAGAUAUGAAUGUCUCCUCGAUAUAUGAAAAUAUUUGCCAAAUGGUUAAUGCUUUUGCUUUUGAAACAAGGAGACAAGACGGAAAAAAAAGAAAAACAAACAUACAAACUAAUUGUCAUAUGAUGUAAAUCUCUUUAUAUUUUUUUUCAAUAUAUAUUGUUUUUUUUCUUGUUAUAAAAGAUAAGUUUGACUUCGAGAGUUUUUUUUUAAAAUAGUAUUAAUACAAAUUGAAUUAAAAUUUAUUGAUAUUGAUAAACACAAAUUUCACGAUUUAAAAAAACUCUAAAAAAAUUAAACAAGCCCAAAAAAACACCUCAUGAGCUCAUGCUACCAUGACCAAGGGCUCAGUCGUGGAAACCCAAGCUCAAGCUAGAAUGCCCAAUAAGGUGUGACAUACUUGUGUUGGGCGUGCUAUCACGCCUAGCACCUUUGGUGUUGGGCAUGCACCCUAGCACCCACGUGAACUCGGCUUACCAUGUCCGACCCCAACAUGUUUGGAUCUACAUAGCGCACUUGAACUCAUCUUUUACCUCUAAGGCACCAUAUUCGUGCCCAACACUCUUUUGAGAAUUUUUCAAGGACUCCACGUGGAUUCCACAGUAUUUUAUAUCAAUCCAAUAAAUAUUAUCUUAAGUAGAAUACAACUCAAAAUCACAAGAGUAAAAUGAUUCUUCAACCUCUCCUCUCCACAAAAGACAAGAUGAGCUAUAAAUACCUCAUGAAUUCUUUAAAGCUCAAAGUUCACAAUCUUUUUAUUUUUAACAUUUUUAGUAUACAUAUUUUUAAAGUCUAUCUCUAUAAAAUAUCAUUGCAUUUUCUCUCUCUAUAAAGUUACUGACUUAAGCAUUUAAGAGUCCCUACAUCCAUCAAAUAUAACCUUUUCCAGGUACCAACUACUAGCCAUCUUGACUUGCUAGGCACCACUAGCUACCAACCACCUAGGUUUUCCAUAUCAAACCAUCAAACACCUUGUCUAAAGAGAAUGGAUCAGAUUGAUUAAAUUAAGAGAUUAACCGAUUAUCCAACACAUAAGCCUUAUUCCCUAGCAUCUUGGAUUUUGGAACCUCAUCAUUGGUGUGUCUAUGGGAAACUUAUUAAAAAGCCACUAGUUUCUUCCCAAAACUUGUUUUUGACAUUUGUAGAUCAUUUCAUGGCACACAACCAAGACACACAUAGGCCAAGAUGUAUAACGAAUCUACCUAUUACUGCAAGCAUUUUUGCCCAACCGAACAUUCAACAACUCACCAGUCAGGUGCAAGUCCUCACCCGAGCUGUGUUGGCAAUCCAAGGACAAAAUCAGACCUUGCCAUCUUAACAAGUCUUGACACCCUCAGCAAUACACAACGCCUUAACGCCACAUUGGUCACACCCGACGCCUGUAGACAAUUACACUGCCUAAAGGAUACGAGGUAUAAUGACAUUUAUAAGAGUCCUUCAAGGUGUCGCUCAUUCCAUUGCAAUAUAUAUGCACAAAGCUAGUACUUUAAACGUACUCCCCUAACUAUCAUGAGAUAGACACUAGUUAUCGUGGUCGUCAUUCCAUGUCAGCCUUUCCAGACUCCUAAGAGCCCAACAGACAAAUGACUAAGAGACUGUCUGUAUAUGAGUAUACCCAGAACAAUGUUUACAACCCCCAUCAGGUGAGGGAUUCUUCCUUGUCCAAAUAAGUAUCGAACAAUUGACUCCCUAAGAACUAUAUUUCCAUAAUUAAAAAAAAAAAAGAGUCUAUACAACUAUAAUAGUCUGGCCAACCCAAUAGAGCAUGUGUAGAAUAUGCAUAACAACUUAGAAUUGGUCAUCCAAGACAGUGACUUAAUGUGUAAAAUCUUCCCCAUAACCUUUCAGGGGUCUACGCGUGCUUAGUACAAUAAUUUUGAGCCAAACUUCAUCAAAAGGUUCAGUGACCACUGAAACAAGCUAGUAACACGCUUUAACACCAACAUUCCUGCCAAAAAAAGCUCCACGUAGCUAUUUGGUGUUACCCAGCAAGGGGGCGACUCUACUAGGGUAUACUUGAAAAGGUCCAAUAAGGAGAUGCUCAAAGUUGAAGAUCUAUUUGAGCAAAUAACCUUAAAAGGUUUAAUAAGAGGGGUAGGAGAACAUGCCCUCUAGAGAAAACUUUAUACCUUACCAGACAGAAGCUUGCUCAAGGUGAGAAAAGUCAUGGAAAAUCACAUACGGAUGGAAGAGGCCAAUGUGCUACAAUAUGAGCCUCUUUAUUUUUAUAAAAACAACCGGCGUAAACAACCCUCAAAGAAAAAUCAUUUUCCUAGUAUAAAUGAAAGCUUGAGGAAGAACCAAGGUUGUUAAAAUCGUGAUUUUGACACGGCACGGAAAAUGUAAAACAAACUCGGAUCGUAAAAACAAAUUGUAAAUUUUUUUAAGAUUAUGCUAUUUAUUUUAAUUUAUUUUAAUUUUUAUGGAUAAAAUAAUUAUUUGUUCACUGUAUGUACUUAGGAUUAAGGUUGGGAGUUUUUAAAAUUAUAUUAAUUUCAACUAUAAUGAAUUUUUUCUUUUCACCUAUAAAUAUCAGUAUGGUUGAACCAGGUACACAAUAUAUCUUUGUGUAAAUUGGAAUGAUUCUCUUUAUAAGGUAUAAGUAAAAAAAAUGGAGUUAUUUAAAAAAAAAAUUAUAUAUCCAAUUCGAACCUCGAUGAAAAACUAUUAUGUUUUGCUCCUUAUUCUACCUUCAUGUGAUUAUAAAUAAUUGAAUUUUUAAAUAAAAAAAUUAACACAACUAAAUUAAUGCACGCAUCAUGUUCUAACUUGAUUUUAAUCUUCUAUUUUGAUUAAAUUUUUAAAAAUAUAAAAAAUAUCAGGUUUUAUAGUUAUUGUUAAAAUUUUAAAAACAAACAUAAAACAGUUUAUUUUAAAUAUAAUAUAUAUAAUAAUGGUUAUAUUUCCUAUCGUAUAACUAAUCUCUUUUAUAUAUAUAUAUAUAUAUAUAUAUCCAAUGUCACACAUCAAGUAAUUACCAACCCAAAGUCACAUAAAGUCACCAUCACUCAAUGUACUUAUUUUACUUCUUUAAGUAAACAUAACUGAGCACAAUAAAUUUUUGUACGACCACAGAGCUGAUGGAUAAACAUAACAGUAUUUUUUUGCAAUCAAAUGUCAAUAAUCAGUCGACACCUGUAAUAACAAUUGCAAUUUUAUCUUCUGCGGGUAAAAUCGUUAAAUCGGUGGUGAAAUCGUGAUUUUAUACGAUUUCAUCCGAUUUUAACGAUUUUACCCGAUUUUAAUCCGAUUUUACCCAUUUUCGAGUUUUAUAAACGAUUUAGCACGUAAAACCUACAUUGACUCGUAAAAUCAUACGAUUUUACGAGUCAAAUCGCGAUUUUAACAACCUUGAGAAGAACCAUGAGGGAUCAACCCCAUGAGCGCUUGAUGUAUCCAAAGAAUUUAUUAUUCUUUUACAUCAAAAUAAGAUCACCCAUUCAAAGUUAUCAUGGCAGUCAAGGAAAACACUAACCACCUCCAAGACAUGUUUUUCUUAAGAACCUCCCUCAUACUUAUUGCUUAGAUCACCUCAAGAUACACAAUCCUUAAUGGAAAUGUAAGCUUAUUUUUGAAAUAAAAAUAAUAUAUUUCUCACAUAAAUUUCCUAUCUACAAAUUUUCAGUGUAGUCACGGACUGACAUAUUCUCCAAGUAGUGUCAAAAAGCCCCUCACCAAUUCAUUAGGGAUUGAUUUUGGAUCUCCCGCCUCUCUAAUGUAGUCUCGGACUGACAUGAUUCUCUAGUGGAGCUCCCGAGCUUUAUAUUAUCUAUAUGGAUGAUCUCGAAUGUCCCACUCUUAAGUGCAACCUCUCUUGCUUAGGGGACUCUCAUGCCCCAUUUCAUUGUCAUGAAGGCCACACGCUACUCAUUCUGUAAAAAAACAACACUUUCUGGUAGGGGCUUUCACACCUCAUGACAAUGUUAAAAAGGUCACAUACCCCCCUCACUCUCAAACCCUCAUGCUAUCAUCAAAAAGGCUAUAGACCUCUUACUAUUUGAUGAGAUCUUUCUCUAAUGGUGAGCUUCUAAGCCCCUAUACCAUCAACUAGAAAGCCAUGAUCCUCCCUCUCUCUCUCUAGUACAAUCGUGGAUUGGUACAUGGCUUUCAAUUCUUGCGUUAUCUCAAAGAAUCACCCUCCACAAGUUCCCCUUAACCAUUUAAAUUUUUUUUUCUAAAUAUAGGCUCACCCUUUAGGUUCCCCUGACCUCUUAAAAAAACUUUCUAAGUAUGAAGUUCUUUAUAUCUUACCUCACUUUCGAAUAAUUUUUUUUAGGUAUGAGUUCCUUCAUGGUUCCUCUCUAUAUACUUAGAGAAUUUCUUUAAAUAUGGUGUACACCCUUACAUAUAAGCUCUCAAUUAAAUAAACUUGUAGUCUCUUCCCCUCUUUUUAUAUGAAGAAAACACGAUGAAUUCAUCAUGCCGGGAAUUUUUACAAGUCCUUACGUAUCAAUAUCACAAAGACUUAAGGGGGCUACUAAUAAACCCAAAUUUAACAAGGAAAAAAACCCUUUACAAGGCAAAAAAAAACUCAUGGGCUUGGGCUACCACGCCCGAGCUUAUUUGCUGUUAUAAGGGAUGGACUCAGGCUGUUUGCUUGGGGCUAAGGUGUAUGGGCUCAAGCAUGGUAGCCCGAGCUCAUACUAGGCACACACCCAAUAGGGUGUGACAUGUUUGUGUUGGGCGUAUUGUCAUGCCCAACACCUCUAGUGGUGGACAUGCACCUCAACACCCUACAUGGCUCAAGCCCAACAUGUUUAGGUCCAAGUAGUGCGUCUGGAUCUAUUUUUCAUCUCUAAUAGGCUCAGAAACCUUGCCCGAGUGCAAUACUCCCUUGGAAAUUUUCUUAGGACUCCACACGGGUCCCUCAGUAUUUUAUACUAAUCCAAUAAAUAUUAUUUUGAGUAGAAUACAACUCAAAAUAUCAUAAGGAUAAAAUGAUUCUUCAACCCCUCCUCUCCACAAAAGAAAACGACUCAUGGGCUAUAAAUACCCCCAUGGAUCUUUUCAAAGCUCUAGAUUCUCAAUCUUUUAAUUCUUAACAUUUUUAGUAUACAUAUUUUUAAAGCAUAUCUCUAUGAAAUAUCAUUGCACUUUCGCUCGUUAUAAAGUUACUAACUUAAGCAUAUGAGAGUCUUCACAUCCAUCAAAGAGAAUAUUUUGCAAGUACCAAUCACCUUAGCUUAUCAAGCACCACCAGCUACCGGCUACCAACCACCUGAACUUUUCAUUUUAAAUCAUCAAACACCUUAACUAGAAAGAAUGAGUUGAGUUGCUUGAAUUAAGAGAUUAAUCGAUUAUCUAACACAUAAGUUUUAUUCUUAAACAUCUUAGAUUUUAGGAUUUUAUCAGAUAUGAUAAUAUACGAUGUUGCAUUAUCUAAAUAUUAAAGCUUCAAAUAUUCAACAACAUGAAACAAAUAAUGGGAAAAAAAAAACUCUUCCUUACAUUAUAUAAUUUCUAGAUACAUAGAAUAGUUAGAAAUGAAUAUAAUAUAGAUGCAUCAUUGAAUACAAAUACAACCAUGUAUCAAUUUUUAAAACUUUAAGAAUUCAUUUUAUACAAUUUAUUAAUUAAGAAAAAAAGCUAAAACAAUAAUUAUUAAAAAUAAACAAUAGUGGUUGAAAUACCACAAAACUAUAUACUUGUUUGUAUAACAUCCAUAAUAAGAAAAUGUUAAGUAGCAUUUUUUUCUUUCUUAAAAAAAAAUCAUAUAUUUUUCUAUUUCUUUACCAAUCAGGAACUGUCCCGGAUAAAAACUUUAGUUCGAUACUGUAGAAUUAAAACAUAGAAAAAUAUUAAUUUUUUAAUGGAGAGAAAAUUAAAAUAACAGCAGUGAAAGUGAAAAGCCACCCUACCUACGACUUACAAAAAAGAUAUUUUUAAAAUAUCCCGGAAUAUUCAUGGUAGAAAAUAAAAUAGUAGCAGCAAGGGCAAUAUAGUCAUUAUGGAUAUCCUGGACGCGUUAUUGGUAACUGAAAAAAAUAAAUUGAGAGGAGGUUGUGAGGCCCAGCCACGACCACACAACACCAGCAAUGAUUAUCUGAAGUUGCGGGCGAGCUGGCAAAUUUUAGACUAAAGUCCUCGCACGAGAUAGCCAACAGUGCCAAUAUUUCACGUGCGAGCUUUGACACGUGACAAGAUAUCACUGUGUCCAAAUCAGGACAAACGACAAGAGAAAGAUUGGUGUCCGUGUCCUUGUCUGUCUUGCGUGAUCUCAGCCUCUCGAUGUGUAGUUUUGGAGCCUUCCACGCGUUUGUCUUCUUACAGUGAUAUUUUUCACGGAUGGUAAUUAUAUUUUUAAUGAAGAAAGGAGUAUUUAAUGUUGGUAUUAUAUUUUAUAUUUGAAAAAAAUAUAGAUAAUAUUAAAUAUUUAUUUUUUUAAUUGGCAUGUUUAGAUUUUAUCCUUUUUUAAUUACUACCUAUCACCAACUUUUUUUUUAUGAGAUCCUCCUUAAAUAUAUUUUCUGUAUUUUCAAAUAUUAUUACCAAUAACAUGAAUGUUUUAAAAAAUAUAAUAUAAUAAUUAAAAAUUUUAAAAUAUAAUUUUUAUAUACUUCCUUGUUUUUUAUUUGAAUUUUAAUAAAAUUUAAGUUAUUCUUUUGAUUAAAUUUAUAAUGAACAUGGGUGACUGAUCAUUUAUAGAAUUAGAAUAAAACAGAAAAUAUGAUUUUUCUUUAUGGCAUGCAUAUAUAUAUAUAUAACAAAAUAUACUAAAACAUUUAGGUAAUUUAUAGUAAUUCAUUUUUUUUUCAUUUUUUUUAUUGCAGCCUUAUUAUGCUAAAAUUAAUGAUAAAUUUUUUAAAUUUUGUUAAGUAAAUAAAAAAACAAGGUAUAAACACAGUGACAAAUCUCAUGGUUGAUCUUAAAUUUGCUAGAAAAAAAAUAUAUUUUCACUUUCGUUUCUUUUUUUUUUAAUUUUAUAGUUUUUUUAAUUUUUAUAAUUUUAAUUUUAAUAUUUAAUCUAAAUCGAUUUAAUAUGUGAUUGUCUUAAUAAUUUUUUAUAAAAAAAUUAUUAUUUUUAAUUUUUUUAAAAAUAUUUUUUUACUUAUUAUUCAAGUUAUUUAUGAACUUAUUAAAUUAAUUAAAUUAUCAAUAUUGGAGUUACAAACUAGAUAAGAAAUCAGAAUAAAAGAUUUCAACAUUAAACUAUAAAUGAGAUUUAAUAAGAAUUUCUCGCUGCUGAACAAUUUGUUUUUUUUUUUUUAAAUGUUUUAGCCUACAUAACCUAGGCUAGUUGUCUAGCAUGUGUCUAUUGGCCCACGAAUUUGUAAUCGCGAGUUGACAAGUGGAAACUUUCAGGGAUUUAGGGUCAAAAGGGCCGGCUUAUAACUAGGAAGUGGGCCAGUCGAGCGCUGGGUCCCACUUGUGAGGAUAAUUCAAGAAAGUGAUCAAUGAUCCUCCAAGGGGAAAAGGAAAAUUGUUAUGCUUGGUUUGCUUGCACUCCACCGUUAAUUAAUUAAUGUAUAAGAAAAUCUACUGCUUUAAGGCAAAUCUUCUUUAGUGUAUAUUUGGUUUAUAGGUGUUGUGUUUUUUUUAAAUAUAAUCUUUUUUAAAUAUAAAUUAUAUCUCACAAAAAUAAAUAUACAUAUUUUUUAUAUAGAUUCUAUAAAAACAAAACCAUCACAUCUCCGUAACCAAACACUCCUUAUAAUAAAAUUAAAAUCAGUAUCAGAAAACAUUCGAGAUUGCUGAGCAAUUUUGGUAUUUUAGUUGACGAGGACGAGCACUCAUAAUUAUUGGUUCCUUAGCAUAUGAAUUUAUCUGGAGUUGCGGUGAAUUUUUUUUUAUAUUAAAAUUUAAUUGAUUUUUUAAAUUAUUUGUUUUUAGUGUUUUAUAAUUAUUUUAAAAUGUACUAACAUCAAAAAUAAAUUUUACUAUAUUUAGAUAAAAUUUAGUGUUGAACUCUCUAAAGUGGCGAACAACUAUGCAUGUUUCUAUUUUUCCGUAGAUCUUGGCGGUACCCACAUUGACAUGACCAUUCAAUGCAAGCACUUACUAAUUAAAGAAGUGAUUGAUUUCUUACCACUGUAAAUUAAGAUGCAAUAGUAAAUUCACCCAACAAGUCAUAAUUCUCAUCAUAAUUAUAUUACGAAAAGUUAGUUUGUUUUUUUUAUUAUUAUUUUAAGAGUGUUUUAAAAAAAUUAAUUUUUUAUAUUUUCAGCCAAUAUAAAAAAUAAAUUUUAAAAAAUAAAAAAUAUUAUUUAAAAAUAUUUUUAAAUAAAAAUCACUUUAAAAAACAAAAAUUACUGAAAUUAAAAACAGUUACUCAAUCUUCGCCGCGGGGAGUGGGGACUCAUGAAGAAGGUAGAUCAGCCAAAGACUUAUUGGGUUUGAUAAUUCACCCAUCAUCUAUAGUCAGUCAUAAUUUUCAUCAUAAUUAUAUUACGAAAAGUUAGUUUGUUUUUUAAUUCUAAGAGUGUUUUAAAAAAAUUAAUUUUUUAUAUUUUUAUAUUGUUUUAAUUUGUUAAUAUAAAAAUAAAUUUUAAGAAAUAAAAAAAUAUUAUUUAAAUAUAUUUUUAAAUAAAAAAUCACUUUAAAAAACAAAUAUAAGUUUCGAAUCUUGGCGGUCGUGACUCAUGAAGAAGGUAGUUGUUGAUCAACCAAAGACUUACUUGGGUUCGGUAGUUUUUUCUUUUUAUUUUAUAACAUAAAAAAUCAAAUUUAAGAUUUACUCAGAAAAAUUAAAAGAAGGAAGAAGAGACGACGUCUACCUGCUAGCAUUGUGAUCCAGGUGGCACCGCUGCUCUGUAUCAUCCAUGGCAAUGCUUGCAGAAGGGGGAGAGAGAGAGAGAGAGAGAGAGAGUACUCUUUGGAUCCACUUCGAUGAAUGAUUGUCGUUGAUGAUAUAAUUGUGUUCACAUGGCGCCACUAAAAGUAUUUUCUUCUGUGGGAAGACAAGACCAUGUCCGGUUCAAGAGCAGUGAGUGGAGCUAAAGCAAAGCCAUCCUUUCAUUUAGAAAUUAAUCAAUUACUACUUCUCCAAGUGUAUUUUGCUUAUUUAUUAUCACUCGCACAAUAAUUGCGAACAAGUCAGGCUGCUUCUUUUCACAAGCUAGCUAUAUUGAGGUAGAAGAAAGAAAGCGCUACACGGGAACCGGAAACUUUACGCUACAGGGGGGUGUAUGGAUUAUCAUUUUUAAUUCGGUUCAAUUUUUAUUUAUAAAAAUAACUAACUUAAAAUUUUUUAAAAUAUAUAUAAAAAAUCAAAAUUGAAACCAGUUCUAUUCGAACAGUUUUAAUUCAGUUCGAUUUAAUUUGGUUCGGUUUGGUUGUUUUAUAUUCAUAACUGAAAAUUAUAUUGUUUUUGGGCUUUUUUUUAUUUUUUAAUGGUUCUUUUCGGUUCAGUUCGGUUUUUUCCAGUUUGGUUUAUUUCUUAAUUAAACCGGUUUGGUUCAGUUUUUUUAUUUUAGGCUUAAGAAACCGAACCCAAACUGAUUUUUUUAAAAAAUAUUCUAAUCGAUUUAAUUGAUUUUUUUUCAUUGUUUGAAUUUUUAAAUUUUUUUUUUAAUUUAAUCAAUUUGUUAGUUUUUUUACUUAUUCCUAACACGGCGGAUAGAUAUGAUGAGAUUGAAGAGUGUUUGUUUUUUUUAUGUGGGAAAUAUUUAGUUGUGGUUGAUUUGAUUAAAAAAAUAUAUUUAAUUAAAAAUUUGGUAAAAUUGUAAUUAGAAAAAAGUACAUUAAAGAUUUUUGGUUGUAAUUGUGCUUGAAAUUAAUAUGUGCGGCAAUUCCAUUACGAGCAUAAUCCUAUAUUUAUAUUCUCAUUGAAAUUGAUGGAACUCGAGGAUCGAUCCUCCCACCUAACAUAUCUGCACAGGAUGCUACCAACUGAGACAUUUCGAAAACUAAUAGACACAUUUCUGGCUAAACAAAUCAAGUUCAUUCAACUUCUCAAAUCCUGAUUACAAUGACUAAUUUUAUUAUGAUAUGUUUGGUUGAUUUCAUAUGGAUCAAACAACUUUACGGUCACACACUAUGCAGCGAGUUAGAUCAAAAUUUUAUUUAUCAUCGAAAAAAUAUCAAAGUCAUUAAAUUAUUUGAUAUUAUUAUUAAAUUUAUCUAACAAGCCAAACUUGAAAUCUUUUCACCCUAUUUUUUGUCUAGCUCUGAUUUAAAAUUAACUCACGUGAGAGUUGUUUUGACAUGACAAGGUUGACUUAAUGGGUCCAAAAACAACUCAUGGUUUGAUUUUAAAAAAAUUCAAGAUGAUUCUUUUAUUUUAAUAUUGAGAUGACUCUAUAUUGGAUCGAUUUAUGACUUAACUUGCUAAAUUUGUGAUCUGGAUCAUUCAUUCCAUUGGGUUUAACAACUCUUUUUUUAAAAAAAAAAACACUAUUUUUAAUUUAAUGAUAUAAUAACAAAAAAGACACUUGCAAAAUUGAGCACUAAUCAAAUACCAUAAUAUUUUUUUAAGAUUGUAAUAAACUCAUAAAAAGCAAAUCAAAAUAAAUUAUGAAGACCACUUCAAAAUCAAAUAAAAUUUAAAGGAUAAAAUUGAAAAAAAAAGUCAAAAUGGAUUCAACCACAAAGAAAAUAAAAUUGGAAGAUGGAAUUAAAAAAAAAAGAGGAAAAAAAGGGCUUCACCAACAGGCCGACCUUGAACUUCUCAACCCAACUCCUUACCUAGCCUGAGUUUAAAAUUAACUUACAUAGAAGUUGUCCAGAUAUGAUCUACUUGUCUUGACGGAUCCAAAUAGCAACUCGGACGACCAAUGAAAAGCGUGGUAUAACUUUAUAAAAAUUCAAUAUGAUAUCUCUUUAAUACUAAGACAAUGAUAUAUUAGAUUGACUAGCUUUUGUGGUUUAAUCCACCAAACCUGCGAUCCAAAUCAUAGACUCCAUUGAGUGUGACAUUUUUUUUAAUUAUUUUAUAUUUAACGAUAUGAUAACAAAAUAGGUUCUAUAAAAAUUAAACACUAAUCAAAUAUCAUAAUAUUUGUUUAAGAUUGUGAAAACCUUAUAUAAAACAAAUAAAAAUAAAUUAUAAAACCAAUUCAAAACGAACAUAUUGAAAAAAAAAAGCUAAAAAAGAAAAAACUUAAAGGUAGAAUAAAAAAAAAAAGGGACCAACUCCUUCACUGAACAGUGAAGGAGCUGGUUUUACCCUGGUUUUUUUAGCAGGUUAGGUAAUCAUUGACUAGAAUUGGGAGGUUUCAGUUAGGUUACUUGAGACUAUGGAUCAAUAGAUAUCAUAUACUUUUUUCUUAAUGGUCAUAUUAGAUUAUUGGUUCUGGAUGUGUUACGGGUUUGAUUAAUUUUUUUAAUGUAAAAAAAAUAUCCAAGUAUUAUUAUUGUAUUUUCUAAAAAAAAUGAUCAUGAACUCAAAAUAUAAUGCAUAUUGAACGAUAUUUGUUUUUUAAAUAUUAAUAUGACAAUGUAUUGAAUGACAUUUGUUUUCAAAUAUUGAGACAAUAACAUAUUAGAUCGAUUCCGGUUAAUCUGUCAAAUCUUUGACCCUAGUCAUUGGACCGUGAUAAUUCUAUAAAAAGCAAAUCAAAAUAAAUUAUGAAGGCCAGUUCGUACGCAGCCUAAUGUUGAAGGGGAAAAAAAAAAUUACUCGGGUCAUGAGAUCAGAAUAACCUCUUGAAAAGUAAAUAAAAAAAACUAAGAAGCCCAAUUUUCAAUCAAUCAAAUGGUGAAGCAUGAAAUUAAUUUAAAAAAAACACAAAAAAAACAAUAUAAGUCAACUCGAGCUAACCUGUUAAACCUGUGACUUAGGCCAUGAAACCAGGAUAACCUUAUAAAAAGUAAAUAAAAAAAUUUACAAAACUCCAUUUCCAACAAAUCCAAUGUUGAAGCUUGCAAUCGAGAAAAAAAAACUAAAUCCAUGAGAUCAGGAUGACUCCACAUAAAGCAAAUUGAAAAAAAAAUACGAAGCUUAAUUCCUAAACAACCUAAUAUUAAAGGAUGAAAUUGAAAAAAACUAAAUAAAAAAAAGAUUGAGUUGUUGGAUAGUGAAAGAGUGAAAUUGAAAAAAAAAAUCAAUUAAAAAAGAAUUUGAAAAAAUAAACCAAGUCGAUCUGGGUUAAGUUGCCAAACCCACGACUCGGGUCUUGAGAUUGGGAUAAUCCCAUAGAAAACAAAUAAAAAAGAAGCCCAAUUAAAAAAUGACAAAAAAAAAUAAACAGAAUCAACUCGGGUUAACCUUCCGAACCCUUAACCCGAGUCAUAAGAUAUGGAUAACCUCAUAGAAAGUAAGUAAGAAAAUCGUUAACCCGAGUCAUAAGAUAUGGAUAACCUCAUAGAAAAUAAGUAAGAAAAAAAUCCCAAUAAAAAAAUAACCAAAAAAAUAAACUGAGUCAACUCAGGAUAACCUGCCAAACUCCUAUCUAGGUUAUGAGAUCGAAAUAACCCAUUAGAAAUACAAUUAAAUUUUUUUUACAAAUUUCAAUUUCCAAACAAUCCAACAUUAAAGGAUGAAAUAAAAAAAAACCAAUUAGAAAAAAUAACCUAAACAAUGAUCCGAGUUAACCUGAGUUAAUAUGUUAAACAUGCGAUCUAGGCCAUGAGAUUGAAUAAAUUCAUUGAAAGCAAUAAAAAAAAUAUAUGAAACCCCACUUCCAAUAGAUGUAAUGUAGAAAUCGAGAAAAAAUAAUCUAAAUCUAUGAUAUUGAUAUAUAACCUACCAGAAAGGAAAUUGAAAACAAUUACGAAGCACAAUUAUGAGAAGAACUCAAUAUUUAAAGGAUGAAAUUGAAAAAAACCUAUAAAAAAAAAACAAUUGGGUUGAUGAAAGUUGAAAUUAAAAAAAAUACACAAAAACAAUAAAAAAAAUUAUAAAACAGUAUUUUAAUGAAUAAUAUUAUGUUAAGGUGACUAUAGUAAUUUAACCACAUCAUGUUUAAAAUUUGAAUAAAAUACUUAAAAAGAUCGUGUUGAUAAAGAGUGAAAUUAAAAAAAUAAAUAUUAUUUUAAUAAAUAAUAUUUUAGAGGUGUGGCUAUAAUAAUUUGAUUAUAUCUUUUAAUAUUUUAUUAAUUGAUUGAAAAUUAAAAUACAUACAAGAGACACUAAAACCAAAUUUCAAUUAUGUUUAUUAGAUUAAAUUAUAAUAAUAAAAAGGGGCACGGAAUUUCCAUGUAAAUCUCGGGGAUUGGAGAGCAAAUUAAAUGUGAUGACAUUUAGCUUUAUAACUAGUUACAUGCCCCGCGCGAUGCCGCGGGUCAAUUAUUUUUUGCAUUUUAAAAAUAGUUAAGAUCUAAAACUAUUAGGUUUUUUUACAAAGUUAUACCCAAUAGUCUCAGGUUUGGUUGUAACGCCUGAUCCAAGAGUAAUAUUUAUAAUAUUAAUAAUAAAAUUAAACUUGGGUUAACCCUUAGCAUAAAAGUGUCUGGAUUGCAAUACCAGACCCAAUAACAUUGGACAUGGGUCUGGCUGCAAGGUUGUGUCAUAAAAGUGUGAUAAUUUAAUAAAUUAGUUAAAAAAAAACCAACAGGAAAAAAAAACUAAUGAAAAAAAAAAUAUGAAUUAAUUGGGUUAACCCUUCAAACCAGGUUAACCCGUCAUACAUUGAAUUUGCAUCGUGAAAGCUUGAUAGUUAAAAAGAAAAAAACAAAUUAAUGGGUUAACCCAGAAUUAACUAGGCUAACUCGUCAAACCAGGUUAACCUGUCAAACCCAGAAUCCGUGUAAUGAAAGUUUGAUAACUAAAUAGAAAAAAAUUUAACAUUAACAAUUUAAAUUAAACAAAAAAAAUUAAUUAAAAAAAAGCAUCAGCCUUUUCACAGUGGACUGCACUGUGCAGUUCACAGUCAAAGGCAUAAAAAAAAACUAAAGGCAUCAGUCGAGAACUACUUAGAAAAAAAUUUAAUAUUAAUAAACUAAAUUAAUUAAAUAAAAUUAAUUAAAAAUAACAAAUAAAAGAAAAAAAACCUCUAAGAAGAAAAAAAACUAAAUAGAAAGAAAUUUAACAUUAACAAACUAAACUAAACGAAACGAAAAAAAUAAUUAAAAAGAAAAAAAAAGCAAAAAAUAAAAUAAAAUUCAUGUUAACUCGUCAAACCAAGUUAACCAGUUAAACCCGGGAUCUGUGUCAUGAAUGUCUGGUAACCAAAUAAAAAAAAGUGAAUAUUAACAAACUGAACUAAACAAAAAAAAUUAAUUAAAAAAAAAAAAAUCUGGGUUAACUCGUCAAACCAUGUUAAUCUGUUAAACCCAGUAUUUAUGUCAUGAAAGUCUGAUAACUAAAUAAAAAAAAAAAUUAACAUUAACAAACUAAAUUAAAAAAAAUAUUUAUGAAAAUAAUAAUAAAAAAAAUUGACGGGUCAACCCGGAAUUAACUGGGUUCACCCGUAAAACCAGGUUAACCCGUGAAACUCGAGAUAUGUGUCAUGAAAGUCUAAUAACUAAAUAGAAAGAAAUUUAACGUUAACAAACUAAGCUAAACGAAAAAAAUUAAUUAAAAAAAUAAAGAAAAAAGCAAAAAAAAAUCUCAAAAAGCAUAAAAAAAACAGCUAAAAAAACUUAGAUAACCUUAAAAAAAAAAAAAAAAACCGCCUAAGGAACAGUCCAUAGUAAAACACUGACUCUUUUUAGUUAUAGUUUAAUGGAUUUAUGUGGUCCAACCUGCAUACACUCUUUGUUUACACCGGGCUGUCGUUUGCGCGUAGCUUUGGGCUCCUUAUGGGCAUAUUAUUUUCGAAAUCUAACUUAAUCAAAAGCCCAUACAAUAUAUAUAUAUAUAUAUAUAUAUAUAUAUAUAUAUAUAUAUAUAUAUAUAUAAUAUUAUAAAGUUUCAAACUUGAAUUGGGCAUAUAGUCAUAGCUGGGGAGAAAAAACAGAAAGUAGACUACAAACAGAAAAGGCUUUCCACAUGAAAAAAUAAAAACUUAAAAAAAAAAAAACGGUUUUAUAUUUCUUCAUAUAUAAGGUUGCAUUCUCACACUUGCUCAUGUAAUAUUAUAUUUCUUCAUAGUUUAAUAAAUAUUAACUAUUUUUCAUCCAAAACAUCUAGAUAUCUUGAUAAACUCAUCAAUGAUAUUAGAAAAUUAUACAAAAACCUGAAAUCAAUCCAAUAUCAAAAAUCUUCCCGAGCUCAUAUAUGUUCUUUAGGCAAUCUGAAGAUGGAAAAAUACUUAAGUGGAGCUUUUCUUAUUGAAUAGAACUCGUUAACACCAAAAUCAACUAUUUUGGUGGCCGAAAUUGAUGUCAAGAAUAAUUUUCUCUCUCUAUCGUUGGAAUCCAGUGACUUUCUCUAUUAUUUUUCAAACUAGAGACUAAAAAAAUAAGAAAAAUAAAAUUUUGAACUAAAAUUGAUUUUUUUCUUGAAAUUUAAAAAAUUAGAGAGACCCAAUAUUUAUAAUUUUAAAAGUAAGAAGUAUACAAUAAACAUUUUAUUCAAAGUUGAAAAAAGCCAUCCAUUCAUCCACCUUUUCACUUUGUUCCCUGUUUUGUAAUAAAAAAAUAACUUAAAUUGGCCUCUAAUUUGGUCUUACAAGGAUGAAAAUUUUUUUUUUGAAAAAAAUAAUGUCUUUAUCAAAUACAAUUUUGUUAUCAUAAUAUUAAUUUAAUUCUAUAUAUCUAGUAGUAAAUAUAAAAUAUCAUAAACAUAUGAGCUCAUGGUGUCAAAUAUCUUCGGUCAAUCUUGUUUAUUUCUUAAUUCUAAUUGUUCUACAGAGUUCUCUACAUUAUAUUAUUAAAUGUUUCAAUUGUAAUCUCAUUUCCUGACGUUUGUGACCUCUCUAUAUUUUUGAGUAUAUUUUCAUCAUUUAUAUGCACACCUCUCAUAAUAAGAUCUGUAAGAGAAAGCAAAUGAAAGAUUUCAUAUUCUCCAUAUUGGCACAACCCCAUCACGAAAUCCAUGUUGCAGAUGAAGUAUUAUACCUUGGACAUAGUGAUCAAGUUCUUGAACCUUACCUCCUUUUCAUGAAAGAUGCUAGGUAUGUAUCAACGAUACUUGUAAGUCCCUUGUCAGGGGGUUUAAUUGCAGAGAACCUUAGUAUCUAAAUUUGAGGCAGAUUGUAAAGUUUAAGGCUUUUUACCUACAUGAAGAUGAAAUUGAUCUCUAUAGUCUAUUUCAAUAUCAUCAUUGUUGUACCCUCGCGAGAGCGCGACGUCGUGGCGACCCUUCCCGGAGCGGGGGAUUGAUUUCGGGGUUUUUGUUUUGUGAAAAAGAAAAUUGCCAUCUAGUAUUAUGGUCACUAGGAAACCUAACUGGUCUUUCAGAGAUUCUAAGGCAAGGGACUGGUUGCGUAAAGAGAAGGUUAUAACACCCCUAGUACGCCCUACCUAAGGUAAGCUGCUCGGUGUUUGGUUUGCCUUAUCAUUGUUAUGGUAUUGAUGUUUUCUAAUCAGUUUUCCUAGGAUGAGUUUGCUAUGAUGAGUGAACUUGGGUUCAAAGUCUAAAAUAAGAAGAAAAAACCCUUAGCCAAUAUGGAUUAUACCUUUAGAUAUGUCUAUAGUGUGCCAAGGAAAACCAAUGCAGAUCUCUUGAAAUCUGUGUUUAAAAUAAAUUUAUAACCUAUGGAUUAAGAGACAACUAAAAUAGAAAUCUAAGGAGAUUCAAUGUGUUUAAGAGCUCAUUUUUCUCUUAGUAUUUCAAGUGUUCGCGACUCGUAAAUCGCAAGGAAGAGAAAAGAAAAAAAACUAAGUUAGAAAUCUAAGAAAAUUCAAGGUGCUUUAAAAGCCCAUUUUUGCCUUAGUAUUUCAUAUUUUCGUGACUCAUAAAUUGUGGAAUCAAAAUUUGAAAUGUCCCCAAUUAUAAUUGAGGCUUCUUUCAAGGAUACACAAUUAAAUUGUUCUAAAUAAAAUUUUAGGCAUAAAUCUGUCCUUAUAUUAAAAAUAAACAAGUUGUAUUCCUAUUAACAAUAUUUUGGACAUUUACCUUUCAUAGGUUUAUUUUCCCUUAUAUUAUUAAGGGAUAAUGACUUCUUAUUCCUAGAAAAAUAUUUUUGAUAUUUACCACUUGAGGGUUUCUUUAUCCAAAUAUUAACAGUGAACAAUGACGAAUCAUUCCCAAUAAUAUUUUGAAUAUUAACCCCUUUGGGGUUUCUUUAUCCAAACAUUUGUAGUGAAUAAUAACAAAUCAUUCCUAAUAAUAUUUUGGAUAUUAAUCCAUUUGAAAUUUUUUUAUCCAAACAUUAAUAAUGAAUAAUAACAAAUUAUUCCUAAUAAUAUUUUGGAUAUUUAUCCAUUUGGGAUUUCUUUAUCCAAACAUUAAUAGUGAAUAAUUACAAAUUAUUCCUAAUAAUAUUUUGGAUAUUUACCCAUUUGGGAUUUCUUUAUCCAAACAUUAAUAGUGAAUAAUAACAAAUUAUUCCUAAUAAUAUUUUGGAUAUUUACCCCUUUGGGAUUUCUUUAUCCAAACAUUAAUAUUGAAUAAAGACGAAUUCCUAAAAAUAAGAUUUUUGUAUUUUUGGAAUAUUGGCCAACACCCUUUAGAAUUUACAAACACGUUGUAAAAUCCAAGAUGCAAGAAAAUAAUUUUUAUGUUUAAAAAAUCAUGUUAAAAUAUAUUUUUUGAAACCUUGAAUAUUUGCUUUUUUUAAAGAAAUUUUUUUAAAAAUAUAUUAGGGUGUUAACUGUAUGCAACAUACAAGAAAACUUUUUUUUUAUAAUCAAAACACAAGCAUCACAGUAAACACAAUUAAAACGACAAACCAACACAUAUAUUUCGCAGAAACUUAGACAGUGCAUGUAAGACAAAGCAGGAGGAACCCAGAAAAAAGGUCAUCCAAAGCCAAAUCUCAUCAAAACAGAACUGGUCUAUCAACUCAAAGCCCAAACAUAGCAUGACCAUCAUUUUCAACAGAAGGGAGUAAGUCAUGUGCACAUGGAAGCUAAACGUUUGAAAACCAAACCUAUAAUAGAAAACGUUGCUCCCACCCCUUCUUUUUUUGAUCUCUGACACUGCUAUACUCGUUUCAUGAAAACAGAAAGAAAACGCUGGGGAGCAAGCCUUUAUAUCAUGUAUAUCACAGACUAAAAAACAUAAAAAAACAUUAUGGUUGGCCAUCCUUUCUCCAGCGGGCAGAAAAGGGAUGGAGGAAAUAUGACCUUCCCCAGAACAUGCCAACGUUACUUCAAGUAAAAAGGAACUUUCUUUGUGUUUUCUUUAUUCUCUGGACAUACUACAUUUAGGAGCACAACUCCUCCUAUACAUAAACUUAGAACCAAGGAGGUACCUGAACAGAGAAAAAAAAGUGGGGAGGGUCUUUGAAGUUCAUGGUUUCUCGCGGUAGGGGAAUAAGGAAGGAAAACACGCCUUUAACAUAAACCAUAAGCUAAACUCAAAGCCAUGAAAGAUUAAUUAGUGGGCGAGCAUAUAACCUUUGUCCAUACAGAAACCGCAUGUUUAGAGCAAAGGGAGAAACAGGCUUGGAACAGAACAACCAACAGAUGCCUAGUUUGAAUAUAACCACGAAGAAGAAGUUGGCAUAUACCUGCAGAUUUUGUUUGCUUGAAUGCAGAAGAUGAAGUACAGACGGAUGGAAAAGCCCUCGCCUUUCUGCCUCUAAAAAACCAAAGAAAGCCUUCCUCUUUUUGCCGUUAGGAGUCUUAAAGAAACCCUUAGAUUUUGUGAGCUCCUGUUUGGCAAUCUAGGAUAGACUGGAGAUAAUUUUCCCUCUCGUCCUCUUUGUUUUUUUUUUUAUGCUAGCUCUCUCUGUUCUUUACUCUUCUCUCAGCCUCCUCCUUCUUUUCUUUUUCUUUACGUUUCUCCACAGCUUGCUUAUAUAGCCAAGAAAAAUUGAAGACCAGCCCCACCCCCUCUCAUCCUAGCCGUGUGUAUUAAGGGUAAAAUCCCAGCCCUUAGAUGGUGUUAGGCUCCUCUCUUUGUCUUUUUUCACAGCUAGCACUGUGAAUGUACACAGUCAUUCCCUUGCUAAAAUUAUUUUACUUGCAGCUGCAAACCUAGCGUAAAAUAGGUGGCACUCGUACAGACCAAGCUGGCCUGAGAACGCAAGGACGAGGGAAUGAAAGAAAAGCCAGCAGGAGCGGCUGUAGAGGAGGGAAAGAAUUGCAGAUGGGGAGGUACUGUUCUGAAAAAUGCAAAUAAACAGUACCAUAAUGGGGCUGUUUCAAAACGGUGCUGCCUCUUUUCUCAGCUGAAGAAAGGAUAAAAAAACAAUGACGGUGUCGUUUGUUGUUGAAAAAAUAAGGCAAAGGUAAACAUAGCAGCAGCCACGUAAUUCAGUGUGGCAGCCUUUUAUUUUCUAUCCAAUCCCCCGUUUCUUCAUACCUUCACGAGAGCAGGUCGAGGCGAAAACAUGAUAUUCAAACGAGAGCAGGAUGGCCAAUUUCUUCUAAUUUCAUCUUAAAACCACUCCCUUAUUUCAGUCUUUUUUUAAUUUAGUCCUGCAAACUUGAGGGGCAAAAUCCUUCUUGUGGCAGAAUUUUUGCUUUCUCAUUAGAUAUUCAAAUAUGAAUAUCUUGAGUUUCUGAUAUCGCCAUCAAGCGACUCAAAAACCUAAAUUCAUAUACAUGUAGGACUACAACUUUCAUGAAAGAUUCAAGGUGAGAAAAAAUUGUUUUAAAGAACAGAAUCGAGCAGCAAUCGGGUUGGUAAAAAAAGGGUCUCCUGAUCUGAUUAAAAAACUAACAAAUGCCGAGCAUCCCGAUAUGAUUGAGAAUAUAACCCAAGAAUAACGACCAACAAAAUCAUGAUGGAAGCAGAGUCUUUAGUGCAAAACUCGGGUCAGAAUCCUGCUCGCGGCAGAAUUCUCUACUUUCACGUUUAGAUAUUCAAAUGGGAAUAUCUUGAGCUUCUAAUAUCAAAAUCAAGCGAUUCAAAAACCAAAAUUUAUCUACGCGUACAGGACUACAACUUUCAUCAAGGAUUAAGAAUGAGAUAAAUUCGUUUUGAAGUACAGAAACUGGCUGCAACCUGGUUAGUCAAAAAAGGAUCUCCUGAUCUAAUUCAGGAAACUAACAAUGCGAAGCAUCCUAAUUUGACUGAGAGUCUGCCAUAAGAAUAGUGAGCCCUAGGACCCAAUAAAUGUGUAGGUCAAUUCUUCAACAUGUCAUGAGUGACAGAAUAUAGUCGGGACGGUCGGAUAUUGCACGAAACCAAGUCAGAAUCGAGGCCUAAGUUGGAACAAAAAAUUACGACAGCAGCAUAAUCAGUUUUUUAGUGCAACUUCUGAGGGAUUUAUCCAACCUUAAAGACCAGAUAACAAAGGAACAAAUUUACCAUUAUAAAGACUCCUAAUUAGCCUAAGAAUCCUGACAAUUUCGGCAGCAAAGGGGAAGGAUAAGGAGAGCAGUUGCCAGCUGAAACAGGAUUCGAAAAACAUUUCUUUCUUCUUUGCUUUUGUCAAUCUCCCAGCAACCUUGAACUAAACUCCUGCCUUUGAUUUAAAAAGAAUAUACACCAUCUCUAUUAGCAUGUAUGGCUCAAAACAAUGAGUGACAAUAGCCAUCAUCAUCAUCAUCAUCAUCAUCAUCAUCAUCAUCAUCAUCAUCAUCAAACCAUGUUUUAUGGAGGUCGAGAAAUGAGAAAGUUGGCCAGAUAGCCUCCCACCCCCUAGGUAAUUGAUACAUAUGGCAAUUUGCUAUAUUAUUACAAUAAUAUUAUUUGCAGUAAAUGAGGUAAGUCUUAAAAGAUCAAAUAGCUACUCACACUUUUCAAUGGAAGAAACACACAAUUUCAUUUUACAGAUUUUCUUAAUACGCCCCCGCAAGAUAGAAUUUCAAUUAGUAAGGCCAAUCUUGGAUCUAAGGAAUGCAGUACGCUGCCCGGAUAAAGGUUUUGUCAGCAGAUUUGCAAACUAGUCCUGGGUGUGAACAUGUUUGACAUUAAUAGUGCCUUUUUGAACUAAAUCACGGACAAAGUGAAUAUCAAUCUGAAUAUGCUUCAUUCUAGAGUGAUGAACCAGAUUGAAACUGAGAUGAGUAGCGCCAAGGUUGUGACAUAACAGGUGACAUAACAGGGAAGGUGGAGCUUUAAGUGGAAAUCCAAGUUCAUUGAAAAGACUGAGUAACCACAUUGUUUUAGAUGCUAUAUUAGUUAAGGAUCUGUAUUCAGCCUCUGUAGAUGAAAGUGCAACAACCUGUUGUUUUUUGGAGCUUCAAGAGAUGAGAUUGUGUCCCAAAAAACUGAUAUAAGCUGAAGUAGAAGUGCGAUCAUCAAUGUUUCCGGCCUAGUCAACAUCAGAAUAUGUUGUGAGAUGCCAAGGGGUAGUCUUUUGGAGUUGGAUGCCAUGGAAUAUAAUCUAUUUCAUAUACCGAAAUAGUCUUUUAACUGCUGUCCAGUGUGUAUUGAUGGGCUUCUGCAUAAAUUAGGAUAAGUUGUUGACGAGAAAGGAAAUAUCAGGACGAGUGAGGGAGAGAUAUUAAAGGCUCCCAAGUACUCGAUGAAAUUCAGUACUAUUAACAGAGACAGUAUCAUCAACCGGUUUUAAGGAUGUACCAGUAGAUAGGGGGUGGAAACAUAUUAUCAAAAGUUGGUGGAAAAGCUGAUUUACUUAUCACAUACACGACCUGGUAUUGCAUUUGUUGUAAGUUUAGUAAGCUAGUUUAUUCUCUCACCCUACGCAAAACAUCUUGAGGUAGUUUAUCGGAUUCUCAUAUACUUGAAAAGUACAUCAGGAAAGGGUUUACUCUUUUAGAAGACUACACAAUAAACAAUAAAGACAUACACUGAUGUUGAUUGAACAGGUUCAUUCAUUAACAAAAGAUUCACAUCAGGAUACUAUACUUAUGUCUAGAGAAAUAUGAUUACGAAGCUAGUAGAGAUUGACAAACAUUUCAUAAAAGAGAAGAUUGAUAGUGGAGUUCUGUGCAUGUCUACCAUCUGUUCCUACUACCCAACAAACAGCUGAUAGUACGAAGCAUGUAGAUAUUGAUAGACAUUUUAUGAAAGAAAAGAUUGAUAGUAGAGCUUUGUGCAUAUCAUUUGUUUCUACUACGCAACAAAUAACUAGUUUCUUCACCAAAUGACUUCUUAGACCUAUAGUUUUGAGCUCUUCGUGAGUUGAGCACGAUAGAUAUUUAUGUUCCAGCUUGAAGAGGUGUUGGAUUUUUAGGAGAUAAAAUAAGAAGUAAGAUUGCAAAUAAAAUUUGGAAUUACAGUUUCAGAUUUUAAGGAGUUUUUGUUUUCUACUUUCUAGCCUAGAGAUUUGCUCUUUUAUGUUUUGAUUUCUUGAUUUUAUGGCCUUCCUAUUUUGAUGGUGAAGGAAAAUUCCAUCUUCUACAUUUGUGAACGCAAGUAAGUCAGGAACUUUCAAGAUCAUGAGCACGUUUGACUUGCGAAGUGAAAUAUCGAAAUUUUGGAACAGUUCUAGAACUUCACUAUUCAUUGGCAUUCAGUAUAUAGUGAAUAUAUAUUUUUUUUUGGUUAGGAAAAAAAAUAAUUUCUGAAUAUCCACAUGAUAUAUUCAUUUGGAAAAAGUGGAGAUAGCCGGCGGUUCAUUGCUUAAUUGCGUUAUUGAGAAAGGUCGAGUAGUCCUACUCAACAUGUCCUAACCUUUUCAUGCCUAUGGCAUGUGCUUAGAAGUUAGAAAGUAGUAUAAGCUAGGGUCAAAAUCCGUACUUUUCAUGCCUAUUCCCUUCGUGAUUUAUAUUUUAUCUAAAAGAAGUAACCCUUAUUACAAACCUAUAUAGUUGGAGAGGACGCGAUUACUUUUAAUAGGUUUGAUCUGAGCAGAAAUCCACAGAACUCUCGACAGGACAACAAGAACAAAAGUGAGUAAUAAAACAGGAUUUUAUUAACAAUUAAACUCCUACAGUCUGCUACAUUAUAGUAACAUAAACCCAAGGUUAAUACAAUAAGACACCAGCACAAACAAGAUUUGAACAGCCUACAGUUAAGAAAAAGGGGAUAUAACAAUUUCUUUACAUGUUAACAGACACUAAUUAAGUAAAAAAUAGAAAAAAGACUACAGCACUUCAGAAAUAUCUAAGCACAGCUUCCUUGGAUGUUAGCUGCCCUCAUCUUGAGGAAAAGCAAAGUGAAGGACAUGGUAUCAAUAGUAACUCCCCAUGUGGGAAGGGUUUGGAAUAUCUGAAUCUCAUUUUCUUCAAUCAGGCAAGUAAUUUGCUUCUAGCAGCAUUUGAGAAAAUGACCCUGACCAAUUGGUGAGGCUUGAAUCGCAAACUCCAUGUUCAAGACCAUAAUCAACAGCAUCAGCAGAGCAGGUUCCAUCCAGAUCUGGUGUAGCCUGAACCCAAUAUACACUAGCCUCUGCUGUUGCUUGACUUGCUAGAACCCCAUCUGCCUCGUCAUAUCCACCACUAAAAUCAAUCAUCUUAAAACAGAAAUCAUCAUCCUGUGUUGAGGCAGCCUCCCCAUCAUUUUCGACGCACUCAACCUCAAUUGACUGCAAGUUCUCUGUAGGAUUAAAUGCAUAUAUAAUUGGUUCGGGUGCAACAUUGCUCGUGGAAGUAAUAUCUGAAUCAUCAGCCAUCAGAUAACUUUCAAGAUCCUGCACAUUCUCAAAAUAAAUGCACUCAGAAUGGUCGAAUUCUGCCCAAUUAUCAAAGACCGGUUCAAGCUCCAAGUGCUGCUGUUGGUUUUCUACGGCCACAGAGAAACCCAUAAUCUGUUGCUGAUGUUGAUCUAAUUCAUCGAUCCUGGGCUUUUGCGGUAUGGUGUUUGUUGCAUCAUCAACAAUUUCACUGUCAGCAUCCCUCUUCCUCUUUUUAGUUGUUGCGGUUGUUGUAGUUUGUACUGUCUCAGUGGAGUGGACUUCUUUCUUUCUCAAUCGACACAAGACAAUUUGUUCAGAAAGUGAUGGCAGGCUGUACUCAAACAUGAACCAGGAGCCAUUCUGGUCAGAUUUCGGAUUUUGGUAAGUGAAAAGCCUUCUGAUGACAGAGACUUUGCAGUCGGGGUCGAUGGAGACAUUGAAAGGAGGGUCUUUGAACUCUUGAUGCCAUGUACCAGGCCCGCAGCUAAUUUUGCGCACAAAGUUCCUCCCUUUCUUGAUGAGUUGAGUGAAGAAGAAGAGAUCCUCGCCAUGACGUUUGGGGAAGGAUUCCCAGAUUUGCCAAGGUUCUUUGGCUUGGUCGCCAAAGAUAUGGGUAUCUCUAAUGGGAGUAUGGAUGGUGGUGAAGAGUUUAGGGUUUGUGAUUCUAGGGUAGAGAUAGAAACGGACUAGUUCUUCAUCAUCGGGACGGAAACGAUAACCAUGAGGUAGUUCAGGGGUUAGGGUUUCUGGUUUUUGUGGUACAAACUGUACCCUACUGCUAUGUAACGACAUAGCUGUCAGUUGGAAUUAAAGAAAGGUACGAGAAUUAACGAGGAACAAAGUCGUAGGAAAUAAAAAAACUGUAUUUACUUACAGAAACAUCAAAGGAGAGAAACAAAUCUUCUUUCUCGAAGAUAAAACACAGAGAGAACUACUUGCUUACUUUCUUUAACUUCUUUCUUUAAUUCUCGGUGAUUGAUAAAGAAAGAAAUUGGUGGAAACAAGACAGAAGAUUAUAAAACCAAACCCUAAAGAAUUGCAGAUAGAAAAUCGAAAACACACUAAAAAUCAAAGCGCGUAACUAUAAAGCCAUGUCUCCCACACCAAUAUAUUUAUAUAAUAGGGUUUGUUGUUGAGGCGGUUGCGGUACAACGGUCACUAAGAUUUUUGACAAGCUUCCUAUUAAUCUGUUGCUGACGUGGGAAAGGAACAUGAAGUGUCAGUGUACGGUACCGUACUAGUUAACGUGUCGCUAAUGCACGUGCAAGGUAUUGAGUGGGUGAAUUGUGAGCAAAUAAAGAAAAGAGACCAAAGCUUAACUUGAUAAGUGGGUUUGCAUUGGAUGACUUUUGAGUCUUUAGGAUUCGUGGGCUCUACAAACUAGUUUGUGGGCCCUAAUAACAGGGACACUCUUUUUAUGUUUUGCAAAAUGGGUAAUGAUUUGUUGACGAUCGAUGUGAUUGAUUGUCUUCGCUUAGGUUGUGGAAGAUGAUGAUGUAAGAAGAAGCCAUUCUGAAUUUGAUGCCGUGUUUGGUAACGACAAACAAUUAUCAUUUUAGAUUUCAUACAUUCAGGUUAGUAAGUAAGAGUGGCUGGUUUCACUUUGAGUGUUACUCUUAGUUCAUAAAUUUAGAUUUCUUCCUGAAUGUUUCUCUUCAUCUCAUUCUCGCAUUAUUGAAGGCUCGAUGUAGUGAAUUUUUAGAUUAUUAAUGUGGAAAAACUGCAGCCUAUUUGAGUCUCCAUUGUAAUUAUGGCAUUGGGAUGCUUAUGCAUGAAUCGUAGGUAAUAUAUUGAAUUCUGGGUUUGGUACUAGGAAGAGCCAUGUUGUUGUUCUCCCACAAGGAGAGAUUGGUUUUGUUUGUGGUGUCGUGGUUUGAUGAACUGGUAGAUGACUUGAGGUUUUUGGUUUCGCAGCAGGGGACAUUGGAAGAUCCCUCAAGUAUUUAAGGAAUCACUAAUUUCAAUUAUUCAGGUUAUUAUUAUGUCCCUAUGAGCUCUUUUUUUCUUGUGGAAAUUAUAUUAAUAAAUCUAUGUACUUCAUGCUAUAACUGAUAAAUUCGAGGCUGCCUACUGUAGACAUGUAUUUAUCCUACUCAUAACUAUCCAGUUGGAAAGGAUCAGUGUAGGAAAAUUGGUUGGUGAGAAGGGGAAUGGUUCUUACACUUGACUUUUUAAGUGCUUGAUAAAAUGCCGAAUUGGAGGAACAUAAUGUUCAGUUAGCAGCCAACACAAAUAAUGUAGAGGAAAACAAUCAGUGAUAUAGAGGGAAAGAAGAACGUGAGUGUAGGGAAGAAAAGGUGCAUGGAAAGUGGCUAAAUGGCUACUAUGUUCACGACCUUCUCUAUCAAGGGAUAAACGGUGAACAAGUAGCGUCUCCAAGUACAGGAAUAGCCUUGAAAUGCUCCUCCUCCUCCUCCUCCUCCAGUACCUACUACUGUGUAGGAGGCAGAGGCAUUCUACUUUCAUAUUUUUAUUCAACAAGUUAUCCACUGUCAACCUUCUUUAUUAGUGGUAUUUAUUCUCUGGUCUCGAAUGAAUUAUGGUAGUGCAUACUGUGAACUGAUCUUUUUGUUCUUUGGUUGUAAUUGAUCUCACUUUGAACACACUCUGUUAGAGGGUGAGUGAUGUACGAAGUUACAUUAAGACUUAUGUAUGGCCAUCUCAGAUGAGAGAGUCUAUGGUUCAAAACACUUAUGAUAGCAUCUACUGUGAUACCGAUCGUGAAUUUUCAUAUGGAAAGCUAAAAUAAUUGUAGUUGACUUUUUCUUUCCUUUAGUUGUUUGGACAGUUUCAUCUUUGUUCAUAAUCAUUUUAUGAUAAUUUUUCUUAUGGUCUAUACCCUUAGUAAUAUUAGCUAUCUUUACAUGUUAAUUAUAACUAUGUCCUCAUAGGAUGAGCAACUGAAGCCAUGUCCAAAGUCUUGGUGGGGAGUUAGAUCUGUUUUUCAUACCUGUACCAGCGUCAUGUCACUUGGACACGAGUAUUUGGAGGUAAAUUGAAGAAGGGACAGAGCAUCAGAGGCACUAUCACCAUUGAUUUUCCUCAGAAAAAUUAAUCUCUUUGCCUCAAUAAAGUCCUCACUGUUAAUCUUGUAAGUAUUUAGUUUCGCUUUUUUAAUUAUAUACCUUCUUGGUUGAUCUUGUCCUCGUUUCUUGGACUUUUGUUUUGCCUAAUUCUCCUCCUCUUCUUCUUCUUCUUCAAACCAUUCAACAAUAUGUAUCUUUCUUAUAAUUCUAAAUGGUUUUCCAUUUCAUUUCUUUAAUUUAUUUUACAAGUGAUAUUAUAAUUUGAUUAAUGAUUUUCCUCUUAUAAUAUUCCAAGUGUUGUAUGAUUUGGUUUCUUUCAAGUUACUUUGAUUUUAAAGAUUUUCUCUUUCACCUUUGAAGACCAUGGCAAAAGACAAUAGACGAAAACGUUACAAGAAAGCGAAUAAAGAUAUGAUUUGUAGAUUGCCUAAUGAGAUUCUUGGUCAUGUACUCUCGUUUCUUCCUAUAAAAGAUGCUGUGCGAACCAGCAUUUUGUCCAAAAGUUGGAGAGAACUCUGGACAUCACUUGCCAAUUUUAAUUUUGAUGAUCACAUUCGGUGGCAACUAUCAGCAGAAAGAGAGACCACCUUUGGGGAUUUCAUGGAUAGGUUUUGUUAUCUUCAUAACUCUCCUGAAAACUCUAUUGCAAAAUUUCAUCUCAGAGUGCAUGGAAGCUAUCCUUCUUCCUGUAUAAGCAAUAGAUUUCUGCUGCAAUUAAGGACAAUCUUGAGGAGCUUAUACUAUACACGUCUGAUCAUGUUCUGUUGCCUCGGAGAAUUUUUAGUUGUGAGAAAUUAGUGGCUUUGGACCUUAGUUAUCGAAUUGAUAUUGAUCUUCUUGGGGUUGGUGUACGCUUUCCAUGUCUCAAGGUCCUUCAUCUUCAAGACCUCCUGAUGCUUGAUGAUCAUGCUUCCAUAGAGAAACUAUUAGCAGGUUCCCCGGUCCUUGAAGCACUGAAAAUUGAACAUGAUUGUGAAUCCAGGAACGCCUUACGUACAUGCUCAAGCUCAUUGGAACGCUUGAUCAUAAGAUUUACAUUUAUUGCUUAUUACGUGAAGGAUCCUGGUUGUAGAGCACAAGGUGGUGUUUGGCUGGGCGGUGCAACCACUAUUUUAUCCAAUUUUAAAAUUAUUUUUGUUUAAAAUUAAUAUUUUUACUAUAUUUUAAAUUAUUUUAAUGUGCUGAUAUUAAAAAUAUUUUUUUAAAAAUAAAAAAUAUUAUUUUAAUGCUUUUCCGAAUAAAAAAUAAUAAUUUAAAAAACAACACUACCAUAUUUGAGCUUCUUACACUAACUGGUGUCCCACGAUGCUGCAGCCUCUGUACUCACUGGUAGAGGCAGCUCUCCGUGUUGCUUAUGAACAUGUCUUCACCAUACAAGUAGAUGAUUAUAUUGACAUGGCAGUUCAGUUUUUGAGACCAAUAAUGCCUAUUGUCAAGAACUUACAAUUGUGUGAUUCUACUAUGAGGUAAGUUUCUUCGUCAUUUUACUGUUGUGCUUAAAUUUUCCAUGGUCUGAUCACACCCUCCCUCACAUAGACAUCCCUUUACAGACGCUAUCAGACACAGUUCAUAAGAAGUUGCCUGGCUUUGACAAUCUUCCUGAUUUCAGAAUUUGACUCGUUUGGAGAUUGAAGCUAGUGGAAAUGAUCGUUGGUUGGUUUUGCAUGAGAUAAUCAAUUGCUCUCCUAAGGUGGAAGUCUUCAUCUUAUACAAGAACAUGGUCAGUUCCUAUAAGAUACAUGCUAUGUUUUCUGCAAGUAAGAUCCGAAUUGUUCUUCUUACUGACUUUAAUCAUUCAGAUGGAGAAAACUGCCGAAUCAUUGAGGAGCAUAAUUCAAUAUGUUUAUUGUCUUUGUAUUUCAGGUCAUAGGCUUUAUUUUCCAUUGAAAGAUAAUAUGUAAAUGACAAGUUCAUGGUUUACAAUGGCAGAAGACUUUCAUUUUUACAAGGAAAAACCAUUAUUUAUGUAUAAUGUUCGAAAUAUAAGAGAUCCACAUUCAUAUUUUAUGGUGAUUACUUGUCAUUUUAUCGUAUUAAAUCCCUUCACACUGCAAAAGGGAUUUUUACUGUUUUCUAUAUUUUGUUUUCCCCACCUGUACUAUAUGAUAUCCCUUCACACUGCAUAAGACCUCUUCCCCCCCUCUAAACAUGCUAGUUUUUUCGUGCGAGUAUGUUACCUCCAUUUGCAUCAUCUUUAAUUGCCAGCAUUCCCUGUGUAACAAUUAAUUGACUUGUAACAACUAAAAUCAAGAAAUCUUGUUAGAUAAAGUAUGAGAAAUGUUUCUUGUUUUUUUCUUAACCUAAUUAGAAGUGUAGCGAUAAUAGAAUAGAUAGCCCCUUGAAUGGUUUAAGAAUAAAUAGGUUGAUCGUAAUAUAAUAUCCAUGAAGUAGUCUUCUUUUCUUUUUUUCUUCUUCUUUUUUGUUAAUUAAAGCAACUAUGAUUGUAAGGUUGUGUGGUUUAUAAAAAGUUUUUUUUUAUUAACGUCGAUGUCCAUGUUUUGCGCGCGUCUCGACUAAUUUCACGGGUCCUGAAGUUAAUGACUAUGUAAGCCUCCAGUAGUUAUCAUAUUAGUAACCACAUGACUCAAACCUGAAACAACAGGGGAGCAAAUAGCUUUUAUUAUUGAAACAUCAACUAAAUAGUUAUAAAAUGUUUUAUUUUAAAGAAUGGCUUGAAGGUUAUAUGGAACAACUUAAAAUGAUGAGAAUGAAACCUUUUAUUAAGGCUUUGUGUAUUGUUUUUAUUUCUCUGAUUUGGAGGUAGGGGCAUUAAAAGUUGUUGGCAACAUCAUUUCUUUAGCUGGAUCUUCUGAGUCUGGGCCCAUGACACGCUGGUCAUGUAGGUUAGGUGAGCACAAGAAACCAUUGCAGCAACUAGAAGUGAGUUUGACAGCAGAAAUAAUAAUUUAUCAGGUAAAAAAAUAUAAGUAAACAACACAUUUACUAAGCAAAGCAAGUUGUUGAGAGAGAGAGGAUGUUGCCCUAAAUGAAGGGGGAAAAAAGAAAGAAGAUAUCUGAUUUUAAAAUAGUCCUAGACGAAAACACAAAUACCACUCAAGCAAAAAGGGGUAAAAAGCAUGGCGGUGGACCUGUGCAAACUGAUUUAUCAAGCAUAAAAAAGUCUUGAAUGAUUGAAAUAUGAGAAAAAGAAGAAAGCAAUGACCAACAAAGGAGAAGAAUUCGAGGAGGAAAUUUAAAGAAAACAUAAAAGAUCAUUGAAAGAUAGAAGGGAAUUUGUAGCAUGAAUGAAUGAAGAAGGUUUGAAUUUCAGCUAAGAAAAAGCAAAGCAAGAAGAAGGCGACGUCGUAUCUACAAAUAUGAAUUCGAAGCAAUUUGCAAAAGGUGGAGCUGAAGCUAUACAGGCAAGCCUGUUUGCAGAGAGAACAAAAUAACAUUAAAAAAAACAAAAUUCGAGAGAUAAGACAAAACAGCAACCCUUAUAAGGCAGCACAAGUAGGAGCAACAUGACAGGUAAAGAAAAAAAGGGAUAAUGGCGAGAUCAACCGAUAAUUAAAUUGGAAAAAAAACAAAUGAAGAAUUCCCAAUAUUCAAAGUCAAAUGAAAGUAAAAUAAGCUGCAAAGGAAGGGGAGGAGAAGGUGGAUGAAGCAGAAAGGAACGAAGUUUUUAAAUAGAAAAAAAAAAUGCCCACAACGAAAGUAAAAUAACAUGGGAGGAGCAACAAAGCAAGACAGAUCAACAAAGAACACAAAUGGAUAGAAAAAACUAAACACUUAGCCAAAAACAAAUUAUAUUUAAUCUCAUAAUUAAUCCAAAAGGGUAAUUUAAAAUCAGCAGAAACAACUCGAACAACAGACACCGAAACAGGUAUGGCAUUAAACAAAAGUCAAAAGAAGAUAAGACUUUAGUAUUUUGGUUCGGUGGGAGGACUGGUGCUUAUUGGAAAUGAAAAUAUUCAACGACCUGUCCAUUCUUAUCAAUGCUUACCUAUUUCAUGGUUACAUAUUUUCUAUGGUGGUGUCGGUUCCUAAGCUCUCUUUUCUUGAUUACAUUUUCAACCAAAAGGCCAUAAAUGCUUGCAAAACCCCUUAAUUUUCACUAAGUAAUUAAGCCCUUACACCUUCUGCAAGAGCAGCACCAAAUAACCCUAAAUGGCUAGGAAUCCCUCAACAUGAAAGAUAACAGAGCUAAAGAAAUGAUUGAAUGAAAACGUGAGGGCCAACCUAUUUGAACUUGUAGUGGAUGAACGCCAGUGAUAAAAUAAAAAGGAACAAAAAUGCAGGUACAUGGAUAAUGAAAUAAUUUUUAUAACUAUGAAUAAUUGACAGCAAUAAACAUGAAAAAGUGUUGAGGAAAAGGGAAAAAAGAAAAGAAAAACUCAAGUCCCUCUAAUAAAUGAGAUUUUCUCAUAACUAUUCUAAAAAAUAGAGAGAAUAAUAUCAAAAUACAAGACAUGACAGUCGAGAAGAGUUUAGAGCAAGAGAUAUUCACUUAAAAACUGCACCUGGGUUUCAAACCAGUAGACAAAGCAAGGCUUGAGGAUAACAAGGUUAAGACCAAACAAAGUAGAGAAUAGAAAACCCAAAAGGGGAAAAAUAGUUUGCUUGUAACCUGAAAGGAUACCAAUUAAUCCGGACAUAGGAAAAAUUAGGGUUUGUUUGAGGCCAAGUUGCCAUGGCAGUCCUGAUCGAGGAUGCUGAAAGUUGAGGAAACCAGUCUCCGAAGUCAAAGGCAUUAAAUAGAAAGAGCUCAUGUGUCAAAACAAGACGUGUAAGCAUAGGGAAAAGUGGUAACUGGAAACUGGACUAAAAUGGAAUGGUAAGGGCAACUAUAUUUAUCUGAUCAGAAGAUAUCGGGGAAUGCCAAGACGAAGGGCCCAGAGCGUAAAGAGAAGGAGGGGGAAAGCUGAAACAUACAAGAAUUCCCAUUUCAAGCCCAACUCCAUCAAAUCAAAACCACCAGAGCUCUAGCCAAGAGAAUGUUGACAAAAACCUGGAGAGAUAAAACUUGUAGUGUGCGUACAAUGUCUUUAUUUUAGUUCUUUAGUUUUGAGCUGUAACUGUAAUAAUGGCUUAUAAGGAUGACAUGGAUGAAAUUAAAUAUUGACUAGGGAGGACCAAGCCAUGAAAAAAGUGGAAAGGGACCUAAACAAGGAAGAAGAAGAAGAAGAAAUC